rnacentral:lncRNA from 1 species
ACAACAACAACAACAACCAUCGAGCCAGGUCUCCUUCCAACAGCCUCAGCAACAAUAUCCAUUAGGCUAGGGCUCCUUCCGGCCAUCUCAGCAAAACCCACAGGCCCAGGGCUCUGUCCAGCCUCAACAACUGCCCCAGUUCGAGGAAAUAAGGAACCUAGCGCUACAGACACUACCUGCAAUUUGCAAUGUCUACAUCCCUCCAUAUUGCACCAUCGCGCCAUUUGGCAUCUUCGGUACUAACUGAGAAGAAAAUAACUCUAGUACUAGAUAUAUGAAACACCGUUUUCUCAGUCCAUGGUUUGGUCGUUGUAGCGGUGAAAAAAUAAUGUGGCAUGCACUAUCAUGUAAGAACCCAAACUAUACUAGUUCAAACUUGGGAAUAAAAGACAAACACAGGUCUUGUCUACAUAUUUAUGUUGCAUCUAUUUAUAUAUUAAAAGUAAUAUAAGGUGAACCAGGAGCAAGGUAAAUAUGCUAGAAAAUUGCACGUUAAUUAGAAAUUACUAGCCCUCAAUCUGGUAAAUCUUAACAAAUAGAAUUAUCUUGACCGUUAGAUUUAUGUAACAUAUAUAAUGCUCUGGGCCUCCAACGACUGUACGUGACACAUCUGAACGCACAUAUCUUAAAGAAAAUAUAUUUGGUAAAUGGUGGGCCUCUUUAAAAAGAGAACUCACGUACAUGCACCAACUAAGAAAAACACAUACAUGUAAACGGGAAAAGGAUGAGAUUUUCUCACGUACGUGCUCCCUGGCUCCACCCCGUUGAAAAAAUAUACAUCUGGAGGCCACUUUGUUUCCUCAUCAAAAAAAAACUUACGUUAAAAAGAUUGCAUGCAUCCCAGGGAAAAUAGUCAAGAAGAAGUCGGCUCUUCCUUACAAAAACAAGGAACGUGUUAAGUUGACUUCAAAGAAAAAAGGAACAUGUUAAGUUAAAAAAAACAAGAAACCUGUUAAGUUAGAAAAAAACAAGGAACGUGUUGUCCUAGGAAAGAUAUGUGUCAAAUCUUACAAAAAAAAAGAAUACACACACGUACGUUCAUGCACUUGGAAAAUAGAAAAAAAAGGAACAUCACGUAUGUAUACACUUCGGAAACUCAUUACAUGACCAUGUCUGAUAUACUCCUCUAAUGCUUAAUAUUAGUGCCUAAUAAUUUAUAUUUAAAAUUUAAUUUACUGAUCAAAUAUCCCCACUGUAUAAAUUUUAAUUUGGCACAUUGUUUGGCUAUAGUAUGAACCUAAAUUUCCUCUUAUUAUUAUAUAUCAUGGUAAUAAUCCAAAGGCGACUAAUCUGCGCCGGCGCACCGGCGCAAUCAAUUCGGCCCGACACAGCGCGGCCGUUUGAUUAGAUUGCAUUUAACCGUCAGAUCUGGAAUCAUUUUAUUUCCAAUUAAACGGAUUCAACCAAACAGCAGAGAGGAAAACAAAGCAGCGCCGCCGCCAACACUAGCCAUGGACGACCGAUGUAGCAAAACCUUGAAGAACCGCCGCCGGUCGCCACCCUUGCCGCUGGUCGCCGCCCUCGCCGCCUGUGUUUCUCAUCGGCUUCAUGCAUGCAACAACAUGCACUCGUGAUUGCAGGCUUGCAGCUCCGGCUCUGGGGGACAUGGCCGCAUCUCCAGUAGCGCCGGCCGCCGGCCGCAGCACCUGUCGUUGUGGUCACGCUGUACCUCGCCGUGUGCCCUCCCAAGGAUCUUGCUGGUUCCAACAAAAAACGAUACCUGUUGUAGCAAAAAAGUUUAUCGCUUCCAGCAAAAAAGCUUACCGCUACAGCCCGCCAUCAUCAUUGUAGCAAAAAUGUUAACUCGAUGUAGCUUCUGUGGUUGCCGACUGCAGCCAAAAAUGACGUGGUUGUAGCAAAACACAAAAGAAAAACUCCGGCCGUCCGCUGUGUAUGGUGGUAACAAACCCUAUAGCCGGUGGUAGCGAAAAACUUCAUUGUUUGCAGCAAAAAAAUGUUGUCGCCCAUCGUCGAGGUUGCAUCAUCUUCAUGAAUUAUGUCGCAAAAAAACGUUGUCGCCGGUAGUAGCAAAUGAAGCCGCCGGUAGAAACAAAACAAGACACUGGUUCCAGCCAAAAAAAAAUCAGCGACAGAACCUUUUGUUGGUUCCAACAAAAAAACUUGUCGGUUGUAGCAUCCCUCGCCGCCGGAUGUAGCAUCUCCCAGGGCUGGUUGCAACACUCCAUAAAAAAAGGUUGUCUACGAGCGCAUCCAUGGCAACUGCUGCACCGUCAGCAACGAGGGGAAGAGGAGGCAAUGAAAAUCGUUCGAGUCGUAGCUCCACAGGACGCGGGUGCAGCAUAGGGAGUCCAAAAAUCUGUCACAAGCAAGAUGCGCCUUGCCAUCCUCCUGCGCAGGAGAGAGAAGAAAAAGGAAUAAGAGGAAGAAGAAAGGAAACGGGAGAAAGAAAAAAAGAAACGAUUGGUUGUGGGCUCAGGCAAUUAGUCAAACGAGGGGCACGCGGGGCCGCAGGAUACAGCGCAAUCGAACGAAGUGCGCGCGUCUGGCCGAAGACUCAGCUGGACUGCCGGCUGGAAAUGUUUCCCUAAUACAAAGGCUUUUCUGAAUGACAAGUCGUCUGAGUUAUCGGCUAACUAGAAAAAAGAUAAAUAUGCUAGAUAAUUCCAUAAUCAUUAGAAAUAUCUAGCCUUUAAUUAUGUAAAUCAGAAAAUCACAACCGUUGGAUUUACUUUAAAGGUAAAUUUCUCUAAAUUCCCACCAUUGCCAGUAUGUAGAAACAUGUGCUGCUUCAAUUCUCCCUUAAUCACCAAUCAAUCAACAACAGAAAACAUACCGCAGUUCAAAAAACUGAACAAAAAAAAGAAAAAAAGAAGAAAGGACAAGAUACACGCAUGUACACGACAGCCUUGGCUUGAAACACAUCAGUAAAUCAAGUGUCCACCUCCCUUACACAGAAUAAAUUCUAGGGAAGAAAAUAAUAGUGCAACCUAACCUUAUACGUACUAUUCUAUCCUCACGUCCCAUGAGGUUUACUAGCCUACUGCCGCCGCAUCAUGCCAUCCUCUCCUUUCAGCUCCCAUGCUCUCCAGCACCCUCCUUGCGGCGCCACUACUCGCCUAGGGAUAUUGCUGCUCAGACCGUGGAGCUUAACCUGCUUCUUCUUCAGCAAAUAUGGAACUGCUUUAGGAUCCUUCUGACAUCAGCGCGUAUGGGCCUCAUUAUACUGCAGCUCCUGGACCUCCUACAAUUGGUUGGCUAUGGCCAGUUGAUCGAUUUGCUGAUGUCCAGGUCUGUUUGCUGGCACAUAUGCUUUGGAAAUAGGCCACUAUGUUUGUACUUCAAAAUUGUUUCUGUAUUCUUUAGUGGUACAUCCUUUUAAGCGCCAGUUUUUUAUGUUAAUUCAUGCUGACAACACUUAACCUAGCCUUUCAUGUUCACGUACUAAAUACAGGAGCAAGUAAAAACAACAGACCACCUAAUUGCUCUGCAAGUUCUACAUAGGAAAAUUUGUCAUGUUCUACGAUCGCACUAUCCCACCCUUCUCUCUUGGUAUGGGCGCCAAUUGAGGGAUUGAUAAAAUUGAAACGAAGCCGUCACAGGGCUGGAAGUACCGCUAGCCUGGUUCGCACUGCAACCUACCCAACGCCAUCAGAAACUAGCAACUGAGUCAGGUGUUGAUCGAUUCUCUCAAAUUGCUCUCAUGUAAGUACUACCCCUUGCAUGUGCGUACAUACCUUUGUUGCAUUCUCAAACAGAUAGAACAUGUAUGAUCGGUGCAUGGCUAUUUUUCAUCACAUGACAUCCAGAUAACAAGCAUGAAAGGACUACAUUGGAGAUCAAAAAAUAUUGGUUCCUGGCUAGAGUACCACUACCUAUGGACUUGUCUCCAUAGAAUUUGUUCCCAAGAUGUUAUUUUAAUUAACCUCUUUAGCUUUCUUCCAUUGCAAACGGUGAUGUGCAUCUUGGUAUAUACGUGACCAUCUUGCACAUGUAUACACAAGAGGCUCAGACGGAGGUGUUGGAUUCUGGACGAGGGAAUAUAAAGCAGGAGUGAGCGAAGUGUAAAUAAUGGUGGGAGUACCGAUUGGUGUUAUGAAGAAAAAUGCCAUCAAAAGAUUGAUUAGUGUCAUGGAAGAUUAAUUUCUGAAUGCGAAUAUAUAUGUUACAUUGGUUUGGAUCUUUUUGAGAUAAUUGCACCUAAAUUAGGUUCUUUCUUAUUUCAUAUGUAUACCUUAUUUCAGUAAAAGUUCACAACGAACUUAGUAGGACAAAUAUAAUUUUGUUUGUUCUUUCUGUUGUCCGCCACCAAAGCUCAAUUUGAACUCUCUAGAAAUGGACAAUGAUUUAUGCAUUCUAUAUCUUCUUGAUUGAUUAGCCAUGACAAGGAAAUAAAAGGAUUGACUGAUAUAGCAUAACUUUGGAACGAUUAGAGGUUACUACAAAUAAGAGUAGUGUCUGUUGGAAUUUUGCUAGUAGGCCUUUGGCCCAAAGCCCAACUAAAAUUCUGAAAUUCUCUUGGCUCAUUUAUACACACAUGUGAGUUGAGUGAGUGAGACUAAAGUUUAGUCCCACCCCGGAAGUUGAGAGAGAGUUGCACCUCUUUAUAAGGUGAGCUCUUCUACCACUUGUAUGAGCAUGAGAAGAGGAGACCUACACGCGCGCUCCUCCUCCACGCUCGCCACGCCUCGUCGCGCCGCGCCGUGCCGCGGGUUGCGGGAUUGAGCCGAGCCGAGGACGUUUUCUAUAUUUUUGCUGCUCGGGAAAAAUUAAUGAGUCAUUAAUUAAUAAUUAAUGGACACAUUAAUUACUGAACCGUUUCCGAUUUUUUUGGAUCGUGACGACUCGGACGUGGGGUUUACUCCCAGGACCUACCCGGCCCGCACUAUAUAGUCAGGAAGAUGUCUACCCUAGCCGCCGCCGCUUCGUAUGGUUUCUCACCAUCGUUACAGAUCAUUGCGCCGCCAAGCAAGUUUUCUCCAUCCCUCCUUUCGGCGUGCACCGGGAGAAGGGACAGCAGACCUCCGGAACCCCGCCUCUCGUGAUCCUAUACGGGAGAGGGGCGAUCAGGUUUUUGGGGAGCGCACUCGCAUGACUGCUUGCAGCGACGACUUCGCAAACGACGACUUCUUCCCCGACCUCGGCAACCUCAUCCUCGACGACAUGGGCGACAACGUCAACGCCGGCGAUGCUACACCCACUGCACCGUAUGUUAUUCUCUCCUUCUUGUUCGAGAUCGUGGUAGAAUUCAUGUUUCUAGUAUAUGUGCCCUAGAUGUGAUCUGUUCAUCUACUAUGGUAGUUCGCAUGAUUAGUUUAAUCUCUGCUAUUGCUGUCAUGAUCUAUUUCCUAUUUAUUCGGAUUAAAUCUCUUUGUAAUUUGCUCAUUUUUCCAACAAUCCAAAAACCUGAUUAUAGGAAAUUUACUCCGAGUGGUUUUGCUGCGCAUCUGAAAGCCGCUUGCCUUUAAGGGGGCGCAAUAUAAGAGGUGGCGCACCAGAGCAGUCUACUGGUUUCAGAUCAUGGGCUGCUAUGACGCCACCAAGGGCAAGCCUGAGGGCGAUCUUAAUCCAGCACAGCUGGAAGCUUUCAAGAAGAUCAAUACCCUCUUUAAAGGCACGCUUCUGAGUGUUCUUGAUGACUCCAUUGUAGAUUCGUAUAUGUCGUUUGACAACGGCAAGAACAUGUGGGCUACGCUCGAGGCCAAGUUUGGUGCCUCGGACGCCGGCAGCGAGUUGUACGUCAUGGAGCAAUUAUAUGACUCCAAGAUGACUGAUGGGCGCCCUGUUGUACAUGGGCGACUUCUUCCCCGACCUCGGCAACCUCAUCCUCGACGACAUGGGUGACAACGUCAAUGCCAGCGGUGCUACACCCACUGCACCGUAUGUUAUUCUAUCCUUCUUGUUCGAGAUCGUGGUAGAAUUCAGAUUUCUAGCAUGUUCCCUAGAUGUGAUCUGUUCAUCUACUAUGCUAAUUCGCAUGAUUAGUUUAAUCUCUGCUAUUGCUGUCAUGAUCUAUUUCCUAUUUAUUCGGAUUAAAUCUCGUAGUAAUUUGCUCAUUUUUCCAACAGUGCCAUCCAAUAGAUGAUGUAAAUCUCCUCAAGUUUGACGUUGUUGAGCUAAUUUACAAAAAAAACCUCAUCAUUAUUGGAUGUCCUUAACAGCUCAAGAACAAGUUGGGGUCGAAAUAAUGGAUUUUACACUUUUACAUUAAAGGUUUAGCUAAAGCAAGCAGGUGUUUUUAAAACUGAAUUUUUUCCUCCUGAAUUUCUUUGUAUUUUCUUAUUGACACUAUUUAUACAAUCAUCUGACAAAGAUUAGCUAAAGCUGUUUGUAGAUACGUUGAAACCUGAAAAGCUUCUUUGGUUAUCCUUUUAAUAGUUCUACGUUUAUUUUCUCAUAGGUCAUAAUUCUUAUGUAAUACCAAGAUGCAUUGUGGUAGUGUACAUGUGUUAAAUUCAGGUUGUUAUUCACAAUUUGCGACAAAAUUUAGCUCACGCUACAUUUAAAUAUGUUGAAAUGUGAAAGCUCUUUUUCUUCUCCUUUCUACACCUUGCAUCGGAUUGCAUCCCUUUAGUUAUCCAACAUUUUGUUCAACAUGUAGAGAUUAGGAAGUUCAUCAUAGUUUGUCUAUUUCCGUGCUAAUAAAUGUAUGAAAUCUGCAUUUCCAAGCUACUAGGACAAGUAAAAAAUAAUAAUUUUACUAGAGGAUUCAAAAACAGCAGUUCUGAAGUGCACUUUAUUUAUUUGUGAAAGUGAUCACAUUUUGUUUCAUUUUUCUAUAGACAAAUCUACUAAUACAUACUCACGAUAAAACUAUAAAAGUUCUAGUCCGCACAUUGGGCGGGCCACCCGGCUAGUUAGUCUAAAGAUAACAAAAUGAGUCUGGAAUUUGAAUUAAAUUGAAGUAUUUUCUUGGACUAUCCACAUCCUUGGCUUGCCCCUGAUCAAUUAUUUCCAGAGAAGCAUUCAAUUCAUCAAUCAAUUACAUUGAUUUUAGUGGCUAGUACAUCACCUCAACAUCAGUAUAUUCACCGUGGCCACUCCAAAUCGGCAAGAAUGAGGUACCAGUGCUCUGGAGAAGUGCAAGCUAAUUGCUUCUCAUGUGAAGGGGUGCGGGCGCGGGAGAGGUAUUUCUGGUGGGCCAAGGGACUAAGAAGCGACCGUGGCAGCGGUACAGAUGCCCGCAAAGCCUCAUAAUUUGUUUUUGGUUUACAGGAAAAAUGCACAUCCAUACUGGCCCGGGGAAUAUAGCACUGUAUUGGAUGGAAAACAAUGUCCGGAUGGUUGUGUGCGGUUUGAGGGUUAGCUUUUGUAACGCCCGGUUAGUUAUGCUAUAGCAAUUCCCUGCUAAUGAUGUCACGUCACCACGAUUACUGUUGUUAACCUCACAAUGAUUCAAUCUCGUUCAAAUUCAAAUUUAAAAUAAAGGCAAACAUCAAAAGUUUUCAAACAUUAAAACUAAAAUCUUUGAGAGGUGACAAAUAAUGCAUAAGUAAUUAUGGUGAAGAAACCACACUUUAAUCAAAUGUUUAAAUACUCUAAAAUGAAAAAAAAACAGUGACUUAAACUAUUAUUUAAAUGCUUUUAAAAUAGUAAAAAUCUUCUAACUAAAUUAUUUGGGUACCAAAACUUUUGGUGGCAGUGGUAUAUUUAGUAGAACUAAUUUAGAUGCUAAUUAUAUAAUUUACAAAAUUAGAGUAAAUUGAAAAAUAGGAUAAAACGAAAAAAGGAAAAACAAAACAAAUAAAAGCAAAAGGGGGCAACCCCUCGCUGGGCCUCGGCCUAGCUGGCCACUAGGCUAGCUAGGCUCGCCCCGCCGCCUCCCUUAACCCCCCACUCCCCGUCGAACCCAAGCCCGAUCGCCCCACUUCCCCCACACCCCCUCGCCGGUCUCCCCACCUCUUGAUCCCAUCUGGAUCGGGGAGGGUAUUGCCCCCAUCGAACCCGUUGCUGUCGCCGGAUCGCCCGCCGACGUCGCCAGGCCUCCUCCCCGUCGCCCGUCUCCGGCUCACCUCCCCUCUCGCUCCUCUUCCCUGACCCGAUCUGGAUCGUGAACGAGCAAUGAGCUCGAAGCCCCCCUUCACCGGCGCCAUCACCGUGCGCCACCACCACCGCCUGAAGACCUCACCGUCGCCGAACCUUGCGUCGCUGUAACACCCUCGAUGCGACUAUAUCUCCCACGUGUCGAGGCACGACUUAGAGGCAUAAUCGCAUUGAAGGCAUAUGUCGCAAGUGAGGUAGUCUUCACACAACCCAUGUAAUAUAAUAAGGGAAAGAGAUACAUAGUUGGCUUACACUCGCCACUUCACACAAUUACAUGAAUAAAACAUUACAUCAACCAAGUACACUCAUGGUCCGACCACGGAACCAAAAUAAAGAAGAACCCCAAAAGCGACAAAGGUCCCCGAUCGACCCCAACUGGGCUCCACUACUGAUCAAUUAGAACGAAACAGCUCAACGGACAAAGUCUUCAUCGAGCUCCUCCUGAGCUUGGUUGCGUCCUGCUCGGACUCAUCGGCACCUCCAAGCUGGUUUUGGAAGUAUCUGUGAGCCACGGGGACUCAGCAAUCUCGCACCCUCGCGAUCAAGACUAUUUAAGCUUAUGGGUAAGGUAAAGGUAUGAGGUGGAGCUGCAGCAAGCGACUAGCAUAUAUGGUGGCUAACCUAUUCGCAAAUGAGAGCGAGAAGAGAAGGCAAAGCACGGUCGAUAAAAGUAUGAUCAAGAAGUGAUCCUAGACUACCUACGUCAAGCAUAACUCCAACAACCGUGUUCACUUCCCGGACUCCGCCGGAAAAAGACCAUCACGGUUACACAUGCUGUUGAUUCAUUUUAAUUAAGGUCAAUUUUAGAUUUUCUACAACCGGACGUUAACAAAUUCCCAUCUGCCCAUAACCGCGGGCACGGCUUUCGAAAGUUCAAAUCCCUGCAGGGUGUCCCAACUUAGCCCAUGACAAGCUCUCACGGUCAACGAAGGAAUAGACCUCCACCCGAGAUAUUCCGAUCAGACUCGGUAUCCCAGUACAACAAGACAUUUCGACAGGGUAAAACUAAACCAGCAACACCGCCCGAUGCGCCGACAUCCUGAUGGGAGCUGCACAUAUCUCGUUCUCAGGGCAACACUGGAUUGUCUAAACUUCCGGUAGGCCAGCCCAGAGUUGCCCCUGGUGGCCACCGGCGGCUGACGGUUUGGACCAACACUUAGACAAGCACUGGCCCGGGGGGGUUAAAAAACGAUGACCCUCAGGAGCGCGACUCCCAAGGGAAAAGAAAAGGCUAGGUGGCAAAUGGUAAAGCCAAUGUUGGGCAUUGCUGGCAAAGCUUUACUUAAGGCGAACUGUCAAGGGGUUCCCAUUAUAGCCCAACCGCGUAAGGGACGCAAAGUCCAGGAACAUAACACUGAUAUGACGGAAACUAGGGCGGCAAGAGUGGAACAAAACACCAGGCAUAAGGCCGAGCCUUCCACCCUUUACCAAGUAUAUAGAUGCAUUAAUUAAAUAAGAUAUAUAGUGAUAUCCCAACAAGUAAACAAAUGUUCCAACAAGGAACGGCCUCCAAUCUUCACCUGCAACUAACAACGCUAUAAAAGGGGCUGAGCAAAGCGGUAACAUAGCAAUUCAACGGUUUGCUAGGACAAUGGUGGGUUAGGGGCUGAACAUGGCAAUUUGGGAGGCUGACAAGCAAGUGGUAGGCAUUGUAGCAAUGGCAUAGCAAAAGAGUGAGCAUACUAGCAUAGCAAAGAUAGUAGUGACUUCGAGGGUAUGAUCAUCUUGCCUGAAAUCCCGCAAGGAAGAAGAACGAGUCCAUGAAGAAGACAAACGGGCGUAGUCGAACGGGUCCUCACAAUCACGACGUUAUCGGAACCAACCCGAAGAAGCAAUCACCGGAAAAGAAGCACACACAACAUAGUAAACACCCAACACAUCAACAUGGCAAGAUGCACAAUCGAGUAUGAUGCAUGUCCGGUUUAAAGAGGCAUGGCAUGGCAAAGUGCACAAACAACCCUACAAAUUAAGUGGAGCUCAAUAUGCAACGGUUGCAUAUUGACGAAACACCACGUCAAUUAUUUAGUUCGAUCUCGUUUAUGUACCCAACAAUAUUAAAUGUUGUUAAAACAUGGCAAGAGGGGAAACAUGAUGAAACUAUCUAAUCUAGGCAAGUUUAAAUGAGGCCGGAAGCAACGAACAACAAUUCCGGAAAAUCCUCAUGUGUAAAUAUUAGGUUAGGUCCUGAUCUGUCCUAAACACAAUUUAAGCGUUGUUUAACAUGCAAGAUGAGGCCACCACGUUAAACUAGGCAAAAUUCUACCCGAUUUACAUAUAAAGAUUAUUAAAAUCGGAGUUACGGUUAAUUAGAUAUGAAUAAAAUCAUUUUAGCAUGGCAUGGGAGCAAACUUAAACAAACAUCAUUUUAGACAUUUUUUAAUUGUUGUUAUCAUGAUGCGGAUGACAUGAACAAGUUUAACGCAAUUUUAAUUAAGACUUGACAAGAGCAUUAUCAUGAAGCAUUGUCACCGUGGUGGAAGGAAAAAGGGGGUGCCACGGCAACGAAUCCGAAAAUGAUGCCAUGGCAACAUAUCGGUUCCGGUAACUCGAUUGAGAUCCCGGUGCAAACGAAAAAAACGACGGGAGCGUGACACGCGAUAGGAGGUGGGGUGAUCCCGGAUAUCGGGUUCCCACAAUAUGGUGACAAAGCAAAAGAGGGGCGACGUGCACCGAACAACUCCGACACGGAGCAAACACGAGCAUUUCAUACAUCACACAUGCAUUCGUUCACGGGCAUCGUUCCGGCGGUUAUACCUUUGAAGCGAGCAUCAUCGAAACGGAUCGAGUUCGACGGUAGGGGUACACGUGUCGACGAGGAAGUAGUUGUACACGGGGUCGUCGUGGGAAGUAGUCAUUCUCGCGAUGGUAGUGGAAGUAGGGGUACAUGACGACGUAGAGGUGCUCGCGACGGUAGUCGUUCACGUUUGCGUUUCACGGGUCUUCGGCGACGGUUGUCGUACAUGGUCCACAAGACGUCGAUCGUUCGGGGUCCGAUUUGCGGAUCUUGCCGACAUGAAGGGGUACUUGGCGUUCUCCGGACUUGCUGGUCUCGUCGAAACGAAGGGGUACUUGGUACAAUCCUCGUAGUCGUGCACUUGUCGUCAAGGGACUAGAUGGAUCCGAGGCUUCCGGAGGCGACGGUAGUGGGACUUGGUGAAUCCGAGUUCUUCAGAGGUCGUCAUGGUACUUGGUGAAAUCCUCGGAGAUGGACUUGACGCACGAAAGGUCUUCGGUGCCACGGUACUUGUCUGAUCACACACGGAGAUGCAUCGAUGGAUCUCUGACUCGUCCUGGCGAUGGACGAACUUGGCGAAAACCCCGAAGGCGGUCUUGAGCUUCCCUGGUUACCGCACCUUGGCAGAGACCAGAGGAACGACGAGGCCAGCGGGCAGCAACCGAAGAUGCCUGAGGUCUGUGGGCGUCCAGAUCAGGUGGCCUUCUGGCUAGGCAAGGACGACGAGGAGGAUGCCGAGGCGCGGGGACGAGGUAGGAGGCGGCACGGGAGCACGGCGCGGGCGUGGGCGCUCCUGGUGGGCGCAGAGGACGACGACGGCAGGCCAUGGCAGGGGCGGAGGCGCGGUUCCCUGGACCGGUAGGGCCGCGGCGGCGCUGUGGUGCCCGGCGGCCUCGGCGACGCGGCGAGGGAGGGGAUCCGGCGGGGCGCGAGGGAGCUCGGUGGCGGCGCAGGCUGCAGUGCCCGACAGAUGGAGGAGGCGCGGCAGGGUGGCUCCGGCCAGGGCACGGCGCGGGGAGCGCAAGACGGCGGCGAGGAGGCCGAUGAGGCUCCGACCUGGUACUUGGAUCGAAGGAGGAGGGAGGAUGAGGGGAGCCGGAGGGAGAUCGAGAGGGGGGUUCGAGCAGCUGGGGAUGGGGAUCGGGCUGCGAGGGAAAAUGGGGGUCGGGCACGAGAGAGAGAGAUCGAGGGGAGAUGGCGGCGCUGCGGGAACGAGAGGGAGAUGAGUGUGGUGCAGGAGCUGGGCUUCGGGCCUUCUAGGGUUAGGAGGGAGUGGGCCAGGGAGGCCGGCCGAGGAGAGAGAGGCCCAGGUGGGCAGGGGCGCGGCCUGCGGGGAAGGAUGGGCCUAGGGAGGCCUGAGGCUGCAGCUGGGCUGGACUCUCUUUCCCUCUUUCUCUAAUUUUCUUUAGCAGCAAAUGAUUAAAGAGAAAGAAAAGAAAGAGGGGGUUAGGGAAAGGAGUCGGACACGCGGAUAAUUUUCCCGGACUCACAAAAUUGCACUUGUUCCGAGAAAAAUGAAGUGGGCAAGAUUGCAAGAAUUAAAUUCAAGGACAAUUGAAUUUAAUUAGAAAGGUUGCACAAGGACUAGGAUUUAGGAGAGUCCAAAAAUGUUGAGAAAUUAGGAGGAGCCUCAAUAAAUGGGAAAAGAGAUGUUGGCAAAGUUUGGGGACCAAACUUGAAGUAGAAAGGGAGUGGGGAUUUUUCCAGUGUGUUUUGGUUAAUUCCGAAAGAAUGGAAUAUUUUAUAAUAGCCCCACUAAUAUCGGGACGAUAUGUUAUAAAGAGAAGUCAUCCUUCCCUCGAUUUAAAUGGAUCGAAGAUCCAUAUGAAUUAUUUAGUUGAGAUGCAAAAGAUUAUGACAUGAUGACAUGAUGCAAUGCACAUGAUGACGUGACAUGGUGCAACACGCAAGCACAUGACAACGCAACAACAUCGAAUAACUGCACGACACCUGGCACAUCGGUCUCGGGGCGUUACAGUCGCCUCCUUGUAUCCCCCCCCUACUCGCAUCCUCAAGCCAGGCCGAGCCCCUUCUCGGCAACGCUGUGAGACGCCCCCGUUUCCCUCCUCUUUCCACCGCAUUCACCGCGCCGCUCGCCGUGCCCGUCGCCGUGCGUGAGCCCACCACCGCACCAGCCCCCGCUCCGCGCACGACCCUACCCGCGCCCGCGCCAUGAUCCCCUUUUCCGCCCUACCUUCACGCGCUCGCCGCGAUCCCGAUGCUCCCCCGCGCCCUCUUUCGGGCGCGCCGACUGCCCCUGUCCUGGUGCUCGCCGCCGUGCCUCGCCACCGCUCUACUGCUACGUUACUACUGCGCUGCGGCCGCCGCCUCUUCCCGCUGCUCCGCUAGCGCCGGAGCUCCCGGUUGGCUCCACCACUGCUCACGUUAAACCGCCGGCCUAAAUGGCCUAACCCCCGGCUAAUGAACCCCCACUAACCCACUGACACCGGGACCCACAUUCCCUAAUUAACCAUUUAAUAAAUUAAAACUCUUAAAUUAACAUUAGUGUAUGACAUGUGCGUCCCCUGUUAAUUAAUAAUUUUACUGCUAGUUUUAUUAGUUUCUGUUUUUUCUGCAUAUUUCUUUUGUAUUUGAACAGGCUUUAUACAAUAAUAUUUAGCGUAUCAUACACAUACAAAUGUAAUCAUAGCAUAUACAUACAAAUAGUCUCAUCAAAUCAUGUCAUCAUCAUAAUCAUCAUCCAUCACAAAGUGGUCUCUCGUCAUCAUCUCGAAAAUAGCGAUACAAGUCUCGAUUACUUGCAACUACAUCGUCAUCCAUCUAAACAAUGAUAUACGCGAGAAGAGCUCUCACUAUGAGUGAGAGCGGAACUAUGCAGUACAUGAGUUUGUAUCCCUCUCUCGCAUUAGCGUGAACCUAAACUAACGACUCGCUGUUGCUCGGAAACCGGAAACCGGUACACCUGGGCCUGACACUCCGGCCACUCGUCGUAUACUCCUGGCGUAGCACUUCUUCGCCAUCGAUGAUCUAUGCACCUGCAUCGUCACAUGAGUCGAUGAUAUGCAACAUAUAUAGUUGAGUAACAGAAAGAGACAGACUUCGCAAAAAUAGAAGCAACAUAUCAUAAGUAUAAAUAACAAAGUUCAUCCUACCCAAAAUGCCCUAACUAGAGUGAUCUUCGCUAGUCGAGGAGGACGGUUUAAUUACAUCACAAAUAACGUUUCGUCGUGCAUAACUCAAAGUUCCGUCAUACAGAAAGUAUGAACUAAACGGACACAUUGUCAUAUUUCGAAAAUCACUCCAACAUAUCGUACCAUCCAUCCAAGUCAAGGAGAGAGUGCCCGAGCUUAGUGAAAGGCUUGUGGUCGAGACGCUGAGCGGCUACGCGUGUUCGAAAGUCUUCCCACGUCAUUUGUCCUUCUUCAUAGAACAUCCCUGUUUUUUCGACGACCUCCUUCAUGAUGAUUUGGACAAGUUCGCACUGGAAGUGAUAUAACUCAUCUCGAAGUGGAUGAUCCUCGAUAUCUCCUAAGUUCUUUGCCCAUUGCAGAAUAUGGGCAUCGCUGAAUUUAGGUGACAUGCAAAGGUUCCGGUGAUCUCGUCUAUACUCCAUCAUAUGGACAUAGAAUCGAUCAUCAAGAGAAUCACUCGGUUGCUGGAUGCAGCUGAAGUGGGUCUUAUGGGCCUGCCGUCCCUUUUCUUCUUGUCCUUGACCUCUCCACCCCGUGCAUCGUAGUAAAACGUAGCACUGUCGAGAAUAGACUUGAUGUGGGUGUAAUCCUUUUUGUUAAUGUUCUUCGACGAGUCCACAGUAUCGGGGGUAGCGGAUAAUGAGGACGGCGCUGAAGGAAAUAUGCCCUAGAGGCAAUAAUAAAGUUAUUAUUUAUUUCCUUAUAUCAUGAUAAAUGUUUAUUAUUCAUGCUAGAAUUGUAUUAACCGGAAACAUAAUACAUGUGUGAAUACAUAGACCAACAGAGUGUCACUAGUAUGCCUCUACUUGACUAGCUCGUUAAUCAAAGAUAGUUAUGUUUCCUAACCAUGAACAAAGAGUUGUUAUUUGAUUAACGAGGUCACAUCAUUAGUUGAAUGAUCUGAUUGACAUGACCCAUUCCAUUAGCUUAGCACCCGAUCGUUUAGUAUGUUGCUAUUGCUUUCUUCAUGACUUAUACAUGUUCCUAUAACUAUGAGAUUAUGCAACUCCCAUUUACCGGAGGAACACUUUGGGUACUACCAAACGUCACAACGUAACUGGGUGAUUAUAAAGGAGUACUACAGGUGUCUCCAAUGGUAGAUGUUGGGUUGGCGUAUUUCGAGAUUAGGGUUUGUCACUCCGAUUGUCGGAGAGGUAUCUCUGGGCCCUCUCGGUAAUGCACAUCACAUAAGCCUUGCAAGCACUGCAACUAAUAUGUUAGUUGUGAGAUGAUGUAUUACGGAACGAGUAAAGAGACUUGCCAGUAACGAGAUUGAACUAGGUAUUGGAUACCGACGAUCGAAUCUCGGGCAAGUAACAUACCGAUGACAAAGGGAACAACGUAUGUUGUUAUGCGGUCUGACCGAUAAAGAUCUUCGUAGAAUAUGUAGGAGCCAAUAUGGGCAUCCAGGUCCCGCUAUUGGUUAUUGACCGGAGACGUGUCUCGGUCAUGUCUACAUUGUUCUCGAACCGUAGGGUCCGCACGCUUAAUGUUACGAUGACAGUUAUUAUGAGUUUAUGCAUUUUGAUGUACCGAAGGUUGUUCGGAGUCCCGGAUGAGAUCACGGACAUGACGAGGAGUCUUGAAAUGGUCGAGACGUAAAGAUUGAUAUAUUGGAAGCCUAUGUUUGGACAUAGGAAGUGUUCCGGGUGAAAUCGGGAUUUUACCGGAAUACCGGAAGGGUUACCGGAACCCCCCGGGAGACUAAUGGGCCUAUUGGGCCUUAGUGGAAAAAGAGAAAAGGGGCAGCCCAUAGCUGGCCGGCGCCCCCCCCCUUUCCCCAAGUCCUAGUAGGACUAGGAGAAGGGGCCGGCCCCCCCUCUUUCUCCUUUCCCCCCGAGAGUCCUAAUUGGAAUAGGAUUGGAGGGAGGAGUCCUACUCCCGGUGGGAGUAGGACUCCCCUGCGCCUCCCUCUCCCUGGCCGGCCGGCCCCCCUUCCUCCAACCUUUAUAUACGGGGGCAGGGGACACCCCAAGACACACAAGUUGAUCCUUGAGAUCGUUCCUUAGCCGUGUGCGGUGCCCCCUGCCACCAAAUUCCACCUCGAUCGUACCGUUACAGUGCUUAGGCGAAGCCCUGCGUCGGUAGUACAUCAAGAUCGUCACCACGCCGUCGUGCUGACGGAACUCUUCCUCGACACUUUGCUGGAUCGGAGCCCGAGGAACGUCAUCGAGCUGAACGUGUGCUAAGAACUCGGAGGUGCCGGAGUAACGGUGCUUGGAUCGGUCGGAUCGGGAAGAAGACGUACGACUACUUCCUCUACGUUGUGUGAUCGCUUCCGCAGUCGGUCUGCGUUGGUACAUAGACAACACUCUCCCCUCUCGUUGCUGUGCAUCACCAUGAUCUUGCGUGUGCGUAGGAAAAUUUUCGAAAUUACUGCGUUCCCCAACAGGCGCGCCCGCCGCUGCGCAAAAUAAGUACACCUCCAAUUAAUUACACUCCAUCGUUCAAAUGAAUGAUUGAAAUCGAAGGAAGGAUAUCUGCGCGGAUGACUUACACGAGAUGAUAAGCCAUGAGAAUCGCCUCCUUGUCCUUAUUGGCAAGCAUGAAAUCGACGAUGUAUUCCUCGCGUAUUCACGGUGCUUUGCACGGACUCCCAAGAAGCCCUCGUGCAUGAAGUACGGGUCAGCAACACAGAUAUGAGGUAUCUGCUCAACCCCGAUGAGGUAGUUCAUGUGCAAGGCAUAAAGGCGGACAAACGUAAAAUCCAGCUUCUUUAAGUGAAACAUGUUGAAGAUGUAAUCGAAUCGAAGGAAAAACUUCUUCGAGGGGAAUGUGUCGACGUACGACAAUUGCCGCGGCACGUUAACCACGUAGAGAGGGUAUCCUGGAUUUUUCGAGGCGAUGAGGCCUUUCUCUAUCCGCAACACGUCGUCAUGAAGUCUCCUUAGAUUGCCGGAUCUGGCCCCUAGUGCUGCUUUCGGUAGGAUUGGUUCACCGGGAUACGCCAUUUUGCCGCUCCGGGGAUAUCUAUACGGUCUUGAACCCGAGGCUGCUGAGGCGGCUGGAUCAUAGAAGCAGCUUUGUUGGCUUUCCUCGGUGUAUUCCUAAGCUUCUUUGCUACCGGAAGGUCGUCUAUAAUAUGUUCAGCCUCCGGAGGCGGCAAUUCAAGCACCGACUCAUGACGCUCAAACCCUUAGUAGGCGCCAGUAUUGAGAUACUAUUGAGUGUCAUUGUCAUCCUCAUCUAUGGCGGUGUCACCAGCGACAAAUGGAGCCUCUUCCUCACCCCGUCCGCUAUCACCCAGCACGACAGCCGGCGCUAAUUGGGUAGGUGGGGUGUUGAUGUUCAUACCUAACUGCGUGCUCGUGUGUGUGCUCCCGGCCGUCUCCAAACAAAGCAGACUCUUUGGCCACAAUAGGACCCACCCAUUGCAAUCACCAAGCCGCUGCGGGAUCUUGUCGUCAUUCCCCCUAGUACCGGAGGAGCCAAAUUCUCCUGGCCUGGUUUGACACUGGCCACGGAAACUUUGAAGAUGUCCAGGGGGAUCGAUCGGCCGUGGAACAAUGGUUCCUUCAGCUUCAUUAUCGUCACCUUCCCCACGUCCACCUCCUGGUAGCGGAUGCUGUACAAUAUGGUGCACGGGGUUAUAUUGGCCUGCAAAGACAUUUCUGUGAUGUGAGAUAUCCGAAAGGCAACGGAAAUGGGAGAUUAUACAUUUAUUGAAGAGGGCCGGUGUGACAGAUACCGUGAGGGCGUCGAGCUCAGCCAAAGACGAAGCACCGCUGAGCACGUCUGGUGUCGGAGCCGGUGCCGGAGCAGGUGCGGGAGCCCGUGCGGGAGCAGGUGUAGGUGCCGGUGCAACGCUAGUUGAGCUACUCCCGAAGAAGUCAGCAAGGGGAAAGUCUGCUGUAUUUUUUUCUGGAUUUUGCAUGCUCCAAUUGAAAACGGCCGGAACCAAGACAGAAGACAUAUCUGGAACCACCUGUUUUGCGGCAGCUAUCGCAGUUGUGACUGUCUCAGAUGAUUUCUUCUCAACCGCAAUCUCAACCUUCUGGUUGAUGUUUUCUUCAGUUAACCUCCGUCUUUCCUUUCUCUCCUCUGUGGUCUCACGGUAGUACUUCUUCCAUGUGGCGCCGUCUUCGACACCGUGCACGCGUCCAUACGACGGCCGAUUCUCCACCGGGAGUCCUUUCAAUAUGUUCAAUGCCCGAUUGAAUGGAGUGUUCCACUUGGGCCUCGCCAACACCUCAGACGGUGAGUCACUUUCGGCUGCAAUCUUGUGCUGCUCUCUCUACAAAAGGAACAAGGAUCGUUUACAAAUAUGACUAAACGUGCAGUCGAAUUGAUCAGAAACUAAAAUUACCGGCAGUCCCAUGAACUUCGUCGUGAUCAGGUCAGUCUUGAAAACCUUCUUGACUGAGUCCCAAUGGUGUCGUGCCCCGAGGACGUCAUGCUCCCGCGGGACGGUGAAGUCCGCCAAGGGGUCUGGGAUGCCCAGACUUUCGCGUUCCGCGUCCUCCUAUGCCCAUAUGGACCUCUUCCCGCCGUAACCACGGCUUCCGAGGUGGUGGCGCCCUAUGUUCCUUUGUUGAAGCCCCUUCAUGUACUUCGACUUUUUUUGGCAGCUUCGGCCUCGCAAGCCGCCUUGAAUUUUUCAAAGUGCUCUCCCGUGAUUGUCGGAUUAUCCUUUACAAUCUCAGAGUAUGGUUCCUUUUUGUCGACAAUCCGAUGUUUCAACCUUGUUUUCCAGGUGCCCAACGCGUCACUAAACUUGGUCAUGGCGUGUUUGUUUAUCUUCUUCAUUGCCGGGUCCUUAUUUGGAUCUUUAUAAUCCAUUUCAUUCCGGCCCGGGAACAACAAUAUCUGGUGCAGCUUCUUUAGGAGAGAGGGCCUCAUAUUAUCUAUCUUCUGUAGUUUCCCAUCAUUGAUCGUGGCAGUUGUCCGUACGAUGCAGCCUACUUGAUUGCCGUAGCACGAUCGCGCUUCCUCGGGCGCUAUUGUCUGAAAAACACUGUCGUCCAUCUCCGUGACCACCAGUCUAGUAGUCAUGAGCAGGUUUGGGCGCCGUGGCUUCUUUGCUUUCGGUUCUAGACCAGCUCCGCUAGUCUCGGCGCCGGUCUCAGUCUCAUCGCCAGUCUGCAUGUCGGUAUCAGUCCCCGAUGCGAUAGGUCGGCCCAGCAACAACAUUCGUUGAUCGUCGGCAAGGCUCAAAAAUUCAUCUGCCGCCAGGUAGACGUGUCGCAAUCACCAGAACCCUAUCCUUCAUCGUUGCUAGCCAUGUUUCCUACGAUUAUGCCUAGUCAAUUAAUUUUAGACCUAAUAAAAUGAAUAAUGACAUAAAACAGGCCAAUGUUUUGCAGGAUUACAACUCAACCCAUUGCAGAUUAGAAAACAAGCCCGUGUGAAUGCACAGGCUGACCACUAGUCUAUCUAUACCUAUACCUACCUAUACUAAUUACAGACUCCCAAGUAAUUCCCACGUUAAUUAGUAAUUAAGAGCCGUUAAUCUUGUGGGACCAAAUUAUUACGACAGUCCACGAUCUCUUUUCUCUCUGUGUAAAAAAAAAGGUCCACGAUCUCUUUUCUCCGUUGUAAAAGAUAAAGGCAACUCAGGUCCACGAUCUCUUUUCACGGUUGUGAAAGAUAAAGACAACUCCCGUCUUCUUCUAAUCUAUAGUUCUAUACCUCCACGACCCCUUCCUCUCCCCAUUUAAAAGGAACAAGCUGAACCAAUAUCUAAGCAUGCAAUUGGUUCCUGUGCGGUCUUGACCUUCCAUCCGUCCACUGCUCGAUCGGCCCUCCCUCAACUACAAGCUGACAAGCCACCAUCGCCAUCCAGCGGCACGCCACCGUUCAUGCAUGUGUUUUUGCCCUUCAAUCUGAAGGAGAUGCGUUGGCUACUCAAGUAACUCUGUUUGUUUUGUUCAAACCAAUUUCGUUAAUUCGGUUCUUUGAUUAUCUUAUUGACAUGGCCUGUGAGUUUUGUGCUAGUGAUACAGGGCCUGUCUACUAGAUUCUCUCCUUGCAACUUCUAUUGUUGUCUCGAUUUGGUGUGGUCAAGAUCCUUGCCCCACCACAAGCAGCACCUUUGCACCAUCGGGGAAAUCUGUCAUAGCAAACAGAGGUAUGUAACAUGCUUUGGUGUUUUCCUCUUUCGUUUAGAUCACUAGAGUUGCUCAACCACACCAUUCAUUGAUUAGUAGUUGGCCUGAGAAGUUGCUCGGUCACCUGCAGCGUCUGAUCCCCUUCUUGACCCUCUCAUUCUGGUCAUUAUCCACCGGCAGGUCAAUGCCAAACGGAUCGUUCGUUGCCGCCACCUUGCGGAGACCGAUGUUUGGCUGCCCUCCUGCCAUCCUGGCGCUCUGGUACCGGUCACUGUGCCGUUGUUCUAGAAGAACUAUGUCACACGAAGCGAGAUAUCUUCUUACUAAUCUGGAACAUAAGUGUUUCUUCUUACUAGGAUUCGCUCACCGGUGCAUUCAUCUCUUUUUGGAAAAUACGGCCUUCAUAUUUCACACGCCUAUACAUGGGUGCUGUCCCAACAAUAAUCCAUCUAAUCCAUGAUGCACAUUCAUGAAGACUGAUGUGACUGAAUUAAUAUAUCAAUCUGGUGCUUCCGGAUCAGCACUUGAAGAAGCAACCCCUUUAGUUCAUAAAUAUAUCAUACGAAAGUCAGGGGAGAAAUCAACUAAGUCAUGUGUGCUUUUCUAAUUAUUUACUAUACACUAAUUCCAUUUUUUCAGUAGAAGGCUAGGAUACGUGGAUUGUGGCAGCACAGAAGUAAACCGAUGAGCUACGUUGGCCGUUCACCAGUCAUCGGAUCAGCAGCCAUGUCGACCAGAGGGACGGAACAGUUCUAUAUUAGGCGAUGGAUACAUGUGGAAGCAACUAAGCAUAUGUGGAUGCAUGUGAUCGCAUAGGUAAGGCCAUAGCUGUUCAAGCCCUACAGGAUCUUUAUUGCUGGUUUUAAUUAUGAGUUUACAACACCAUCUAUACAUACUACUUAUCCAUUUAUUUCCUUACCUUCUUUGUUUCUUUCUCUCCUUGAUCCCCUGUCAAAAGGGCAUCAACAUCCAUAUGCGCAACGGCACACGCAACAAACUAUGACUUCGGUUGCAUGUCCAACGGCAACCACAGUACAUGAUGAUAUCAUGUUUGCUGCAAGACGAAGUACAAGUUCAUAAUUUGGUCUUUUGCAUGGUCCCUUAGUAAAUUCACUUCUGCUUCGGUACACCCCCCCUAAACACAUAGACGGCCCAGAUUAGUCGAUACCUCUUCAUAAGUAAGGGCAUGAUGGUCAUAUAUUAAAAACCAUUCGUCCCCUGUAUAUGUGUACAGUGAGAUGGGCCGGCCCAUCUUUCCCUUUUUUUCUGAUUUGAUCCUGACAGGAAUCGAACCAGAUAGUUCCUGGUACAUAGUUGGACGUGAUAACCAACCAGCCGACUUAGGCACCUAUGGUUAGAUAGUUCUUUCUCGUCCUUUUCUUCUUUCCUCUUUCCUCUUUCUUAUUUCCUUUUUUCUUGUUUUUUCAAACGUUGUUUUGGGUUUUCAUUUCCCUUUUUUUCUUUUUCGUUUUCUUUUCCUUUUUAUGUUCCUUUUGUUUUACCUUUUCUUUUGCAAUGUGCAAAAUUUUUCAGUUUCCUUUAUAAAAAAUUAAUGAACCUUUUUUAAUAUUGAUGAUUUUUUUUUCAAAGUCGAUGAACUUUAUUCAAGAUUGAUGAUUUUUUUCUAAAUUGAUGAACCUUUCUCAAGAUGAAUAUAGUUUUUUCAAAGUAGAAGAUUUUUUUUCAAAAUUGAUAAAAUUUUGCAAAAUCGAUGAUUUUAAAAAAAUCAUGAACUUUUUUCAAAUCCUUGUACUUUUUUUAAUCAAGAUGCAUGGGUUAUUUUUAAUUCAUGGAACUUUUAAUUUACGGACAUUUUGCCAAUCCGCUUAUUUUUUUCAAGUCCAUGAACUUUUCCAAAAGGGCGAACCCUUUUUUAUAGUCAAUGGUCAAAGGUCAAGCAUGUCAAUGGUCAACUUUUUGUCCAGGUUAACCAUGAAGAAGUUUUUUUUUGGUCGAACCACGAAGAAGCGAUCGAGCGUAUGCUCUUGGCGAGCGACAGCUGAUCGCUCCUGUAGUUUGGCCAGCCCAUGAAAGGUGGUGUUCAAGCGAUGUGUCCACUAAGUAGCGCAGAAAGCGGUGACUAGGCGCUCCCACUGUACAGGGAGUAGCGUCGCACAAACCGGCGCACACACCCCUUCGUCCAAGGUCUGGCCCAUUUUCCUUUUCUAUUUUUACCUUGAAAAAAUAGGUGCAUGAAGUAGGAUUCAAACUAUGAACCUUUGUGAUUACUUCCACCCACUAUAACAAACUAGGAUAGCUCACUUCUUGCGUCUAAUUACUUCUUUUUUAGAGCAUCUUCUCAGUCUGUUUUUUCUUUUGCUUUUGUUUGGCCUUUUUAUUCCGUUUUAUUCAUUUUUUAUUUGUCUUUGUUUCUUCUUAUUUUCAUUUUGUUAAAUUCAUGAUUUUUUAAAUCUAUGAGCUUAUUUUAAGGAUGUUGAGAAAUAACAUGCUCCCAGACAAAACCUUCUGGCCUACCGGAUACUCUUUGUAGAACAUGGUAUAGUUUUGGACAUCAUUCAAAUGAUCCCAACUUUUGUAGGAUGGUGGGCAUUUCCCGUGGUAGGCAUCAUUGACAGGUUUGAAUGACUUCUGACACCGUAUGCAAGUUGCGACACGUCCGAUCAUUUAUCGGUCUUUUUUCACCGGAAAAACUCUAGAAAAUGCAAAACUUGUUGAGAAUCCAAAAAACUUAGCUUGGUGUCUUGAAUUGGUCGUACAAGGCCAUGAAAAAAUUUGGGGCCAUUUCAAGGAUGUCAAGAAACAACGUGCUCUCAAACAGAGCCUUCUGGCAACCGAACACCCUUCAUUGAACAUGGUCUAGUUUUGGACAUUCUUGAAAUGACCCCAACUUUUUGAAGUAGAUGAGCAUGCCCAUGGUAGACAUCCAUGUCAAGUUUGAAUGAUUUCUGACACCGUAUGCAAGUCGCGACACGUCCGGCCAUUUAUCGACCUUUUUUGGCCGAGGAAACUCCAGAAAAUGCAAAAUUCAUCAAAAAACAAAACAACUUGGCAUGGUGCACUUAGUUGGCCAUACAAGGUCAUAUAAAAAAUUGGGGCAAUUUCAUGGGUGUGGAAACACAACAUGCUCUCAGACGGAGCUUUCUGACCUACCUGAUGAAGGAAAUAUGCCCUAGAGGCAAUAAUAAAGUUAUUAUUUAUUUCCUUAUGUCAUGAUAAAUAUUUAUUAUUCAUGCUAGAAUUGUAUUAACCGGAAACAUAAUACAUGUGUGAAUACAUAGACAAACAGAGUGUCACUAGUAUGCCUCUACUUGACUAGCUCGUUAAUCAAAGAUGGUUAUGUUUCCUAACCAUGGACAAAGAGUUGUCAUUUGAUUAACGGGAUCACAUCAUUAGUUGAAUGAUCUGAUUGACAUGACCCAUUCCAUUAGCUUAGCACCCGAUUGUUUAGUAUGUUGCUAUUGGUUUCUUCAUGACUUAUACAUGUUCCUAUAACUAUGAGAUUAUGUAACUCCCGUGUGCCGGAGGAACACUUUGUGUGCUACCAAACGUCACAGCAUAACUGGGUGAUUAUAAAGGUGCUCUACAGGUGUCUCCAAAGGUACAUGUUGGGUUGACGUAUUUCGAGAUUAGGAUUUGUCACUCCGAUCGUCAGAGAGGUAUCUCUCGGCCCUCUCGGUAAUGCACAUCACUUAAGCCUUGCAAGCAUUGCAACUAAUGAGUUAGUUGCGGGAUGAUGUAUUACGGAACGAGUAAAGAGACUUGCCGGUAAUGAGAUUGAACUAGGUAUUGGAUACCGACGAUCGAAUCUUGGGCAAGUAACAUACCGAUGACAAAGGGAACAACGUAUGUUGUUAUGCGGUCUGACCGAUAAAGAUCUUCGUAGAAUAUGUAGGAGCCAAUAUGGGCAUCCAGGUCCCGCUAUUGGUUAUUGACCGGAGACAUGUCUCGGUCAUGUCUACAUUGUUCUCGAACCCGUAGGGUCCGCACGCUUAAGGUUUCGAUGACAGUUAUAUUAUGAGUUUAUACGUUUUGAUGUACCGAAGGUUGUUCGGAGUCCCGGAUGUCAUCACGGACAUGACGAGGAGUCUCGAAAUGGUCGAGACAUAAAGGUUGAUAUAUUGGAAGCCUAUGUUUGGAUAUCGGAAGUGUUCCGGGUGAAAUCGGGAUUUUACCGGAGUACCGGGAGGUUACCGGAACCCCCCGGGAGAUAUAUGGGCCUUAGUGGGCCUUAGUGGAAAAGAGAAGAGGCAGCCAGAGAUGGGCCGCGCACCCCUCCCCUCCCUUGGUCCGAAUAGGACAAGGAGAGGGGGCCGGCCCCCUUNNNNNNNNNNNNNNNNNNNNNNNNNNNNNNNNNNNNNNNNNNNNNNNNNNNNNNNNNNNNNNNNNNNNNNNNNNNNNNNNNNNNNNNNNNNNNNNNNNNNNNNNNNNNNNNNNNNNNNNNNNNNNNNNNNNNNNNNNNNNNNNNNNNNNNNNNNNNNNNNNNNNNNNNNNNNNNNNNNNNNNNNNNNNNNNNNNNNNNNNNNNNNNNNNNNNNNNNNNNNNNNNNNNNNNNNNNNNNNNNNNNNNNNNNNNNNNNNNNNNNNNNNNNNNNNNNNNNNNNNNNNNNNNNNNNNNNNNNNNNNNNNNNNNNNNNNNNNNNNNNNNNNNNNNNNNNNNNNNAUCCUACUCCCGGAGGGAGUAGGACUCCUCCUGGCGCGCCUCUCCUAGGCCGGCCGCACCCCUCCCCCCCCUUGAGCCUUUAUAUACGGAGGCAGGGGCACCCCAGAGGAACACAAGUUGAUCCACGUGAUCAUAUUCUUAGCCGUGUGCGGUGCCCCUGCCACCAUAGUCCUCGAUAAUAUUGUAGUGGUGCUUAGGCAAAGCCCUGUGACAGUAGUACAUCAAGAUCGUCACCACGCCGUCGUGCUGACGGAACUCUUCCCCGACACUUUGCUGGAUCGGAGUCCGGGGAUCGUCAUCGAGCUGAACGUGUGCUAGAAUCGGAGGUGCCGUAGUUUCGGUGCUUGAUUGGUCGGGCCGUGGAGACGUAUGACUACAUCAACCAAACGCUUCCGUUGUUGAUAUACAAGGGUACGUAGAUCACAUUCUCCCCUCUCGUUGCUAUGCAUCACCAUGAUCUUGCGUGUGCGUAGGAUUUUUUUUGAAAUUACUACGUUCCCCAACACCUGAACACCCUCAUUUGAACAUGGUCAGUUUUUAGAUAUCCUUCAAAAGACCACAACUUUUCCAAAAAGGUGAGCAUGCACAUGGUAGGCAUAUAUGCCAAGUUUGAACGAUUUUUGACACUGUAUGCUAGUUGCGACACGUUCGGCAAUUUUCGCCAUUUUUUGACAAAGAAAUCUCCAGAAAAUGUAGAAUUUUUAGAAAACCAAAAAACCCUGGCAUGGUGCCUUGAAUUCUUCAUACAAGCCAGUGAAAAAAAAUAGGUCAUUUGACGGAUGUCGAGAAAAAACAUGCUCCCAAACGGAGCCUUCUUACCUACCCCUACACCCUAUGUUGAACAUGGUGAUUUUUUCUACACGAACACAAAAAAAAUGUUCGAGAAAAUUCAAAAAAUUUUCUUUCAAAUUUUUAUUCGUAUUUUUCUUGAAGUUCCAAAUUUAAUAGUGAAUUUUCCUAAAAUGUUAAAUCAAAAAUGUUCGUGUGGAAAAUUUUGUUUGCUCUUUGUAAAAAUGUUUGUGUUUUGACAUUAUGAGCAAUUUGAAAAUACAAAUACAUUCUGAGGAAUUCAUAAAUGUCGCAUUUUGAAGUAAUUGUUCGUAGUUUCAGAAAAUGUCCGUGUUUUCAGUUUUAUAUCUCUUUUAAGAAAAUGUUCGUAUUUAAAAAAAAUUGUUUGUAGUUUCAAGAAAUGUUCUCGUUUUCAAUUCUGCUCUUAUUUUUCUAAAACAAAGUUUGAGAGUCUGAAACAUUGCUCACUAAAGGUUUGAAUUUUAAAAAUAUGUUCACAGAUUUUGAAAUUUUUUGGGUUUAAAGCAUAUUUACUUUGUCAAACAGAAAUUCACAUACGGAAUUUUGAAAAAAAUAAUCGUUUUUGGACUAGUGAUGUUAUGCACUCGCGGGAGCUUGUGUGUUAGAUCCGCGCACCCAUUUUAGUAUUUGUGAAUUGGUGUUGAAGUGUUGCCGCUCUAGCUAAUUCUUUAGGUGUGACACUGCUAUUGUGUCGGUUGCGUUAGGCAGGCGAAGUGGCUAGGGCGUAAUUUUUGUUGAUUUUCCAGCCCAAAUGGAUCGGCCCAGGUUAUCUGUGCCUGUGUCCUGCGAACAUAUGGCACAUUCCAGCGUACGUACGAAAAUGGAUAGGAUUUGUCAAAAGUCUAAAUUACCCAUUAUACGCUUUGUGAGGGGGGUGUAUCGAAGCGUUUCUCCACAUAAAUUAUAUUUGUCCACAUACACCACAUACAUAAAAACAGGUAGAAGCGGUUGCAUGGUGAAAAUGUCCUCUCAAUAUGCAUGCCUAUGAAUACUAUCACCAGAAAGCCAAGGACUAACAAUUAUUCAGGGGUCAAGAUUGAAGACAGACGUCCAAGAUUGGAAGUCGGCCGGCCUAAGAGGGGCAAAACCAUUGUACAUUAUAUUGUAUGGACCUAGCAAGAUCCUAAAGAUAAGUGAUAAUGGAGAUCAUGGGGGCCACCCUUAUAACCAUAUGUCCAAAUGUUCUUAUUUGUUUAUUUUUCUUUUCUCUUUUCGGAAGAAUCCAUCCUGCCUCUAUGGUCAUCCUGACCACUUCGUAUUGUUAUCUAAUCUCCUCCCUUAAUUAAUAUAAAGAAUUACCGCAGCUGAAUUCACUAAAAAAAGUAUUCAGUUUAUUUUAAUUUAUUCAACUAUUAUGGCAUAUCAAUUGGAUUGCAAGUUCUUGGCGGUUGCAUUUGAAUCAUAUUUGAUGUGCACAAAGGCUUCAGUGUCAAGGUGGUCGGACGAGUAUUUAUGUCCAUUAUAUAUGCGUUAGCUUGAGAUCAUCAGGCACCUGUUAUGCAUCUGUCCAGUUAAAAGGAUGUUCAGACUCAGGCUUGCCCUACCAUAUAUGGCUGUGACACUCUGAACCAAGCAAGUUGGUCAUAUAUGUCGAGCACUAUUAACUCUUUGGAAGAAGAUCCACCAAGUACAGAAAACAAAUCAAAUAUCUUCUUAACCUUAUCACCAGAAAAAUUAGCAAGAGAUGAAUAGUAACAUUUUAAAGAAGAAAGAUAUGUUUGAAAAGGGAUAUAUAUUAUGGCGACGAUUAGAACAGCCCUUGACGAAUGGUGCCUAGCCUGCGAAAGUUUCUUAUGAAUAUAGUCAACACUCUAUAUCAACUGUUGUAAGAUUUUAGAAAUAUUUUUGGGGACAUAUGAUACAUGUCUAUUAUACAUAUGAUUCAACAGAAGUUUGAUUGAAUACAUAUUUAAAACGUGACUGACUUCUAUAUGGACGGAGUAUUUCACAAAGGACUCACUGCCAACUGUGUGAAUAUUCCAAGAUAGUUAGUGCACAUAAAUGUUCAAAUCCAUAGCUGCAUAAAUAUACAAAAGCAAUGUGUUAGACCACUACACAUGCUUCUGAAAGGAGGCAAAAAAAUGUAUGCUUGAUUGAUGACCGUUCAUGCAUGAAAUUAAUUUUUGAUUUCUAAUUAUUUUGGUCAUAUAAUGGAAAUAGAGACAUUAUAAAGAUCCAACAGCAUGCUAUCACACACGUGUGAACACAGACACACACAAAUAACAUUUGCCGAGCACUCACAAAUAAAAGGUGUGGCUACUCUUGGGUGUUCUACAGCUGGCUUAAAAAAACACGUAUGAAACAUGAUCCCCAAAAAUCUGAAAUUCGCAACAUAUGAAAAUCCACCCUCAAACAUAUUUCUAGUGUCUCAAUUCUUUUAGUUUCAGAUGGUAUGUCCAGCCAAAGUAGUUGUACACAUACAUUACUAUGUUCUAUUAUUUGAGAUUCUAAGAGAACAUUUAGUAACUAGCCCGUGCGAUGCACGGGUUCACGACUAGUAUAUAUAAAGCUUAAUGGUGCCUAAGAAAGCUCGCACAAUUUUACAGUGGCUAUGGAAAUGUGUUGCCAAACUGAGACAUAAGAUUUUCAUUUGGCAUCCAGAGUUGCAGACCGCUUGUGUUAUCCUUAAUCCAUGGCCACUCUAAUUUUUCCGGCUGGGCCUUCCCUGUGGUACCGCGGCAAGGCUUGCGUGUGUAUAUGUUUCCUUUAACUACCACUAGCACAUAUGCCCAUGCGUGCGUUGCAAUGGGAGAGAUAAUGGCAUAUCCACCAAUAUAUCUAGCAGCAUGACCCAACAACAUCCGAAUGAUGUCACCCGACGACGGCAGGAAGGCACGCACAGAGGUCUAGUAAAAACUCAUCAAUUGUACGGGCAUGGUUAAUUCGCGUGAAUUCAAGGGUGUGAGAUUAGUUAGUGUUGGUCCCACAAUUGAAUUCGGGGGGUGAUUAGUUAGUGUGGGCCCACCCUUGAAUUCACCGGGGGAGACAAAAUAAUUAGGGCGAGGAGAGAUUUACGGGGCUUGGUCCCCAGAUGCGUUGCGGCAGUCAUUAUUCGAGCAUUGCAAUGCUCGCACGUGAGGAGCUCCUUUUCCAAUUGUAUAUUAAGAAGCAUGCUAUAGAUACAAUGUUUUUGAUACAUUUUUGUACGAUGAUCCUGAUCUUAAAGGGCCUUCUAAUUUUUAAAUCUUAAAGGCAUUAUUUGUAAGUUGUCGUGAAAAAAAUCUCGCUAAAAGGGUUGUGUUAGACCAUCUUCAGUACAUUAGAAAUAACGAAUUAUAAUUCCUUGGCAUUUGAACAAACAAUCCCUACUUAUUUACACAUACAAUACUUUUGGUAUGAUUUUGAAAUCUUGAAGGCAUUAUUGUAAGUUGAAGCAAUUUUGAAAUCUCACUAAAAGGUCUGGUAAGCUUUAGAAAUAACUAAUUAUAAUUUUGCAAAAAAAAGAAAUAACUAAUUACUAAUUUUGGUAUGAUUUAUUGUCUGGGUAGUAGUUCCUUUGCAACAUUAUUCUCUCCUUUCUUGAAGGAACUCUUGCCUGCUCCCUCGCCAUGCUCCCAUCCAUGCUCCCACUCCAUCCUAUGGUUGUCCUUUUUUCCUUUUUCUUUCUAAACUAAUCAUCUCCCCCCCUGAUUUUAAGGGGAUGGGGCCGGGCCUUAUUUUGUUCCAAUUAAAUCAUGCCACGUAUGCGGGAGCAUUUUGUCCCUCCUUCUAGCGCCUCCCACUGAAAAUGCCCUAAAAGUUUUUGAGGGAUUUUUUUACUGUGUCCUACUUCACGAAUCACGAGGCAAAUCAAGUAGGCGGCAUGGCCUGGCCGGUGAGUGCCAUUGCACUUACUUGCCCCAGCGAUUUUCCGCCUGCAUUGUAGAAUUCUUUCUCCGAGUCCUGUGAAUUAAAGAUGGUGCAGACAAAAGUAUAUCCUAUAUGCGUACAUGUGCAUGAUCAGAACAUGUUUUUACGUGCGUCUACUAUAAAUCAUGACCAUUUUUAACACAAAUCAUGACCAUUCAUGAUUAGUGAAUCAUACUGUCUUAACUUAUGUGAAAUCAUGUGGAGUAAUAUAAUAUAAUAUAAUAGAUAGAUAGAUCCAUGUUGUAUUAUUUUUUGUUUACAAAAAAUAUCUGUCAUUACACAUUUUGAUUUAUGCAUUUGUUUACAAAAAAACAGUAACAUUUCAUGGUGGAGAGUUUGUAUUGUUUCAUACUGAACACCAAUGUUUUCCCGUAAAAGAAAAUAAUGCCUACGCAUAUGCUUUUAUAUUAUUAUUAUUCUUUCAAACUUAUUCAUAUAGUAUUUUUGAUUGUGCAACCAUAAUUUUUAUUAUCUCUCUCGUUCCACUACAUGCUCUUACUCAAUGAUUUUUUUAUAAUGGGUGUUUUUAUUAACUCAGCCAAAACAUAAUGAGCCACAUCCGGUCUCUGCAUAACUAAGAUGCACACAGCCAAAAGCAGAAGUCUGACAAAAAUAAGAUAAGAAAAUCAACAUAUCGACACCAGUGAGUCAUAUAGUUCCGACACUAUGCCUCUGUUGAAGGACGGGGUGGAGCGAUCUGGAGAUUAUGCUUCCCUCCAUUUUGAGUAAAUACCUCCCUGGCCACUUGUUCCAACCGCAUAGACGCCGCCACGAAUAAUGGUUGGUACUCUGUUCGGUGUAGCAUACACCAUGUAGGAACUGAGUGCUCACUCCUAGUUACUAAAUUAUGUACACACUAGUAGAAAAAGGGCCAUUUGUCCCGGUUCGUAAGGCCCAUUUGUCUCAGUUAGGGAACCGGGACUAAAGGGUCGGUACUAAAGCCCCACACCUUUACUCCCGGUUCUUACACCAACCGAGACAGAUGGGGCUCCACGUGGCCGCUGCGGCUUGCCAUGGCAGGGGGGCCUUUUGUCCCGGUUGGUAGCACCAACCGGGACCAAUAAGCUACCACGCGUCAGCAUUUGAGGGGCUUGGGUUUUUGUUUUUCUUCUGAAGGGGAGGGGAGGGGUGUUGGGGGUUUUGGGGGGUUUUGUAUGGUUAAUUUUGGGGGGUUUCAUAUAUUGUGUUAGGUAGUAAUUAAUUAAUAGAGAGAAGUGUCCUCUCUUAUCUCCGUGCUUGGUCGACGCUACGUACUAUACGUAUAGAGAGGCCCUCGACACACUUGCCAGUAAGCAAAUGAAGGAAACCAUUAAGUACAGAAGUUCGUCAUGAACAUAUGCAUACAAACAUAAGUGAUAUCGACCUCUCCUUCUCUGAGAGAUAGGUCGAACAACAAGUUUCCGUAUAUCCAUCCGGCGCUACUAGCUACUUAUAUACAAUAUUAAGAUCUCUUACAAUAUAAUCCCCUAAUUAUAUAUGAACUCAGUUUCCAGAUGGUAUUCUCGGGCUUUAUUGAUGACGUGGUCAAGAAAGAAUCCCUCCAAUUCCUCUUGAAUUGCUUUGAUGCGAUCUUGUGGUAGGAGUUCAUCCCGCAUCUGCCACAUCUAAUUUGAAGAAGGGGGUCAAUCACUAGUGGAAUAACAGCCAUUUGUCCAAGUUCAUAAGGCUCAUUUGUCCCGGUUGGGGAACCGAGACUAAAGGGUCGUUACUAAAGCCCUACACCUUUAGUCCCGGUUGUCGGUGUCAAAACCGGCGGAUCUCGGGUAGUUGGUCCCGAACUGUGCGUCUAGGCCGGAUGGUAACAGGAGGCAAGGAACACAAUGUUUUACCCAGGUUCGGGCCCUCUCGAUGGAGGUAAAACCCUACGUCCUGCUUGAUUAAUAUUGAUGAUAUGGGUAGUACAAGAGUAGAUCUACCACGAGAUCAAGGAGGCUAAACCCUAGAAGCUAGCCUAUGGCAUGAUUGUUGUGUAUGGAGUUGAUUGCCUACGGACUACAACCCUCCGGUUUAUAUAGACACCGGAUAGGGUUAGGGUUACAUAGAGUCGGUUACAAUGGUAGGAGAUCUUGAAUAUCCGCAUCGCCAAGCUUGCCUUCCACGCCAAGGAAAGUCCCAUCCGGACACGGGACAAAGUCUUCAAUCUUGUAUCUUCAUAGUCCAGGAGUCCGGCUACCCGAACACCCCCUAAUCUAGGACUCCCUCAGUAGCCCCUGAACCAGGCUUCAAUGACGACGAGUCCGGCGUGCAAAUUGUCUUCGGCAUUGCAAGGCGGGUUCCUCCUCCACGUCCUUCAUAGAAGAUUGUAAACACCAAGAGUAGUGUCCGGCUCUGCAAAAUAAGCUUCCACAUAUUUCCGUAGAGAGAAUAAUAUUAACACAAAUCAAAUCUGCUGACGUAUUCCGCAGUGCGUCAUCACACUGCAGCCAAGUCCUUCACUCGAAUCGUUUUCACUUUUCCACCUCAGCGUGUUUUGCGAGGCGGUUUCCUUGGCACGUCUUGUCAAAGUAGAUAUCGUGUACCCCCCUUUUACGGGAUUCUCAUCAAUACAGACAUGGGUAACCCAACCGCGCCACUUAUCUCGACGCUUGGGAGGCAAGCGAGUUUUACUAGGCAGGUGGGGACGCACAACCGCAUCUACCCAUAUAAGGGGAUAAGGAUCCACCUUUUUACCUACGCCUUCUUCCUCCUUUGCCUAUCCAUCUCCUGCGCACCCGAGCUCCAGCGCCCAAGCCCGCACUUCCCACCUCGACCUUCUCCAGCAAUGUCCGGAGCGGGAGGCAAGUGGAUGGUCUCUACCACCACGGAGGGUAAAAUCAAGAAGCUAAGGAAGGCCGGAUACCUGUCCAAGGACAUCGCGCACUGGCUUCCCGAAGAGGGGCAGCUUCUCCCCACCCCAAGGCCCCAUGAGAGGGUAGUAUUUCUCCCCCACUUCCUCCGCGGACUGGGUUUUCCACUCCACCCAUUUGUCCGGGGGCUCAUGUUCUACUACGGCCUGGAUUUCCACGAUCUGGUCCCGAACUUCAUCCUCAACAUCUCGGCGUUUAUCGUCUUUUGCGAGGCUUUUCUCCGCGUCCGCCCUCAUUUCGGCCUCUGGCUCAAGACCUUCAACGUCAAGCCCAAGGUGGUGUGCGGCAGCCAGGCGGAGUGCGGAGGCGCCAUGGUGGGCAAGAUGGCCAAUGUCAUAUGGUUCGAGGGCUCUUUUGUGGAGACCCUAAAGGGAUGGCAAUCUGGGUGGUUUUACAUCACCGAGCCGCGCGAUCCGAAAUGGACCGCAGCCCCCGAGUUCCGAUCCGGACCCCCCAAGCGGCUUGUGUCCUGGAAAGAGACGGGCCUGUCAUGGGGUGACGAAAAUGAGGUGACCGGAUUGCAAACAUGCAUCCAGUCCCUGGUGAACAAGCCAGUCUGGCUUGUUAAUGUAAUCCAGGUUAUGCUCGUCCGCCGGAUCCUCCCGUGCCAACAACGGGAUUUUAAUCUAUGGGAGUUCGACCCGGUGCAGCAUCAAACCCUCAGCAGGCUCUUCGACACGACGUACGAAGACGCCUGGAAGAUGCUAUUAAAGGGCGUCGAGGCUCCCGCAUCCGCUUCCGAGGACCGCGAAUACAGCUCGCAGCGUCACGCUAGCGAGGUAAGCCAUCUACACCUUUUAUAGGAUGUUCAAGCUUUUUUCAUAGUUUGACUCUAUGUGGGAUCUAAACUCCCUUACCUUUGAAAGGCUUGGCGGGCAAUAUCCGGACCGAUUAACUGUCCGGCUCCGCUGCCCGAAGACCCAGCCCCAGCUCUACUAGUGAAGCUGCUGGUUCCGGAGCCUUAUGUGGUGCCGAAGACGAAGGCCAAGAAGAAGAAGACCACAGGGACUCGAAAGAGUGCAUGCAACGUGGUGGUGUCGGACUCGUCAUCUGACGAGUCCAAGACGCCCUCCUCCCAUGAAAACGAGGAGGAGGAAGAAGAAAACUCCCCCCCCCCCCCAGCGGAGGGAGGAGAGAAGAGGAAGGCCGCCCCAACGGGGGAGGCCGAGGGGUCUAGGAAAAGGAAGACCCCUCCGCCAGACUACGCCCCCGACGCCGAAGAGGGCGAAGAGGAGUGGCCGAACAGGGCCAAACGUCCGGCGAAAUCGUAAGUUCGGAUAUCAGAGUAACUCAUGAUGUUCCUUUGUUGCACAGCUUUCCCUAAUGUCGAAUGUAAUUAUGCAGUCCGCCCCGGGCCAAAUUCGACGAAUCAUCGUGCGGCUCCCUGGACUCAUCGGACGUGAACUCAGUUCCGCCCGCUGUCUCCCCCCGCACUGUGGACGACGCCGAAGUGGCGUCGCGACAAGCCCCGGGGCAGGAGGAGGUGGUCCCGGAGGAGCCACAAGGCAACCUCCCGGACUCCAGGAGUGAAGGGGACAAGACCCCCCAGGGCUCCAAGUCUGGCUUUGAGCCGGACACCGCACCGGAAUCUACAACAGUUCCGGACCGCGGUAGGCGAACUCCUUCCAAGAGGAGUAAGCCUUCUGAGCCGGCGUCCUCCGUCCAGCCGAAGGCGCCGGAAAAUCUGCUGGAGGAGCUUAAGGGCGCCUCCAUCGACGAGGAGCACCAUGCCAUCAUGAGUAUGGUGGUCCAGAAGGUUCGGUCCGCCAAAAGCGGACUGACUGAAGCUUGUAAAAAUAUGUAAAAAUAUUACCGUAUAGACAGUAGCCCCUGAUGCUCUGUUUGGCGUUCGGAAAGAAAAGCUGGAUAGAGGAUCUAUUAAAUAUCGCAGGAGUCUAACUAAAAAGCAGUCAAUAUACGUAUGCAGGCUUCGCUGCUGGCCACCGCUGCACUGACUGCGGAGGUGGGUGCCCUGAAACAGGGCCUCGAGCGGACCGAGCAAGAGCUCGGCCUUGCCAAACGGCAGCUCGAGGAGAAAGAAGGUAAGAAAUACCUUACAGAAAAAGUGCCUAUAAAAAGACCUGAUUGCAAAAAAUAACAGGAUUGUACUGCUUAUUGUAGGGGCCACGACUGAGGUGGCGACCCUCAAGCAGGCGCUGUCCGAGGCCAAAAAGAAAACGGCCGUGGAGUGCACCGAGCGAGAGAAACUUGAGGCCCAGGUCAGCGAGGUGCAGCAGGAGCUUCAGGCUCUCAUGAAAAAACAUGAGAGUUUGGAGCUUGAGUCCAAGACGCAAGCGUAUGAGCUCGCGGCGGCCCUUGAGACUGCCAAGUCUGCCAAGGCCGAAGCCCAAAAGGCCCUCCAAGAGUUGGAGGAGAUGAAAAAGAUAGCGGCGGGUAAGGCAUUCUUUAUGCAAAGCAGAAGUAUAAAAGUGAAGUACUUGUUACUUACCCGAAUCCAGAGCUCUCCAGGGGCAUUCGCAGAUCUUCCCCGCGGCGUAUCUGACGCCGCUGCAUUCUACCGAGCCGAAGAGGGCAGCUCGACGGAGAAGGUGUUCUGGUUUCAGUAUGCUGAGGCCGGACACCCUGUGCCCUUGAGCGACCAGCUGAAACAGCUGGUCGAGCUCCACAAGGCGGCCGAGCAGGCCAUGAAGGGCUUCAUAGUUCGGCUGUGGCCCGGAGAGGCCCUGCCUGGGAGCUACUUCGGGUUGGUGUGGCGACUGGUGGAGGCCUGUCCAAGGCUCGAGGUCAUUAAGUGCUCCGUCUGCAUCGAAGGUGCCCGUAGGGCCCUUGCCCGUGCAAAGGUGCACUGGGGCAAGCUGGACGGUGAGAAGCUUGUGAGGGACGGGCCGCCGCCGGGGAAGGAGCAUCGCAAGCCCGAGAACUACUAUAAGGAUGUUCUAGCGGGUGCCCGCCUUGUGGCGGAUGAAUGUACCAAGGAUGUAAUUUUUUAAUGAACUCGCUCGUGUUUAUCCUGUGUGCUGAAAAGUUGUUCAUAUGCGCUAAGCAAUGCUUGUUGAAUUUAAAAUAUUACUUUCUGUGCGGCCGUUUAUCAAAAAUUGAGAGAUGGCCAGUCGGCGGCUUCUGCCCCCAUGCCACUAGUGCUGGGGUGUUCGGGAUAAACCUGAGCGCUCUUUUUCCCAUAGUUGGAUCCUUCGAGGGAGGCGCUCAGCACAACGAACCAGGCAAUCGGACUAUAAUGCUUGAACACUCUAACUUAGCCAUAGAACUCUAUAAUUUUAAAUUUCGGCGAAGCCCCUAGUUCGGAAGACCGAGUUCGGGGCGCUAUCCACGCCUUGGCCGGACAAAGCCGGCUCCUCGCUCGAAGCGGCAUAAGUCUUUAGGGACUCGAAAAACCUGUCGAACAGCGACCGGUCUCUCACCAUAUCAUGACAGUCAGUUUUACCUUUCUCCACUGAGGUGCUUAACCCAGCUCAACCGGGGCACAAUCGCAGUGGUUCUCCUAGUGCUACCUUAGCCGAUAUAGCGGAACGUAAGGCACCAAAACAUAGGAGCCAGGCAAACGCAACUAUUGACCCAAAUCAUGAUACGGAGCCGAUGCAUAUAGUGCUAUAAGUUCGGGGUGCCGUACUUGUGAAAGUGUACGGACUUCUCACGCCAUAUUUAUGGGUACUAAAGCCCCUGACGUAUUUUGCCGUACCACGGUGUACGGGUGCAACAUGUCAUAAACAUAUAUAUGAAAAGGUGAUAAUGCGAAAAAUAGACAGAAAGCUAUCCAUUGUUUAUAGAGAGGCUAUUUAUCAAAGCCGAACGAUACAAAUAGUGCGGUAAGCAAAAAAUAUUGGACUAUUUAGUAUGUCCUGACCAGGAGCAGGCCGCGGAAUUGUGUUUAAAACAGGUAUACCGCUCGUAACAGAGACCACCUGGGAGUUCCAUAAUGCGGCAUGGCUUGUCUUCCUCCCUGGAUCUUGCAUCGUUUGUGCGGCCGUCGAAUUGCCGAACAGGUCGUCCGAAGUAUGGAGUCCUGAAAGUAAGAAAAAAAUUAAAAAAAGAAUCCGGCAGCCCCUAGUACGUUUUAAGUCGUAUUUUGGGCGUGCCGUUAUUGCCCCUUCCCCUGUGCCCAUGGUAUUUCAAGGGCGUAGUUAUGUACGCGGGGUACUGGUUUCGCUAUGUCGCGAAAGCUGGGGUUGGGGCCACAUUGCUACGCUUGCUUAGAGUGUGCCAGGCGGUCCUGCUGUGGGUUACUCCAGGGGCGCCUGGCAGUGUCUGGCUUUUUAAUGGCCGGACUAGAGAAUUGCCUGAGAAGGCUACUUUGUACCUCCGCUGCGAGAGCCGCCGUAUGCUCCCCCAUAUGGAGGGAGCGUUCGGUGUUUCCGUUGACCGUAAUUACUCCUCGAGGGCCUGGCAUCUUGAGCUUGAUAUAUGCGUAGUGCAGCACCGCAUUGAACUUUGAGAAUGCAGUUCGUCCGAGCAGGGCGUGAUAGCCACUGCGAAACGGGACUAUAUCGAAGAUUAACUCUUCGCUUCGGAAAUUGUCCGGGGAUCCGAAGACCACGUCAAGUGUUACUGAGCCUGUACAGUUGGCUUCUACACCUGGUAUAAUGCCUUUAAAGGUCGUUCUUGUGGGCUUAAUCCUUGAGGGAUCUAUGCCCAUUUUCCGCACUGUAUCCCGAUAAAGCAGGUUCAGGCUACUGCUGCCGUCCAUGAGGACUCUUGUGAGAUGAAAUCCGUCGAUGAUUGGGUCGAGAACCAAUGCGACGAAGCCGCCAUGACGGAUGCUAGUGGGAUGGUCCCUUUGAUCAAAAGUGAUUGGGUAGGAGGACCAUGGGUUGAACUUUGGGGCGACUGGCUCCAUCGCGUAUAUGUCUCGCAGCGCACGCUUCCGCUCCCGCUUGGGAAUGUGGGUUGCAUUUAUCAUGUUCACCGUCCGCACUUGUGGGGGAAAGCCCUUCUGUCCAUUGUUGUUCGGCGGCUUGGGAUCCUCAUCGUCGUUGUGCAGCCCCUUUUUCUCUGUUUUUGGCCCUUAACUUGCCUGCCUGCUUGAACACCCAACAAUCCCUAUUAGUGUGAUUGGCUGGCCUUUCGGGGGUGCCAUGUAUCUGGCACAAGCGAUCGAGUAUUCGGUCCAAACUGGACGGGCCCUGAGUAUUCUUUUUGAAUGGCUUUUUCCGCUGACCGGAUUUAUAGCCUUUGAAUCCGGCAUUGACUGCCGUGUCUUCAUUGCUGUUGCUGCUAACGCGGCGUUUUUGCUUAUUCCGACGUGUCCUGCCACUUUUGUCCUUGGUAUCCGAAUUACCAGGGUUCUUUGAUAAGUUGUUACUGCGAGCUAGCCAGCUAUCUUCUCUCGCGCAAAAGCGGGUCAUGAGUGUCGUGAGGGCUGCCAUGGAUUUCGGCUUUUCCUGUCCCAGGUGCCGGGCAAGCCACUCGUCGCAGAUGUUAUGCUUCAAGGCUGCCAGGGCCUCUGCGUCCGGAUAGUCGACUAUCUGGUUUUUCUUUGUUAGGAACCAUGUCCAGAAUUGUCUGCCGAUUCCUCUGGCUGCUGAAUUAUGUGGCUUAAGUCGUCGGCAUCCGGUGGUCGCACGUAAGUGCCCUAGAAGUUGUCGAGGAAUGCGGCUUCCAGGUCCUCCCAAGAACCGAUUGAGUCUGCUGGCAAGCUGUUAAGCCAAUGCCGGGCCGGUCCUUUAAGUUUGAGCAGGAGCUAUUUGAUGGCGUGUAGAUCAUCGCCGCGUGCCAUGUGGAUGUGAAGGAGAUAAUCCUCGAUCCAUACCGCCAGAUCUGUUGUGCCAUCGUAUGAUUCGAUGUUUACGGGUUUGAAACCCUCUCGGAUUUUAUGAUCCAUUACUUCGUUCGUGAAGCAUAGCGGGUGUGCGGCGCCUCUGUAUUGGGCUAUAUCAUGACGCAGCUCGGAAGAGCUAUGUCUGUUGUGUUCGGCCCGGCCGGAUUUGUUGUAUCCGGAGUGAAGAUCAUUGUCACAUGCUGUAGGGUGGCUGCGCGAUCCGUAGAUCGAUCUUUUUUGUCUUGCCUUAUCCUCCAGUAUGUCUCGCAGAUCGGGCGCAUUUUCCCGUGCCUUAUUUACGCACCGUCGGGGCAUGGCUUGGGUGGAGGGCCGAGAGGCCUCUCUGUCGCGGCCGUGAGGUGGCCGGUCUGCCAUGUCAUUCGCUGGUGACGUAGGUACUUCCUCCUCUGAUCGGGGUAGCGGCCUGCGCUUCGGGUAACUCUUGGAGGGGCGUUCGUGUUCAUACUCUUCGGCUGCAAGGACUUCAGUCCAUCUGUCAGCUAGCAAAUCUUGGGCGGCUGUAAGCUGUUGCUGCUUUUUCUGGAGGCUGCUUGCCAUGGCUAAAAGCCUGUGUUUAAAACGCUCUUGUUCGGCGGGGUCUGAUGGUAUGACGAAUUUGUCGUCAUCGAGGCUUGCCUCGUCUCCAGAGGGAGGCGUAUAGUUAUCAUCCUCGACUUCUCGGUCUGCCGCUCUCUCAUGAGGGCUGGCUACUCCAUCUCCCUGUGCCGAAUCUUGCUGAGGUGGGUGUUCUUCGGCGUUAUCCGGGGUAGUAUUAUCUCCCGUGCCGGAAUCACCGUUUUUGCUUUGGCUGUUUCUUGGGGGCGUCAUCCCCCACUAUUCCAUCACCAUCUCCAUCUUUUGGAGUAUCCACCAUAUAUAUGUCAUAUGACGAGGUGGCCUUCCAGCGCCCUAUAGGUGUUGGUUCCUAUUCGUCUCCUACUUCGUCGUCCAUGCCGUCGAUGUCUUCGGAGCCGAAGUCACGCAUGUCGGUUAAAUCAUCGACAGUGGCUACAAAGUGGGUGGUGGGUGGGCUUUGAAUUUCCUCAUCGUCCGUAUCCCACCCUCGCUGACCGUAGUCCGGCCAGGGCUCUCUUGAUAAAGAGAGAGACUUAAGAGAAUUCCGGAUGUCACCAAAAGGCGAAUGCUGAAAGAUGUCUGCGGCGGUGAACUCCAUUAUCGGCGCCCAAUUGGAUUCGAUUGGCAGGGGCGCAGGGGGUUUGGAGUCCGGGAAGGAGUCCGGAUCCUCGGAGUCACGGGUCGUCCAGAGUGCGGGGCUAGCGUUCAGCUCGAUCGCUUUCGGGAUCGCAGCCCCUGAGGUGACGUCCAGCCACUCAUCCUCGAUUGGCGCAAUAGGCAUCGAGUUAGGGGUCAGAACCGAUGCGUGUGCGGCCUCCAGGACACUGUCCGGGGGCAGAGCUAGAUCAUGCCCCUCGAGAUAGUGCGGCGCGCUUGACCGUGGCUCGAGCCCGUCGAAGAUCAAGUCUCCGCGGAUGUCAGCCGUGUAGUUUAAGCUUCCAAACCUGACUUGAUGGCUAGGGGCGUAGCUUUCGAUCUGCUCCAGGUGGCCGAGCGAAUUGGCCCGCAGAGCAAAGUUGCCGAAGACGAAGAUCUGUUCGGGGAGAAAAGUAUCACCCUCGACCGCAUCGUUGUUGAUGAUCAAAGGAGCCAUCGGGCCUAAAGGCGACGACACAGAGGAACUCUCAAUGAAAGCACCAAUGUCGGUGUCAAAACCGGCGGAUCUCGGGUAGUGGGUCCCGAAUUGUGCGUCUAGGCCGGAUGGUAACAGGAGGCAGGGAACACGAUGUUUUACCCAGGUUCGGGCCCUCUUGAUGGAGGUAAAACCCUACGUCCUGCUUGAUUAAUAUUGAUGAUAUGGGUAGUACAAGAGUAGAUCUACCACGAGAUCAAGGAGGCUAAACCCUAGAAGCUAGCCUAUGGCAUGAUUGUUGUGUAUGGAGUUGAUUACCUACGGACUACAACCCUCCAGUUUAUAUAGACACCGGAUAGGGUUAGGGUUACAUAGAGUCGGUUAUAAUGGUAGGAGAUCUUGAAUAUCCACAUCGCCAAUCUUGCCUUCCACGCUAAGGAAAGUCCCAUCCGGACACAGGACAAAGUCUUCAAUCUUGUAUCUUCAUAGUCCAGGAGUCCGGCUGAAGGUCUAGUCCGGCUACCCGAACACCCCCUAAUCCAGGACUCCCUCACCGGUUCUUACACCAACUGGGAGAGAUGGGCUUCCACGUGGCCGCUGCGGCGAGCCCAGGCAGGAGGUCCUUUGGUCCCGGUUAGUGACACUGAUACGUCUCCGACAUAUCUAUAAUUUUUGAUUGCUCCAUGCUAUUAUGUUAUCCAUUUUGGAUGUUAAUGGGCUUUAUUUUACACCUUUAUAUCAUUUUUGGGACUAACCUACUAAUUGGAGGCCAAACCCAAAUUGCUGUUUUUUUUGCCUAUUUUAGGUUUUCGAAGAAGAGGAAUAUCAAACGGAGUCCAAACGGAAUGAAAACUUCGGGAACGUGAUUUUCUCAACGAACAUGAUCCAGGAGACUUGGAGUGUGCGCCAAGAAAUAAGGGAGGAAGGCACGAGGCAGGGGUCGCGCCUACCCCCCUUGGGCGUGCCCUCCACCCUCGUGGGCCCUCCACUGCUCCACCGACGUACUUCUUCCUCCUAUAUAUAUACACGUACCCCCCCAAACAACCAGGAGCACCAUGAAAACCUAAAUCCACCGCCGCAACCUUCUGUACCCGAGAGAUCCCAUCUUGGGGCCUUUUCCGGAGGGGGCAUCGAUCACGGAGGGCCUCUACAUCAACUGCAUGGCCUCUCCGAUGAUGUGUAAGUAGUUUACUUCAGACCUACGGGUCCAUAGUUAUUAGCUAGAUGGCUUCUUCUCUCUCUUUGGAUCUCAAUACAAAGUUCUCCUCGAUGUUCUUGGAGAUCUAUUCGAUGUAAUCUUCUUUUGCGGUGUGUUUGUCGAGAUCCGAUGAAUUGUAGGUUUAUGAUCCAGAUUAUCUAUGGACAAUAUUUGAUUCUCCUCUGAAUUCUUUUAUGUAUGAUUCGUUUAUCUUUGCAAGUCUCUUCGAAUUAUCAGUUUGGUUUGGCCUACUAAAUUGAUCUUUCUUGCAAUGGGAGAAGUGCUUAGCUUUGGGUUCAAUCUUGCGGUGUUCGAUCCCAGUGACUGAAAGGGAACCGAUAUUUAUUGUAUUGUUGCCAUCGAGGAUAAAAAGAUGGGGUUUAUAUCAUAUUGCAUGAGUUUAUCCCUCUACAUCAUGUCAUCUUCCUUAAAGCAUUACUCUGUUCUCUUGAACUUAAUACUCUAGAUGCAUGCUGGAUAGCGGUCGAUGUGUGGAGUAAUAGUAGUAGAUGCAGAAUCGUUUCAGUCUACUUGUCUCGGACCUGAUGCAUAUAUACAUGAGCAUAACUAUAUAUUCUCAUAACUAUGCUCAAUUCGAUCAAUUGCUCGACAGCAAUUCGUUUACCCACCGUAAUACUUAUGCUCUUGAGAGAAGCCACUAGUGAAACCUAUGGCCUCGGGGUCUAUCUUCUAUCAUAUUAAUCCUCCAAUACUUAGUCAUUUCUAUUUCUAUUUAUUUUAUUUUGCAUCUUUUAUUUCUCUUUAUCAUAAAAAUACCAAAAAUCUUAUCUUAUCAUAUCUAUCAGAUCUCACUGUCGUAAGUGACCGUGAAGGGAUUGACAACCCCUUUAUCGCGUUGGUUGCGAUGUUCUUAUUUGUUUGUGUAGGUUCGUGGGACUUGAGCAUGAUCUCCUACUGGAUUGAUACCUUGGUUCUCAAAAACUAAGGGAAAUACUUACGCCGAUUUAUUUCAUCACUCUUUCUUCUUCAAGGGAAAACCAACGCAAUGCUCAAGAGGUAGUGUCGGUGUCAAAACCGGCGGAUCUCGGGUAGUGGGUCCUGAACUGUGCGUCUAGGCCGGAUGGUAACAGGAGGCAGGGAACACGAUGUUUUACCCAGGUUCGGGCCCUCUUCAUGGAGGUAAAACCCUAUGUCCUGCUUGAUUAAUAUUAAUGAUAUGGGUAGUACAAGAGUAGAUCUACCAUGAGAUCAAGGAGGCUAAACCCUAGAAGCUAGCCUAUGGUAUGAUUGUUGUAUAUGGAGUUGAUUGCCUACGGACUACAACCCUCCGAUUUAUAUAGACACCGGAUAGGGUUAGGGUUACAUAGAGUCGGUUACAAUGGUAGGAGAUCUUGAAUAUCCGCAUCGCCAAGCUUGCCUUCCACGCCAAGGAAAGUCCCGUCCGGACACGGAACGAAGUCUUCAAUCUUGUAUCUUCACAGCCCAGGAGUCCGGCUGAAGGUAUAGUCCGGCUAUCCGAACACCCCCUAAUCCAGGACUCCCUCAGUAGCCCCUGAACCAGGCUUCAAUGACGACGAGUCCGGCACGCAAAUUGUCUUCGGCAUUGCAAGGCGGGUUCCUCCUCCAAGUCCUUCAUACAAGAUUGUAAGCACCAAGAGUAGUGUCCGACUCUGCAAAAUAAGCUUCCACAUAUCGCCAUAGAGAGAAUAAUAUUAACACAAAUCAAAUCCGCUGACGUAUUCCGCAGUGCGUCAUCACACUACAGCCAAGUCCUUCACUCGAAUCGUUUUCACUUUUCCACCCCAGUGUGUUUUGCGAGGUGGUUUCCUUGGCACGUCUUGUCAAAGCAGAGAUCGUGUCCCCUUUGUUUACGGGAUUCUCGUUAAUACGGACGUGGGUAACCCAACCGCGCCACUUAUCAUGGCGCUUGGGAGGCAAGCGAGUUCUACUAGGCUGGUGGGGACGCAUAGUCGCAUCCGCCCAUAUAAGGGGAUAAGGAUCCACCUUUUUACCUAUGCCUUCUUCCUCCUUUGCCUAUCCAUCUUCUGCGCACCCGAGCUCUAGUGCCCCAUCCCGCGCUUCCUACCUCAACCCUCUCCAACAAUGUCCGGAGCGGGAGGCAAGUGGAUGGUCUCCUCCGUCACGAAGGGCCAUGUCAAAAGGUUAAGGAAGGCCGGAUACUUGUCCAAAGACAUCGCGCACCGGCUUCCUGAGGAGGGGCAGCUUCUCCCCACCCCAAGGCCCCAUGAGAGGGUAGUAUUUCUUCCCCACUUCCUCCGCGGACUGGGUUUUCCUAUCCACCCAUUUGUCCGCGGGCUCCUGUUCUACUAUGGCCUAGAUUUCCAUGAUCUGGCCCCGAACUUCAUCCUGAAUAUCUCGGCAUUUAUCGUCGUGUGCGAGGCUUUCCUCUGCAUUCGCCCCCAUUUCAGCCUCUGGCUCAAGACCUUCAACGUCAAGCCAAAGGUGGUGCGCGGUAACCAGGCGGAGUGCGGAGGUGCCAUGGCGGGAGAAAUUGCCAACGUCCUAGGGCUCGAGGGCUCCUUUGUGGAGACCUUGAAGGGGUGGUAGUCAGGGUGAUUUUACAUCACCGAGCCACGCGAUCCGAAGUGGAUCGCAGCCCCUGAAUUCCGAUCCGGACCCCCUACACGGCUCACGUCCUGGAAGGAGACGAGCUUGUCGUGGGGCGACGAAGGAGAGUUGACCGGACUGCAAAAAUGCAUCCAGUCCCUGGUGAACAAGCAGCUCAAGCUUGUCAACGUAAUCUAGGUCAUGCUCGUCCGCCGGAUCCUUCCGUGUCAAGAACGGGACAUCAAUUUGUGGGAGUUCAACCCGGUGCAGCAACGAACUCUGAGAAGGCUCUUUGACACGACGUACGAAGUUGUCUGGAGGGGGCUAACCAAAGGCGCCGAGGCUCCCACAUCCGCCUCCGAUGACCGCGGAUUCAGCUCGCAGCGUCCUGCUGGCGAGGUAAGAUAUUUCCAUCUUUUACAGGAUAUUAAGUUUUUUCAUAGUUGACUCUAUGCGGGAUCUAAACUCCCUCACCUUUGACAGGAUUGGCGGGAGAAGUCCGGACAGAUUAACUGCCCGGCUCCCUUGCCAAGCCGGAGAAGAGGGCCAAGAAGAAGAAGGCCACGGGGACUCGAAAGAGUUCCUGGCAUAUGGUGGUGUCGGACUCGUCGUCCGACGAGUCCGAGAUGCACUCCUCCCGUGAAUACGAGGAGGAAGAAGAAACCUCUCCCCCUCCAGCGGGGGGAGGAGAGAAGAGGAAGGCCGCCCCAGUAGGGGAGGCCGAGGGGUCCAAGAAGAGGAAAACCCAUCCGCCGGACUACGUCCCCGACACCGACGAGGACGAAGAGGAGUGGCCGGACAGGGCCAAGCGUCCGGCGAGAUCGUAAUUCUUCGGAUACCAGAGUAACUCGUGAUAUUCCUUUUGUUGCACAGGUUUCGCUAAUGUCAGAUAUAAUCAUGCAGUCCACCCAAGGACGGGCACGACGAGUCGUCGAGCGGCUCCCUGGAUUCAUCGGACGCGAAUUCAGUUCCGCCUACUGCUUCCCCCUAUGCUGCAGAUGACGCCGAAGUGGCGUCGCGACAAGCUCCGGGGCGAGAGGAGGUGGUCCAGGAGGAGUCGCGAGGUGACCUCCCGGACUCCAGGAGUGAAGGGGACAAGACCCCCAUGGGCUCCAAGUCCGGCUUUAAGCUGGACACUGCGCCGGAAUCAUCAAUGGUUCCGGACCGCGGUAGGCGAACUCCUGCCAAGAGGAGCAAGCCUACUGAGCCGGCAUCCUCCGUCCAGCCGGAGGCGCCGCACAAUCUGGUGGAGGAGCUUAAGGGCGCCUCCAUCGACGAGGAGCAUCGUGCCGUCAUGAGUACGGUGAUCCAGAAGGUUCGGUCCGCCAAAAGCGGACUGACUGAAGCUUGUGCUAGCCUUCUAACAGGCUUCGAGGUAAGUAAAAAUAUGUAAAAAUAUUACCGUAUAGACAGUAGCCCCUGAUGCUCUGUUUGGCGUUUGUAAAGAAAAGCCAAAUAGAGGAUCUAUUAAAUAUCCCAGGAGUCUAACUAAAAAGGAGUCAAUAUACGUAUGUAGGCUUCGCUGCUGGCCAUCGCCGCACUGACUGCGGAGGUGGGUGCCCUUAAGCAGGGCCUCCAGCGGACCGAGCAAGAGCUCGGCCUUGCCAAACGGCAGCUCGAGGAGAAAGAAGGUAAGAUAUACCUUAGAGAAAAAGUGCCUAUAAAAAGGCUUGAUUGCAAAAAGAGUAACAGGAUUGUACUGCUUAUUGUAGGGGCUACGACUGAGGUGGCGACCUUUAAGCAGGUGUUGUCUGAGGCCGAAAAGAAAACGGCCGCGGAGCGCACCGAGCGAGACAGACUUGGGGCUCAGGUCAGCGAGGUGCAGCAAGAGCUUCAGGCUCUCAUGAAAAAACAUGAGAGUUUGGAGCUGGAAUCGAAGGCGCAAGCAUCCGAGCUUGCAAUGGCCCUAGAGGCUGCCAAGUCUGCCAAGGCCGAAGCCCUAAAGGCCCUCCAAGAGUUGGAGGAGAUGAGGAAGAUAGCAGCGGGUAAGGCAUUCUUUAUGCAAAGCAGAAAUAUAAAAGUGAACUACCUGUUACUUACCCAAAUCCGAAGCUCUCCAGGGGCAUUCGCAGAUCUUCCCAGCAGCGUAUCCGACGCCGCCGCAUUCUGCCAAGCUGAAGAGGGUAGCUCGACGGAGAAGGUGUUCUGGUUUCAGUAUUCUAAGGCCGGACACCCUGUGCCCUUGAGCGACCAGCUGAAACAGCUGGUUGAGCUCCACAAGGCGGCCGAGCAGGCCAUGAAGGGCUUCAUAGUUCGGCUGUGGCCCGGAGAGGCCCUACUUGGGAGCUAUUUCGGGCUAGUGCGGCGGCUUGUGGAGGCCUGUCCGAGGCUUGAGGUCAUCAAGUGCUCCGUCUGCAUCGAAGGUGCCCGUCGGGCCCUUGCCCGUGCAAAGGUGCACUGGGGUAAGCUGGAUGGUGAGAAGCUUGUGAAGGACGGGCCGCCGCCGGGGAAGGAGCAUCGCAAGCCCGAGAACUACUACAAGGAUGUUCUUGCAGGUGCCCGCCUUGUGGCGGAUGAAUGUACCAAGGAUGUGAUAUUUGAAUGAACUCGCUCGUGUUUAUCCUGUGCGCUGAAAACUUGUUCAUAUGCGCUAAGCAAUGCUUAUUGAAUUUAAAAUAUUACUUUCUGUGCGGCCAUUUAUCAAAAAUUGAGAGAUGGCCAGUCGUCGGCUUUUGCCCCCGUGCCACUAGUGCUGGGGUGUUCGGGAUAAACCUGAGCGCUCUUUUUCCCAUAGUUGGGUCCUUCGAGGGAGGCGCUCACCACAACGAAUCAGGCAAUCAGACUAUAAUGCUUGAACACUCUCACUUAGCCAUAGAGCUCUAUAAUUUUAAAUUUCGGUGAAGCUCCUAGUUUGGAAGACCGAGUUCGGGGCGCUAUCCACGCCUUGGCCGGACAAAGCCAGCUCCUCGCUCGAAGCGGCAUAAGCCUUUAGGGACUCGAAAAACCUCUCGAACAGCGACUGGUCUCUCGCCACAUCAUGACAGUCAGUUUUAGCUUUCUCCACUGAGGUGCUUAACCCAGCUGAACCGGGGCACAAUCGCAGUGGUUCUCCUAGUGCUACCUUAGCCGAUAGAGCGGAACGUAAGGCACCAAAACAUAGGAGCCGGGCAAACCCAACUAUUGACCCAAAUCAUGAUUCGGAGCCGAUGCAUAUAGUGCUAUAAGUUCGGGGUGCCGCACUUGUGAAAGCGUACGGACUUCUCACACCAUUAUGAGGGGUUCUGAAGCCCCUGGCGUGUUUGCCAUACCAUGGUGUACGGGUGCAAUCAUGUCAUUUAAUAAACAUAAAUGUGAAAAGAAGACAACGCAAAAAAUAGACUAGAAGCUAAGCAUUGUUUAUAGAGAGGCUAUUUAUCAAAGCCGGACGAUACAAAUACUGAAGUAAGCAAAAGAUAUUGGACUAUUCAGUAUGUCCUGACCAGGGGCAGGCCGCGGAAUUGUAUUUAAAACAGGUAUACCGCUCGUAACAGAGACCACAUGGGAGUUCCAUAAUGCGUCAUGGCUUGUCUGCCUCCCUGGAUCUUGCAUCGUUUGUGCGGCAGUCGAAUAUCCGAACAGGUCAUCCGAAGUAUGGAGUCCUGAAAGAAGAAAAAAUUAAAAAAAGAAUCCGGCAGCCCCUAGUACGUAUUAAGCCGUAUUUUGGGCAUGUCGUUAUUGUGCCCCUUCUCCUGUGCCCAUGGUAUUUCAAGGGCGUAGUUAUGUCCGCGAGGUACUGGUUUCGCUAUGUCGCGAAAGCUGGGGUUGGGGCCGCAUUGCUACGCUUGCUCAGAGUGUGCCAGGCGGUCCUGCUGUGGGUUACUCCGGGCGUGCUUGGCAGUGCCUGGCUUUUUAAUGGCCGGACCGGAGAAUUGCCUGAGAAGGCUACUUUGUACCUCCGCUGCGAGAGCCACCGUAUGCUCCUCCAUACGGAGGGAGCGUUCGGUGUUUCCGUUGACCGUAAUUACUCCUUGAGGGCCUGGCAUCUUGAGCUUGAGAUAUGCGUAGUGCGGCACCGCGUUGAUCUUUGCGAAUGCGGUUCGUUCGAGCAGGGCAUGAUAGCCACUGCGAAACGGUACUAUAUCGAAGAUUAACUCUUCGCUUCGGAAAUUAUCCGGGGACCUGAAGACCACAGCAAGUGUUACUGAGCCUGUACAAUUGGCUUCUACACCUGGUAUAACGCCUUUAAAGGUUGUUCUUGUGGGCUUAAUCCUUGAGGGAUCUAUGCCCAUUUUCCGCACUGUAUCCUGAUAAAGCAGGUUCAGGCUAAUGCCGCCGUCCAUGAGGACUCUUGUGAGAUAAAAUCCUUCGAUGAUUGGGUCGAGAACCAAUGCGGCAAAGCCGCCAUGACGGAUGCUAGUGGGAUGGUCCCUUCGAUCGAAAAUGAUCGGGCAGGAGGACCAUGGGUUGAACUUUGGGGCGACUGGCUCCAUCGCAUAUACGUCCCGUAGUGCAUGCUUCCGCUCCCGCUUGGGAAUGUGGGUUGCGUAUAUCAUGUUCACCGUCCACACUUGUGGGGGAAAGCCCUUCUGUCCAUUGUUGUUCGGCGGCUUGGGCUCCUCCUCGUCGCUGUGCAGCCCCUUGUCUCUAAUUUCGGCCCUUAACUUGCCUGCCUGCUUGAACACCCAACAAUCCUGUUAGUGUGAUUGGCUGGCCUUUCGGGGGUGCCAUGUGUCUGGCAUAAGCGAUCGAGUAUUCGGUCCAAACUGGACGGGCCCUGAGUAUUCUUUUUGAAUGGCUUUUUCCGCUGACCGGAUUUAUAGCCUUUGAAUCCGGCAUUGACUGCCGUGUCUUCAUUGCUGUCGCUGCUAACGCGGCGUUUUUGCUUAUUCCGACGUGUCCUGCCACUUUUGUCCUUGGUAUCCGAAUUACCAGGGUUCUUUGAUAAGUUGUUACUGCGAGCUAGCCAGCUGUCUUCUCCCGCGCAAAAGCGGGUCAUGAGUGUCAUGAGGGCUGCCAUGGAUUUCGUCUUUUCCUGUCCCAGGUGCCGGGCAAGCCACUCGUCGCAGAUGUUAUGCUUCAAGGCUGCCAGGGCCUUUGCGUCCGGACAGUCGACUAUCUGGUUUUUCUUUGUUAGGAACCGUGUCCAGAAUUGUCUGGCCGAUUCCUCUGGCUGCUGAAUUAUGUGGCUUAAGUCGUCGGCAUCCAGUGGUCGCACGUAAGUGCCCUGGAAGUUGUCGAGGAAUGCGGCUUCCAGGUCCUCCCAAGAACCGAUUGAGUCUGCUGGCAAGCUGUUAAGCCAAUGCCGGGCCGGUCCUUUAAGUUUGAGCGGGAGGUAUUUGAUGGCGUGUAGAUCAUCGCCGCAUGCCAUGUGGAUGUGAAGGAGAUAAUCCUCGAUCCAUACCGCCGGAUCUGUUGUGCCAUCGUAUGAUUCGAUGUUUACGGGUUUGUAACUCUCUGGGAUUUUAUGAUCCAUUACUUCAUUCGUGAAGCAUAGUGGUUGUGCGGGUCCUCUGUAUUGGGCUAUAUCACGACGCAGCUCGGACGAGCUAUGUCUGUUGUGUUCGGCCCGGGGCCGGAUUUGUCGUAUCCGGAGUGAAGAUCAUUUUCCCGUGCCUUAGUUGAGCGGUGUCGGGGCAUGCCUUGGGUGGAGGGCCGAGACGCCUCUCUGUCGGGGCCGCGAGGUGGCCGGUCUGCCAUGUCAUGCGCUGGUGAUGUAGGUGCUUCCUCCUCUGAUCGGGGUAGCUGCCUGCGCUUCGGGUAACUCUUGGAGGGGCGUUCGAGUUCAUACUCUUCGGCCGCAAGGACUUCAGUCCAUCUGUCAGGUAGCAAAUCUUGGGCAGCUCUAAGCUGUUGCUGCUUUUUCUUGAGGCUGCUUGCCGUGGCUAAAAGCCUGCGUUUAAACGCUCUUGUUCGGCGGGGUCUGAUUGUAUGACGAAUUCGUCGUCAUCGAGGCUUGCCUCGUCUUCGGAGGGAGGCGUAUAGUUAUCAUCCUCGACCUCUCAGUCUGCCGCUCUCUCAUGAGGGCUGGCUUCUCCAUCUUCCUGUGCCGAAUAUUGCUGAGGUUGGUGUUCUUCGGCGCUAUCCGGGGUAGUAUUAUCUCUCGUGUCAGAAUCACCGUUUUUGCUUUGGCGGGAUUUAGGGUGGCGCCGCUGGUGCCGGUGCUUUGGUUGUUUCUUGGGGGCGUCAUCCCCCACUGUUCCAUCGCCAUCUCCAUCUUUUGGAGUAUCCACCAUAUAUAUGUCAUACGACGAGGUGGCCUUCCAGCGCCCUACAGGUGCUGGUUCCUAUUCGUCUCCUACAUUGUCGUCCAGGCCGUCAAUGUCUUUGGAGCUGAAGUCAAGCAUGUCGGUUAGAUCGUCGAUACUGGCUACAAAGUGGGUGGUGGGUGGGCUUUGAAUUUCCUCAUCGUCCGUAUCCCACCCUCGCUGACCGUAGUCCGGCCAGGGCUCUCCUGAUAAAGAGAGAUACUUAAGAGAAUUCAGGAUGUCGCCAAAAGGCGAAUGCUGAAAGAUGUCUGUGGCGGUGAACUCCAUUAUCGGCGCCCAAUCGGAUUCGAUUGGCAGGGGCGCGGGUGGUUUGGAGUCCGGGGAGGAGUCCAGAUCCUCGGAGUCACCGGUCGUGCAGAGUGCGGGGCUAGCAUUCGGCUCGAUCGCUUUCGGGAUCGCAGCCCCCGAGGUGACGUCCAACCGCUCAUCCUCGAUUGGCGCAAUAGGUUCCGAGUUAGGGGUCGGAACCGAUGCGUGUGCGGCCUCCAGGACACUGGCCGGGGGCAGAGCUAGAUCAUGCCCCUCGGGAUAGUGCGGCGCGCUUGGCCGUGGCUCGAGCCCGUCGAAGAUCAAGUCUCCAUGGAUGUCUGCCGUGUAGUUUAAGCUUCCAAACCUGACUUGAUGGACAGGGGCGUAGCUUUCGAUCUGCUACAGGUGGCCGAGCGAAUUGGCUCGCAGAGCGAUGCCGCCGAAGACGAAGAUCUGUCCGGGGAGAAAAGUCUCACCCUGGACCGCAUCGUUGUUGAUGAUCAAAGGAGCCAUCGGGCCUAAAGGUGACGAGACAGAGGAACUCUCAAUGAAAGCACCAAUGUCGGUGUCAAAACCAGUGGAUCUCGGGUAGUGGGUCGCGAACUGUGCGUCUAGGCCGGAUGGUAACAGGAGGCAGGGAACACGAUGUUUUACCUAGGUUCCGGCCCUCUUGAUGGAGGUAAAACCCUAUGUCCUGCUUGAUUAAUAUUGAUGAUAUGGGUAGUACAAGAGUAGAUCUACCACGAGAUCAAGGAGGCUAAACCCUAGAAGCUAGCCUAUGGUAUGAUUGUUGUAUAUGGAGUUGAUUGCCUACGGACUACAACCCUCCGGUUUAUAUAGACACCGGAUAGGGUUAGGGUUACAUAGAGUCAGUUACAAUGGUAGGAGAUCUUGAAUAUCCACAUCGCCAAGCUUGCCUUCCACGCCAAGGAAAGUCCCGUCCGGACCCGGGACGAAGUCUUCAAUCUUGUAUCUUCAUAGCCCAGGAGUCCGGCUGAAGGUAUAGUCCGGCUACCCGAACACCCCCUAAUCCAGGACUCCCUCAGGUAGCAAGAUGGAUUUCUGGCGCCGUUGCCGGGGAGACUCGCGCCAAGUAAAGACAUACCAAGUACCCAUCACAAACCCUUAUCCCUCGCAUUACAUUAUUUUCCAUUUGCCUCUCGUUUUCCUCUCCCCCACUUCACCCUUGCCGUUUUAUGCGCCCUCUCUUUUUUCCUUCGCCUCUUUUCCACUUGCUUUGUCAUUAUGGCUAGUCCUUUAUCUACUCCUUUGUCUCCCGAGAAUGAAGUUCUUAAUUUUAAACAAAGGGAGGGAGAAAAUCUAAAAGAUGCUUGGUACAGAAUUUGCAACACGCAAAUUAGAUCUACUAGGAAACAAUCUACUUUUGUUCUUCUUCACAAUUUUUAUGUAGGCAUCACACCUAGGAAUAGAUAUAUUCUUGAUGCCAUUACCGGAGGGAAUUUCUUGGGUAGCCAUACUUUUGAUUCUUAUAAUGCUAUGAUAGAUCUGUUUGGCCCACCACCUCUUUUGGUUAAUGGAACUAUUUUAACUUUGGAACAUGUGAUGCAAUGGCUUGAAAUUAGUGAAAAUAAAGUUGCCACCAUAGAGUUAAUUGAAAAUUUGGAUAGAAAGAUCCACAACCAAAUUACCCAAUACGGAUCUAAGUUAGGAGUUGCUCUUAAAAGUUUUAAAGAAAAGGGACCUAUGGUUAAUGAAAAGAUAGAAAAAGAUUCCACUAGAAUUGUUAAAUUGAGGAUAUUAUUACCAACCUUGGGUCUUCCUUUUCUUCUAUUAUAAAUACUCUACCUAAUGCUAAGAUUGCCAAACUAAUGUAUGUUACAAAAAAUAAUGGUGAAACUUCUAAUAAGGAAAAUGCGGAUCUCAAAUCCAUAAGUGUUCACCCCAAUUUUCUCACUAUCCUGAAGGAACCUUUUGCUACAAAUGAUUUUCUUGAUUUCGUACCUAGGAGUUUGAUAAUUAAUAAAAACCAAGAAACUCCUAAAAGUUAUUGGUGUCUUAUUGAAGAAUCACCUUCCAAAGACGGCAAUACCUAGGUCUAUCUUCGCUUUUAUGCCUAGCUAGGGGCGUUAAACGAUAGCGCUUGUUGGGAGGCAACCCAGUUUUAUUUUUAUUCCUUGCUUUUUGCUCCUAUUUAGUAAUAAAUAAUUUAUGUAGCCUCUGUUUUGGUUUGUGUUUUUUGUGUUUAAUUUGUGUUUGUGCCAUGUAGAACCGUUGGGUAGACUUGGGGAAAGUCUUUUUGAUCUUGCUGUAAAAAACAGAAACGUUAGCGCUCACGAGAAUCGCUGACAUUUUUAUUUGGAAAGUGAUAUUUAGAUAAUUAUUUUUGCAGAUGAUUAAUAGAUAAAUUCCUCACGUCUAGAAAUUUAUUUUAUAAUUUUUGGGGUUACAGAAGUUUGCGUUAGGUACAGAUUACUACAGACUGUUCUGUUUUUGACAGAUUAUGUUUUUCGUGUAUUGUUUGCUUAUUUUGAUGAAUCUAUGGCUAGUAAAAGAGGUUAUAAACCGUAGAGAAGUUGGAAUACAGUAGGUUUAACACCAAUAUAAAUCAAGAUUGAGUUCAUAACAGUACCUUGAAGUGGUGUUUUGUUUUCUUUCGCUAACGGAGCUCACGAGAUUUUCUAUUUGAGUUUUCUGUUGUGAAGUUUUCAAGUUUUGGGUAAAGAUUUGAUGGAUUGUGGAACAAGGGGUGGCAAGAGCCUAAGCUUGGGGAUUCCCAUGGCACACCAAGGUAAAAUUCAAGGACACCAAAAAGCCUAAGCUUGGGGAUGCCCCGGAAGGCAUCCCCUCUUUCGUCUUCGUCUAUUGGUAACUUUACUUGGAGCUAUAUUUUUAUUCACCACAUGAUAUGUGUUUUGCUUGGAGCGUCUUGUAUGAUUUGAUUAUUUGAUUUUUAGUUUACCAAAAUCAUCCUUGCUGUACACACCUUUUGAGAGAGACUCACAUGAUUGGGAAUUUAUGAGAGUACUCGAUGUGCUUCACUUAUAUCUUUUGAGCUAUAUGGUUUUUGUUCUAGUUCUUCACUUAUAUAUUUUAGAGCACGGCGGUGGUUUUAUUUUAUAGAAAUAAUUGUUCUCUCAUGCUUCACUUAUAUUAUUUUGAGAGUCCUUUAGAACAACAUGGCAAUAAUAAAACUGUCAUACAAGUGCAUUGAAUACUAUGAGAAGUUUGAUACUUGAUAAUUGUUUUGAGAUAUGGAGAUGGUGAUAUUAGAGUCAUGCUAGUUGUGUAGUUGUGAAUUUGAGAAAUACUUGUGUUGAAGUUUGUGAUUCCCGUAGCAUGCACGUAUGGUGAACCGUUAUGUGACGAAGUCGGAGCAUGAUUUAUUUGUUGAUUGUCUUCCUUAUGAGUGGCGGUCGGGGAUGAGCAAUGGUCUUUUACUACCAAUCUAUCUCCCUAGGAGCAUGGGCAUAAUACUUUGCUUUGAUAACUUGUAGAUUUUUGCAAUAAGUAUGUGAGUUCUUUCUGACCAAUGUUGAGUCCAUGGAUUAUACGCACUCUCACCCUUCCACCAUUGCUAGCCUCUCUAAUACCGCGCACUUCUCGCCGAUAUCAUACACCCACCAUAUACCAUCCUCAAAACAGCCACCAUACCUACCUAUUAUUGCAUUUCCAUAGCCAUUCCGAGAUAUAUUGCCAUGCAACUUUUCAUCGUUCCAUUAUUAUGACACACUUCAUCAUUGUCAUAUUUGCUUGCAUGAUCAUGUAGUUGGCAUUGUAUUUGUGCAAAGCCACCGUUAAUAAUUCUUCAUACAUGUCACUCUUCAUUCACUUCAUAUCCCGGUACACCGCCGGAGGCAUUCACAUAGUCAUAUUUUGUUCUAAGUAUCGAGUUGUAAUUCUUGAGUUGUAAGUAAAUAAAAGUGUGAUGAUCAUCAUUAUUAGAGCAUUGUGCCAAGUGAGGAAAGGAUGGAGACUAUGAUUCCACAACAAGUCGGCAUGAGACUCCAGACGAAAAUAAAAAAAGAGGGGAAAAAGAGAAAGGCCAUAGAAAAAGAAGGCCCAAAAAAUGAGAGAAAAAGAGAGAAGGGGCAAUGUUACUAUCCUUUUUCCACACUUGUGCUUCAAAGUAGCACCAUCAUCUUCAUGAUAGAGAGUCUCCUAUGAUAUCACUUUCAUAUACUAGUGGGAAUUUUUCAUUAUAGAACUUGGCUUGUAUAUUCCAAUGAUGGGCUUCCUCAAAUUGCCCUAGGUCUUCGUGAGCAAGCAAGUUGGAUGCACACCCACUUAGUUUCUUUUGUUGAGCUUUCAUACACUUAUAGCUCUAGUGCAUCCGUUGCAUGGCAAUCCCUACUCACUCACAUUGAUAUCUAUUAAUGGGCAUCUCCAUAGCCCGUUGAUACGCCUGUUCCGGAGCUCCGCCGGAGGGGGCAUCGAUCACGGAGGGCUUCUACAUCAACAGCAUAGCCUCUUCGAUGAAGUGUGAGUAGUUGACCUCAGACCUAUGGGUCCAUAGUUAUUACCUAGAUGGCUUCUUUUCUCUUUUUGGAUCUCAAUACAAUGUUCUCCCCCUCUCUUGUGGAGAACUAUUCGAUGUAAUCUUCUUUUUGCGGUGUGUUUAUUGAGACCGAUGAAUUGUGGGUUUAUGAUCAAGUCUAUCUAUGAAUAAUAUUUGAAUCUUCUCUGAAUUCUUUUAUGUAUGAUUGUUUAUCUUUGCAAGUCUCCUCGAAUUAUCAGUUGGUUUGGCCUACUAGAUUGAUCUUUCUUACAAUGGGAGAAGUGCUUCGCUUUGGGUUCAAUCUUGCGGUGUCCUUUCCCAGUGACAAUAGGGGCAGCAAGGCAUGUAUUGUAUUGUUGCCAUCGAGGAAAACAAGAUGAGGUUUUCAUCAUAUUGCAUGAGUCUAUCCCUCUACAUCAUGUCAUCUAGCUUAAGGCGUUACUCUGUUUUUAACUUAAUACUCUAGAUGCAUGCUGGAUAGCGGUCGAUGAGUGGAGUAAUAGUAGUAGAUGCAGGCAGGAGUCGGUCUACUUGUCUCGGACGUGAUGCCUAUAUACAUGAUCAUACCUAGAUAUUCUCAUAAAUAUGCUCAAUUCUGUCAAUUGCUCAACAGUAAUUUGUUCACCCACCAUAGAAUAAUUAUGCUCUCGAGAGAAGCUACUAGUGAAACCUAUGGCCCCCGGGUCUAUCUUUAUCAUAUUAAUCUCCUACUACUUAGUUAUUUCCUUUGCUUUUUCCUUUGCCUUUAUUUUACUUUUCAUCUUUAUCACAAAAAUACCAAACAUAUUAUCUUUAUCAUAUCUAUCAGAUCUCACUCUCGUAAGUGGCCGUGUAGGGAUUGACAACCCCUAUUCACGUUGGUUGCGAGGAUUUAUUUGUUUUGUGCAAGUACGAGGGACUCGCGCGUAGCCUCCUACUGGAUUGAUAUCUUGGUUCUCAAAAACCGAGGGAAAUACUUACGCUACUUUGCUACAUCAUCCCUUCCUCUUCGGGGAAAACCAACGCAGUGCUCAAGAGGUAGCAAGAAGGAUUUCUGGUGCCAUUGCCAGGGAGGUCUACGCAAAAGUUAACAUACCAAGUACCCGUCACAUACCCUUAUCUCCCGCAUUAUAUUAUUUGCCAUUUGCCUCUCGUUUUCACCUCCCCCACUUCACCCUUGCCGUUUUAUUCGCCCUCUCUCUCUAUCCUCCCUCUCUUUCUCUAUUUGCCUCUUUUUUCCCGCUUGCUUUCUGUUUGCUUGUGUGUUAGUUGCUUGCUUGUCACGAUGGCUCAAGAUAAUACUAAAUUAUGUGACUUCACCAAUACCAACAACAAUGAUUUUAUUAGCACUCCGAUUGCUCCUCUUAUCGAUGCUGAAUCUUGUGAAAUUAAUACUGCUUUGCUGAAUCUUGUCAUGAAAGAUCUGUUUUCCGGCCUUCCUAGUGAAGAUGCCGGUACCCACCUAAAUAGAUUCAUUGAUUUGUGUGACAUGCAAAACAAGAAAGGUGUGGAUAAUGAUAUUGUUAAAUUGAAGCUAUUUCCUUUUUCGCUUAGAGAUCGUGCUAAACUUGGUUUUCGUCUUUGCCUAAAAAUAGUAUUGAUUCAUGGAAUAAGUGCAAAGAUGCUAUUAUCUCUAAGUAUUUUCCUCCUGCUAAGAUCAUCUCUCUUAGAAACGAUAUUAUGAAUUUUAAGCAACUUGAUCAUGAAUAUGUUGCACAAGCUUGGGAGAGAAUGAAACUAAUGGUACGUAAUUGCCCUGCCCAUGAUUUAAAUUUGUGGAUGAUUAUACAAAAUUUUUAUGCCGGAUUGAAUUUUGCUUCUAGAAAUCUUUUAGAUUCGGCCGCGGGAGGCACUUUUAUGGAAAUCACUUUAGGAGAAGCUACUAAACUCCUAGAUAAUAUUAUGGUUAAUUAUGCUCAACGGCAUACUAAAAGAUCUAAUAAUAAAAAGGUGCAUGCGAUAGAAGAAAUUAAUGUUUUGAGUGGAAAGAUGGAUGAACUUCUGAAAUUAUUUGCUAAUAAGAGUGUUUCUUCUGAUCCUAAUGAUAUGCCCUUGUCUACUUUGAUUGAGAAUAAUAAUGAAUCUGUGGAUGUGGAUUUUGUUGGUAGGAACAAUUUUGGUAACAGCGCGUAUAGAGGAAAUUUCAACCCUAGGCCUUAUCCUAGUAAUCUCUCUAAUAAUUACGGUAAUUCCUACAACAAUUCUUAUGGAAAUUAUAAUAAGAUGCCCUCUAAUUUUGAAUCUAAUAUUAAAGAAUUUAUUACUUUGCAAAAGAAUUUCAAUGCCUUGAUUGAAGAAAAAUUGCUUAAGAUUGAUGAUUUGGCUAGGAACGUUGAUAGAAUUACUCUUGAUGUUGAUUCUUUGAAACUUAGAUCUAUUCCACCUAAGCAUGAUGUCAAUGAGUCUCUCAAAGCCAUGAGAAUUUCCAUUGAUGAGUGCAAAGAAAGAACCGCUAAGAUGCGUGCUAAGAAAGAUGCCUUUAUAAGAGCGUGUUCUUCUAGUUCCUAUGAAAAUAAUGAUGAAGAUCUAAAAGUUAUAGAUGUGUUCCCUAUUAAAUAUUUGUUUUUCAAUAUGAAUCUUGAUAAUGAUGGGACUGAAUAUGAUCCACCUUUACCUAUAAGGCGUUCGAAGAAUUCAGAAUUUGUUGAUCUUGAUGCUAAAAUUGAUAAAGGUGGGAUUGAAGAAAUUAAAACCCUAGAUGUUGCUAAACCCACUAUUAUGGAUUUCAAGGAAUUUAACUAUGAAAAUUGCUCUUUGAUUGAUUGUAUAUCCUUUUUACAAUCCGUGCUAAAUUCUCCUCAUGCUUAUAGUCAAAAUAAAGCGUUUACUAAACAUAUCGUUGAUGCCUUGAUGCAAUCUUAUGAAGAAAAACUUGAAUUGGAAGUUUCUAUCCCUAGAAAGCUUUAUGAUGAUUGGGAACCAACUAUUAAAAUUAAAAUUAAAUAUCAUGAAUGCUAUGCUUUAUGUGAUUUGGGUGCUAGUGUUUCCACGAUUCCAAAGACUUUGUGUGAUUUGUUAGGUUUCCGUGAUUUUGAUGAUUGCUCUUUAAACUUGCGCCUUGUGGAUUCCACUAUUAAGAAACCUAUGGGAAGAAUUAAUGAUGUUCUUAUGGAUGCAAAUAGGAAUUAUGUGCCUGUAGAUUUUAUUCUUCUUGACAUAGAUUGCAAUCUUUCAUGUCCUAUUAUUCUUGGUAGACCUUUCCUUAGAAUGAUUGGUACAAUUAUUGAUAUGAAGGAAGGAAAUAUUAGAUUCCAAUUUCCAUUAAGGAAAUUCAUGGAACACUUUACUAGAAAGUAAAUUAAAUUACCUUAUGAAUCUAUUAUGAUAGCCACUUGUGGAUUGCCUACCAAAGAUGGCAAUACCUAGAUCUAUCCUUGCUUGUUAUGCCUAGCUAGGGGCGUUAAACGAUAGCGCUUGUUGGGAGGCAACGCAAUUUUGUUUUUAUUCCUUGAUUUUUGCUCCUGUUUAGUAAUAAAUAAUUUAUCUAUCCUCUGUUUUGGUUGUGUUCUUUGUGUUUAAUUAGUGUUGGUGCCAAGUAGAACCGUUAGGAAGACUUGGGGAAAGUCUUGUUACACUUGCUGUAAAAAACAGAAACUUCGGCGCUCAUGAGAACUGCUGCCAUUUUUAUUUGGAAAGUGCUAUUUAGUUAAUUAUUUCUGCAGAUGAUUAAUAGAUAAAUUCCUCACGUCCAGAAAUUUAUUUUAGAAUUUUUGGGGUUCCAGCUCUUGAGCUAGGUACAGAUUACUACAGAUUGUUCUGUUUUUGAAAGAUUCUGUUUUUUCGUGUGUUGUUUGCUUAUUUUGAUGAACCUAUGGCUAGUAAAAUAGUUCAUAAACCAUAGAGAAGUUGGAAUACAGUAGGUAUAACACCAGUAUAAAUAAAUAAUGAGUUCAUUAUAGUACCUUGAAGUGGUCUUUUAUUUUCUUUCGCUAACGGAGCUCACGAGAUUUUCUACUUUAAGUUUUGUGUUGUGAAGUUUUCAAGUUUUGGGUAAAGAUUUGAUGGUUUAUGGAACAAGGAGUGACAAGAGCCUAAGCUUGGGGAUGCCCAUGGCACCCCCAAGAUAAUCUAAGUACACCUAAAAGCCAAAGCUUGGGGAUGCCCCGGAAGUCAUCCCCUCUUUCGUCUACUUCUAUCGGUAACUUUACUUGGAGCUAUAUUUUUAUUCGCCACAUGAUAUGUGUUUUGCUUGGAGCGUCUUGUAUUAUUUGACUCUUUAUUUGUUAGUUUACCACAAUCAUCCUUCCUGUACACACCUUUUGAGAGAGCCAUACAUGAUUUGGAAUUUGUUAGAAUAGUCUAUGUGCUUCGCUUAUAUCUUUUGAGUUAUAUAGUUUUGCUCUAGUACUUCACUUAUAUAUUUUAGAGCACGGUGGUGGAUUUGUUUUAUAAAAACUAUUGAUCUCCCAUGCUUCACUUAGAUUAUUUUGAGAUGCUUAAUAGCAUGGUAACUUGCUUAAAAUCCUAAUAUGCUAGGUAUUCAAAGUUAGUAAAAUUUUCUUAAGAGUGUUUUGAAUACUAAGAGAAGUUUGAUGCUUGAUGAUUGUUUUGAGAUAUGGAGGUAAUAAUAUCAAAGUCGUGCUAGUUGAGUAGUUGUGAAAUUGAGAAAUACUUGUGUUGAAAUUUGCAUGUCCCGUAGCAUGCACGUAUGGUAAAUGUUGUGUAACAAAUUUGAAACAUGAGGUGUUAUUUGAUUGUCUUCCUUAUGAGUGGCGGUCGGGGACGAGCGAUGGUCUUUUCCUACCAAUCUAUCCCCCUAGGAGCAUGCGCGUAGUACCGAGGUUUUUGAUGACUUGUAGAUUUUUGCAAUAAGUAUGUGAGUUCUUUAUGACUAAUGUUGAGUCCAUGAAUUAUACGCACUCUCACCCUUCCAUCCUUGCUAGCCUCUUUGGUACCAUGCAUUGCCCUUUCCCACAUUGAUUGUUGGAGCAAACUUCGCCGGUGCAUCCAAACCCCGUGAUAUGAUACGCUCUUUCACACAUAAACCUCCUUAUAUCUUCGUCAAAAAAGCCACCAUACCUACCUAUUAUGGCAUUUCCAUAGCCAUUCCGACAUAUAUUGCCAUGCAACUUUCCACCAUUCCGUUCAUCAUGACACAUUCAUCAUUGUCAUAGUGCUUAGCAUAAUCAUGUAGUUGACAUAGUAUUUGUGGCAAGGCCACCGUUCAUAAUUCUUUCAUACAUGUCACUCUUGGUCCAUUGCAUAUCCCGGUACACCGCUGGAGGCAUUCAUAUAAGUCAUACUUUGUUCUAGUAUCGAGUAGUAAUUAUUGAGUUGUAAAUAAAACGAAGUGUGAUGAUCUUAAUUAAUAGAGCAUGGUCCCAAAAAGAGAAAAAAGGAAGGGCCAAAAAAAGGCCAAAUAAAAAAAUAUAAAAAGGGGGGCAAUGCUACUAUCCUUUUUUCCACACUUGUGAUUCAAAGUAGCACCGUAAUCUUCAUGAUAGAGAGUAUCUUGAUUUGUCACUUUCAUAUACUAGUGGGAAUUUUUCAUUAUAGAACUUGGCUUGUAUAUUCCAACAAUGGGCCUCCUCAAGUGCCCUAGGUCUUUGUGAGCAAGCAAGUUGGAUGCACACCCACUUAGUUUCUUUUGUUGAGCUUUCAUACAUUUAUAGCUCUAGUGCAUCCGUUGCAUGGCAAUCCCUACUCCUUGCAUUAACAUCAAUCGAUGGGCAUCUCCAUAGCCCAUUGAUUAGCCUCGUUGAUGUGAGACUUUCUCCUUUUUGUCUUGUCCACAUAACUCCACUCAUUAUAUUCUAUUCCACCCAUAGUGUUAUGUCCAUGGCUUACAAUCAUAUAUUCCGUGAAAGUUUAUAGGUUUGAGAUCACUAAAGUAUGAAACAAUUGCUUGGCUUGUCAUCGGGGUUGUGCAUGAUGAGAGCAUUGUUGUGUGACAAAAAUGAAGCAUGACUAAACUAUAUGAUUUUGUAGGGAUGAACUUUCUUUGGCCAUGUUAUUUUGAGAAGACAUAAUUGCUUAGUUAGUAUGCUUGAAGUAUUAUUAUUUUUAUGUCAAUAUGAACUUUUGUCUUGAAUCUUUCGGAUCUGAAUAUUCAUACCACAAUUAAGAAGAAUAACAUUAAAAUCAUGCUAAGUAGCACUCUGCAUCAAAAAUUCUGUUUUUAUCAUUUACCUACUCGAGGACGAGCAGGAAUUAAGCUUGGGGAUGCUUGAUACGUCUCCAACGUAUCUAUAAUUUUUGAUUGCUCCAUGCUAUAUUAUCUACUGUUUUGGACAAUAUUGGGCUUUAUUAUCCACUUUUAUAUUAUUUUUGGGACUAACCUAUUAACCGGAGGCCCAGCCUAGGAUUGCUGUUUUUUGCCUAUUUUAGGGUUUCGAAGAAAAGGAAUAUCAAACGGAGUCCAAACGGAAUGAAACCUUCGGGAACGUGAUUUUCUCAACGAACAAGACCCAGGAGAAUUGGACCCUCCGUCAAGACACAAAAGAGGAGGCCACGAGGUAGGGGGCGUGCCUACCCCCCCGGCGCGCCCUCCACCCUCGUGGGCCCCCUGUUGCUCCACCGACGUACUCCUUCCUCCUAUAUAUACCUACGUACCCCCAAAUGAUCAUAUACGGAGCCAAAACCCUAAUUACGCUGCCGCAACAUUCUGUAUCCACGAGAUCCCAUCUUGGUGCCUGUUCCGGAGCUCCGUCAGAGGGGGCAUCGAUCAUGGAGGGCUUCUACAUCAACACCAUAGCCUCUCUGAUGAAGUGUGAGUAGUUGACCUCAGACCUACGGGUCCAUAGUUAUUACCUAGAUGGCUUCUUCUCUCUUUUUGGAUCUCAAUACAAUGUGCUCCCCCUCUCUUGUGGAGAACUAUUCGAUGUAAUCUUCUUUUUGCGGUGUGUUUGUUGAGACCGAUGAAUUUUGGGUUUAUGAUCAAGUCUAUCUAUGAAUAAUAUUUGAAUCUUCUCUGAAUUCUUUUAUGUAUGAUUGGUUAUCUUUGCAAGUCUCUUCGAAUUAUCAGUUUGGUUUGGCCUACUAGAUUGAUCUUUCUUGCAAUGGGAGAAGUGCUUAGCUUUGGGUUCAAUCUUGCGUGUCCUUUCCCAGUGAUAGUAGGGGUAGCAAGGCACGUAUUGUAUUGUUGCCAUCGAGGACAACAAGAUGGGGUUUUCAUCAUAUUUUAUGAGUCUAUCCCUCUACAUCAUGUCAUCUUACUUAAGGCGUAAUAGUAGUAGAUGAGUGGAGUAAUAGUAGUAGAUGCAGGCAGGAGUCGGUCUACUUGUCUCGGACGUGUUGCCUAUAUACAUGAUCAUACCUAGAUAAUCUCAUAACUAUGCUCAAAUCUAUCAAUUGCUCAAUAGUAAUUUGUUCAUCCACCGUAGAAUACUUAUGCUCUCGAGAGAAGCCACUAGUGAAACCUAUGGCCCCCGGGUCUAUCUUUAUCAUAUUAAUCUCCUACUACUUAGUUAUUUCCUUUGCUUUUUUACUUUGCCUUUAUUUUACUUUGCAUCUUUAUCACAAAAAUAAAAAUAUCUUUAUCAUAUCUAUCCAAUCUCACUCUCGUAAGUGGCCGUGUAGGGAUUGACAACCCCUAUUCACGUUGGUUGCGAGGAUUUAUUUAUUUUGUGCAGGUACGAGGGACUGGCGCAUAGCCUCCUACUGGAUUGAUACCAUGGUUCUCAAAACCUGAGGGAAAUACUUAUGCUACUUUGCUGCAUCAUCCCUCACUCUUCGGGGAAAACCAACGAAGUGCGCAAGAGGUAGCAAGGGUUCCUUUUUGUCGACGAUCUGAUGUUUCAACCUUGUUUUCCAGGCGGCCAACGCAUCACUCAACUUGGUCAUGGCGUGUUUGUUUAUCUUCUUCAUUGCCAGGUCCUUAUCUGGAUCUUUAUUAUCCUUUUCAUUACGGUCCGGGAACAAGAAUAUCUGGUGCAGCUUCUUCAGGAGGGAGGGCCUCAUAUUAUCUAUCUUCUAUAGUUUCCCAUCGUUGAUCAUGGCAGUUGUCCGUACAAUGCAACCUAUUUGAUUGCCGUAACACGAUUGCGCUUCCUCGGGUGCUAUUGUCUCAAAAAUACUGUCGUCCAUCUCCGUGACCACCAGUCUAGUACUCAUGAGCUGGUUUAGGCGUCGUGGCCUCUUUGCUGUCGGUUCUAGACUAACUCCCCUAGUCUCGGCACCGGUCUCAGUCUCAUCGCCGGUCUGCAUGUCGGUAUCAGUCCCCGAUGCGACAACACAGUCGCUGCAACAUGGGUAAGGGAGACCACAUCAGUGCUGGGGGUCCGAAAAUUGGGACACACUUUCGCGCGUCGCGGGCCGCCUCUCAGACAGCUAAUGGGGAGGCGGCGGAGUACCUGGGUGCGCGGCGAAUCCCCAAGAACUCGGUGACCAACUUCCUUCCCGUGUGGCGCAUGGAGACGACGGCGACCCUGGCGAAGAGCAGCUUAGCCGCGAGCUGCACAGCCUCGUCCACCUCCUAAGUUGGGACCUCCGUGCGAGCGUUGCGGGGCCGCCGCUCGGAUGGCUUCUGGAAGGCCGUUGUACAUGGGCACAGGGUGAAUCCCGACGAGAGCUGGCCAUUGGCGCGCGCAAGUAGACGACGACGUCCCCGACGAAGAGCUGCCCGGCCAGCUCGCCUCACUCGCCUUUGAUUAGAAAUGAAAGAUUGGGAAGAAGCAGACUUGAGCCUGCAGGGAAAGGAUAAGGUGACGAUGCAGUCUCCACUCGUUCGGGGCGACACGCGUACUGAAUGUAUGAGAAACGUGACGUGGCAGAGACCCCAAGAUACUCCCUCCAUUUAUUUUUAGUCUGCAUAUAAAGUUUGGUCAAAGUCAAGAUUUGUAAAUUUUAACGAACUUUAUAAUAAAAAAAUAUCAGCAUUCACAAUAUGAAAUCAAUAUUACCAGAUGCGUCAUGAAAUGUAUUUCCAUACUAUAUAGUUUUGGUAUUGUAGAGGCACUCUUCCAUAUAAUGAAGUUUAUAAUAUAUGUGCUUAUAUUGUAUUACAAUUGUUUGAAUAGCUUAGCAUAUGUUCAGAUGUAUGAUAUCUGUAAUUUAAGCGCUUGAAUUUUACAUAUAAAUAUUUAUUAAUAAAUAUGUACCCCUAUAAUAGCUAGGCCGUGCCGUUGCACGGGUAGAUGACUAGUGAUUACAAUCUUGUUUGUGUGCAAGUCAAGCUUAUAUAGUUUACACGUAACAACUUGUAGAACAUUACAAAAUUUAUGCUUGCUAAUAACUUCUAGAACACUAGAACACUUGACAUGUAAAAGGAAUUUGACGAGUCAUGGCCUACUAAAGCAAGUUACAUUACUAGUCUUAUCUAUCUUAACAGACCACACAAGAUUACAAACUAAGUACCGUGACAGCCAUGCUUAUCUAGUUUAUGCGUAACAAUUUGCAGAAAAUUAGAAACUUGGUUUCAGAAAAAUACGCAAUCUAGAUUAGUGUUUGAGCUGUAAAGUGAAUAAGAUGAGUCAUGCAUGUUAUCACACCUUUUUGGUGGUGGAAUGAUAGUGCAACAACAAGGAACUUUAAUGACCAGUCCAAGAAUACACUUGUAAGUAGUGCCACCAAACAGAACAUACCAAAUGAUGAUUUUUAGAAGCAUCCAAGCACUUUCCACACAAACAAAUGCCAAUUGUGAAAGAGAUCAUUCCAUGGCAGCUAUAAAUAGCCCCAUAGCAUGAGGUUCAUCCUUCCUCAUCCAUCAUUUUCAUUAGUAGAGCGCAUCAUUUAAGCCAAGCAAGCUGUGGUCAAUACAAAUCCACCAUGAAGACCUUUCUCAUCCUUGCCCUCCCUGCUAUCGUGGCGACCACCGCCACAACUGCAGUUAGAGUUCCAGUGCCACAAUUGCAGCCACAAAAUCCAUCUCAGCAACAGCCACAAGAGCAAGUUCCAUUGGUACAACAACAACAAUUUCUAGGGCAGCAACAACCAUUUCCACCACAACAACCAUAUCCACAGCCGCAACCAUUUCCAUCACAACAACCAUAUCUGCAGCUGCAACCAUUUCCGCAGCCGCAACUACCAUAUUCGCAGCCACAACCAUUUCGACCACAACAACCAUAUCCACAACCGCAACCACAGUAUUCGCAACCACAACAACCAAUUUCACAGCAGCAGCAGCAGCAGCAACAACAACAACAACAACAACAACAACAACAAAAGCAAAUCCUUCAACAAAUUUUGCAACAACAACUGAUUCCAUGCAUGGAUGUUGUAUUGCAGCAACACAACAUAGCGCAUGGAAGAUCACAAGUUUUGCAACAAAGUACUUACCAGCUGUUGCAAGAAUUGUGUUGUCAGCACCUAUGGCAGAUCCCUGAGCAGUCGCAGUGUCAGGCCAUCCAAAAUGUUGUUCAUGCUAUUAUUCUGCAUCAACAACAAAAACAACAACAACAACCAUCGAGCCAGGUGUCCUUCCAACAGCCUCUGCAACAAUAUCCAUUAGGCCAGGGCUCCUUCCGGCCAUCUCAGCAAAACCCACAGGACCAGGGCUCUGUCCAGCCUCAACAACUGCCCCAGUUCGAGGAAAUAAGGAACCUAGCGCUACAGAUGCUACCUGCAAUGUGCAAUGUCUACAUCCCUCCAUAUUGCACAAUCGCGCCAUUUGGCAUCUUCGGUACUAACUGAGAAGAAAAUAACUCUAGUACUAGAUAUAUGAAACACCGUUUUCUCAGUCCAUGGUUUGGUCAUUGUAGCGUCGAAAAAAUAAUGUGACAUGCACUAUCAUAUAAGAAUCCGAACUAUACUAGUUCAAACUUGGGAAUAAAAGACAAACACAUGUCUUGUCUACAUAUUUAUGUUGCAUCUAUUUAUAUAUUAAAAGUAAUAUAAGGUGAACCAGGAGCAAGGUAAAUAUGCUAGAAAAUUGCACGUUAAUUAGAAAUUACUUGCCCUCGAUCUGGUAAAUCUUAACAAAUAGAAUUAUCUUGACCGUUAGAUUUAUAUAACAUAUAUAAUGCUCUGGGCCUCCAACGACUGUACGUGACACAUCUGAACGAACAUAUGGUAAAGAAAAUAUAUUUGGUAAAUGGUGGGCCUGUUUAAAAAGAGAACUCACGUACAUGCACCAACUAAGAAAAACACAUACAUGUAAACGGGAAAAGGAUGAGAUUUUCUCACGUACGUGCUCCCUGGCUCCACCCCGUUGAAAAAAUAUACAUCUGGAGGCCACUUUGUUUCCUCAUCAAAAAAACUUACGUUAAAAAGAUUGCAUGCAUCCCAGGGAAAAUAGUCAAGAAGAAGUCGGACUUUUCCUUACAAAAACAAGGAACGUGUUAAGUUGACUUCAAAGAAAAAAGGAACAUGUUAAGUUAAAAAAAAACAAGAAACCUGUUAAGUUAGAAAAAAACAAGGAACGUGUUGUCCAAGGAAAGAUAUGUGUCAAAUCUUACAAAAAAAAAGAAUACACACACGUACGUUCAUGCACUUGGAAAAUAGAAAAAAAGGAACAUCACGUAUGUAUACACUUCGGAAACUCAUUACAUGACCAUGUCUGAUAUACUCCUCUAAUGCUUAAUAUUAGUGCCUAAUAAUUUAUAUUUAAAAUUUAAUUUACUGAUCAAAUAUCCCCACUGUUUAAAUUUUAAUUUGGCACAUUGUUUGGCUAUAGUAUGAACCUGAAUUUCCUCUUAUUAUUAUAUAUCAUGGUAAUAAUCCAAAGGCGACUAAUCUGCACCGGCGCACCGGCGCAAUCAAUUCGGCUGGACACAGCGCGGCCGUUUGAUUAGAUUGCAUUUAACCAUCAGAUCUGGAAUCGUUUUCUUUCCAAUUAAACGGAUUCAACCAAACAGCAGAGGGGAAAACAAAGCAGCGCCGCCGCCAACACUAGCCAUGGACGACCGAUGUAGCAAAACCUUGAAGAACCGCCGCCGGUCGCCACCCUCGCCUCUGGUCGCUGCCCUCGCCGUCGGUCACCGCCGGUCGCCGCCCUCGCCGCCUGCGUUUCUCAUCGGCUUCAUGCAUGCAACAACAUGCACUCGUGGUUGCAGGCUUGCAUCUCCGGCUCCGGGGACAUGGCCGCAUCUCCGGUAGCGCCGGCCGCCGGCCGCAGCACCUGUCGUUGUGGUCGCGCUGUACCUCGCCGUGUGCCCUCCCGAGGCUCUUGCUGGUUCCAACAAAAAACGAUACCUGUUGUAGCAAAAAAGUAUCGCUUCCAGCAAAAAAGCUUACCGCUACAGCCCGCCAUCGUCAUUGUAGCAAAAAUGUUAACCCGAUGUAGCUUCUGUGGUUGCCGACUGCAGCAAAAAAUGACAUGGCUGUAGCAAAACACAAAAGAAAAACACUGGCCGGCCGCUGUGUAUGGUGGUAACAAACCCUAUAGCCGGUGGUAGCGAAAAACUUCAUAGUGUGCUGCAAAAAAAUGUUGUCACCCGUCGUCGAGGUUGCAUCAUCUUCAUGAAUUAUGCCGCAAAAAAACGUUGUCGCCGGUAGUAGCAAAUGAAGCCGCCGGUAGUAGCAAAACAAGACACUGGUUCCAGCCAAAAAAAAAAUCAGCGACAGAACCUUUGGUUGGUUCCAACAAAAAAACUUGUCGGUUGUAACAUCCCUCGCCGCCGGAUGUAGCAUCUCCCGGGGCUGGUUGCAACACUCCAUAAAAAAAGUUGUCUAUGAGCGCAUCCAUGGUGACUGCUGCACCGUCAGCAAUGAGGGGAAGAGGAGGCAAUGAAAAUCAUUCGAGUCAUAGCUCCACAGGACGCGGCUGCAGCAUGGGGAGUCCAAAAAUCUGUCACAAGCAACAUGCGCCGCGCCAUCCUCCUGCGCAGGAGAGAGAAGAAAAAGGAAUAAGAGGAAGAAGAAAGGAAACAGGAGAAAGAAAAAAGAAAGGAUUGGUGGUUGGCUCAGGCAAUUAGUCAAGCGAGGGGCACGCGGGGCCGCAGGACACAGCGCAAUCGAACGAAGCGCGCGCGUCCGGGCGAAGACUCGGCCGGACUGCCGUCUGGAAACGUUUCCCUAAUCCAAAGGCUUUAUCUGAAUGACAAGUCGUCUGGGUUACCGGCUAACUAGAAAAAAGAUAAAUAUGCUAGAGAAUUCCAUAAUAAUUAGAAAUAUCUAGCCUUUAAUUAUGUAAACCAGAAAAUCACAACCGUUGGAUUUACUUUAAAGGUAAAUUUCUAUAAAUUCCCACCAUUGCCAGUAUGUAGAAACAUGUGCUGCUUCAAUUCUCCCAUAAUCACCAAUCAAUCAACAACACAAAACAUACCUCAGUUAAAAAAACUGAACAAAAAAAAGAAAAAAAGAAGAAAGGACAAGAUACACGCAUGUACACGACAGCCUUGGCUUGAAACACAUCAGUAGAUCAAGUGUCCGCCUCCCUUACACGUACGUCCCAUGAGGUUUACUAGCCUACCGCCGCCGCAUCAUGCCAUCCUCUCCUUUCAGCUCCCAUGCUCUCCAGCACCCUCAUUGCGGCGCCACUACUCGCCUAGGGAUAUUGCUGCUCAGACCGUGGAGCUUAACCACAUCAGCAUCAGCACGUAUGGGCCUCAUUAUACUGCAGCACGUAUUGCGCCCCCUUAAGUCCAGGUCUGUUUGCUGGCACAUAUGCUUUGGAAAUAGGCCACUAUGUUUGUACUUCAAAAUUGUUUCUGUAUUCUUGAGUGGUACAUCCUUUUAAGCGCCAGUUUUUUAUGUUAAUUCAUGCUGACAACACUUAACCUAGCCUUUCAUGUUCACGUACUAAAUACAGGAGCAAGUAAAAACAACAGACCACCUAAUUGCUCUGCAUGUACUACAUAGGAAAAUUUGUCAUGUUCUACGAUCGCACCAUCCCACCCUUCUCUCUUGGUAUGGGCGCCAAUUGAGGGAUUGAUAAAACUGAAACGAAGACGUCACAGGGCUGGAAGUACCGCUAGCCUGGUUUGCACUGCAACCUACCCAACGCCAUCAGAAACUAGCAACUGAGUCAGGUGUUGAUCGAUUCUCUCAAAUUGCUCUCAUGUAAGUACUACCCCUUGCAUGUGCGUACAUACCUUUGUUGCAUUCUCAAACAGAUAGAACAUGUUUGAUCGGUGCAUGGCUAUUUUUCAUCACAUGACAUCCAGAUAACAAGCAUGAAAGGACUACAUUGGAGAUCAAAAAAUAUUGGUUCCUGGCUAGAGUACCACUACCUAUGGACUUGUCUCCAUAGAAUUUGUUCCCAAGAUGUUAUUUUAAUUAAUCUCUUUAGCUUUCUUCCAUUGCAAACGGUGAUGUGCAUCAUGGUAUAUACGUGACCAUCUUGCACAUGUAUACACAAGAGGCUCAGAUGGAGGUGCUGGAUUCUGGACGAGGGAAUAUGAAGCAGGAGUGAGCGAAGAGUAAAUAAUGGUGGGAGUACCGAUUGGUGUUAUGAAGAAAAAUGCCAUCCAAAGAUUGAUUAGUGUCAUGGAAGAUUAAUUUCUGAAUGCGAAUAUAUAUGUUACAUUGGUUUGGAUCUUUUUGAGAUAAUUCCACCUAAAUUAGGUUCUUUCUUAUUUCAUAUGUAUACCUUAUUUCAGUAAAAGUUCACAACGAACUUAGUAGGACAAAUAUAAUUUUGUUUGUUCUUUCUGUUGUCCGCCACCAAAGCUCAAUUUGAACUCUCUAGAAAUGGACAAUGAUUUAUGCAUUCUAUAUCUUCUUGAUUGAUUAGCCAUGACAAGGAAAUAAAAGGAUUGACUGAUAUAGCAUAACUUUGGAACGAUUAGAGGUUACUACAAAUAAGAGUAGUGUCUGUUGGAAUUUUGCUAGUAGGCCUUUGGCCCAAAGCCCAACUAAAAUUCUGAAAUUCUCUUGGCUCAUUUAUGCACACAUGUGAGUUGAGUGAGUGAGACUAAAGUUUAGUCCCACCCUGGAAGUUGAGAGAGAGUUGCACCUCUUUAUAAGGUGAGCUCUUCUACCACUUGUAUGAGCAUGAGAAGAGGAGACCUACACGCGCGCUCCUCCUCCACGCUCGCCACGCCUCGUCGCGCCGCGCCGUGCCGCGGGUUGCGGGAUUGAGCCGAGCCGAGGACGUUUUCUAUAUUUUUGCUGCUCGGGAAAAAUUAAUGAGUCAUUAAUUAAUAAUUAAUGGACACAUUAAUUACUGAACCGUUUCCGAUUUUUUUGGAUCGUGACGACUCGGACGUGGGGUUUACUCCCAGGACCUACCCGGCCCGCACUAUAUAGUCAGGAAGACGUCUACCCUAGCCGCCGCCGCUUCGUAUGGUUUCUCACCAUCGUUACAGAUCAUUGCGCCGCCAAGCAAGUUUUCUCCAUCCCUCCUUUCGGCGUGCACCGGGAGAAGGGACAGCAGACCUCCGGAACCCCGCCUCUCGUGAUCCUAUACGGGAGAGGGGCGAUCAGGUUUUUGGGGAGCGCACUCGCAUGACUGCUGGCAGCGACGACUUCGCAAACGACGACUUCUUCCCCGACCUCGGCAACCUCAUCCUCGACGACAUGGGCGACAACGUCAACGCCGGCGGUGCUACACCCACUGCACCGUAUGUUAUUCUCUCCUUCUUGUUCGAGAUCAUGGUAGAAUUCAUGUUUCUAGUAUAUGUGCCCUAGAUGUGAUCUGUUCAUCUACUAUGGUAGUUCGCAUGAUUAGUUUAAUCUCUGUUAUUGCUGUCAUGAUCUAUUUCCUAUUUAUUCGGAUUAAAUCUCGUAGUAAUUUUCUCAUUUUUCCAACAAUCCAAAAACCUGAUUAUAGGAAAUUUACUCCGAGUGGUUUUGCUGCGCAUCUGAAAGCCGCUUGCCUUUAAGGGGGCGCAAUAUAAGAGGUGGCGCACCAGAGCAGUCUACUGGUUUCAGAUCAUGGGCUGCUAUGACGCCACCAAGGGCAAGCCUGAGGGCGAUCUUAAUCCAGCACAGCUGGAAGCUUUCAAGAAGAUCAAUACCCUCUUUAAAGGCACGCUUCUGAGUGUUCUUGAUGACUCCAUUGUAGAUUCGUAUAUGUCGUUUGACAAUGGCAAGAACAUGUGGGCUACGCUCGAGGCCAAGUUUGGUGCCUCGGACGCCGGCAGCGAGUUGUACGUCAUGGAGCAAUUCUAUGACUCCAAGAUGACUGAUGGGCGCCCUGUUGUACAGCAGGCUCAUGAGAUACAGUUGCUCGCAAAAGAACUUGAGUACUUCAAGUGUGUGUUGGCGAACAAAUUUGUUGCCGGAGGCAUCAUUGCCAAGCUUCCACCUUCGUGGAACAAUUUUGCUACUUCCCUGAAACACAAGAGACAGGAGUUUUUCGUUGCGGAUCUCAUUGGUACUCUUGAUGUUGAAGAGAAGGCGAGAGCAAAGGAUACACGUGCUUGAGUUGCUAAGGGAGGUUCUAGUGCCCACAUGGUACAGAAGAAGAACUUCCAGCCCAACAAGUUCAAAAACAACAAGAACAAAACUUAGGGCAAAGGCAAGUUCGAUACAAAGAACAAGCCAUCACAUUCUACCAACUUCAAGAAGAACUCUCAUAAGAAGGGGAAGGGACUUUGCCAUGUCUAUGGUGAUCCUAAUCACUGGGCUCCGAAGUGUCCCAACCGCUUUGAGGAGCGCGAACAUGAGAAGAGCGGCAAGUCUGCUAAUGUUGUCAUCGGUGAUACUGAUAUGAAGGAAUCAGGGUACGGUAUUUUUCCUACCAUCCUUUCAGUAUUCCAAACCCCUGACUGGUUAAUUGACACCGGUGCCAAUGUACAUGUUUGUGCUGAUGCCUCCAUGUUUUCUUCUUACCAGGCCACUGGGACUUCUCCUAUGCUGAUGGGGAACGGGUCACAUGCCAUCGUUCGAGGUGUUGGUACGGUCGAUCUGAAGUUUACUUCGGGGAAGACCGUGCGUCUGAAGAACGUUCAUCAUGUGCCGUCCAUCAAUAAAAAUCUCGUUAGCGGUUCCCGUUUAUGUCGAGAUGGUUUUAAGUUGGUUUUCGAAUCCAAUAAAGUUAUAAUUUCUAAGUAUGGACAAUUUGUUGGAAAAGGCUAUGAGAGCGGAGGCUUGUUUCGCCUGUCUUUGUCAGAUAUUUGCACUAAAGUUAUUAAUAAUGUUUGCCACAACAAUGAGUCUGAUAUUUGGCAUUCACGACUUUGUCACAUUAACUUUGGUUGCAUGACGCGGCUAGCCAAUAUGAAUUUAAUUCCGAAAAUCUCUACUGUCAAAGGAUCUAAGUGCCAAGUAUGUGUGCAAGGUAAGCAACCUCGCAAGUCCCAUAAGACUGCAGAGGCAACAGACUUGGCGCCACUAGAGCUUAUACAUUCUGAUAUUUGUGAGAUGAAUGACGUGUUGACAAAAGGUGGAAAGAGAUACCUCAUGACGUUGAUUGAUGACUCCACUAGAUAUUGUUAUGUGUAUCUUAUGAAAUCAAAAGAUGAGGCUUUGGCUUUCUUCAAAAACUAUAGAGCUGAGGCAGAGAACCAACUUGAUCGAAAAAUUAAACGGCUUAGGUCCGAUCAUGGUGGAGAGUAUUUUUCCAAUGAAUUUGAUCUAUUUUGUGCGGAACAUGGUAUAAUCCAUGAGAGGAUGCCUCCCUACUCACCCCAGUCAGAUGGGGUAGCCGAAAGAAAGAACCAAACUCUAACUGAUAUGGUUAACACCAUGUUAGACACUUCGGGUCUAUCCAAGGAAUGGUGGGGGGAGGCGCUAAUGACUGCGUGUCAUGUCCUAAACCGAGUUCCCACAAAGCAUAAGACCAUGACUCCAUUUGAGGAAUGUUAAAGGAAAAGGUUGAAACUCUCUUACCUACGUACUUGGGGUUGUUUGGCGAAAGUCAAUAUACCAAUUCCCAAGAAGCGCAAGCUUGGACCAAAAAUCGUGGGUUGUGUUCUUCUUGGCUAUGCUUUUCAUAGCAUCGGCUAUAGAUUUUUGAUAAUAAAAUCUGAGGUAUCCGACAUGCAUGUUGGUACGAUUAUGGAGUCGAAUGAUGCAACUUUUUUUGAGGACAUAUUUCCUAUGAAGGAUAUGUCGAGUUCAUCAAAUCAGGAGACACCUACUCCAUCUAGUGAGGAAUUCAUUGUAAUUCCUGAACCCACCAUUGCGAUGGAACACAUUGAGAAUCCUGUUGAGGGUGACAAUGGAACUCUUGUGAGGAGUAAGAGACAUAGGACUACAAAGUCCUUUGGUGAUGAUUUCAUUGUGUACCUCGUGGAUGACACACCCAGGACUAUUUCAGAAGCCUGUGCAUCUCUUGAUGCUGACUACUGGAAGGAAGCUGUACGUAGCGAGAUGGAUUCCAUCUUAGGUAACGGAACCUGGGAGAUCACUGACCGUCCUUAUGGGUGAAAACCUGUAGGAUGUAAGUGGGUGUUCAAGAAGAAGCUUAGACCUGAUGGUACGAUUGAAAUGUACAAGGCACGGCUUGUGGCCAAGGGUUAUACCCUGAAAGAAGGUGUAGACUUCUUUGAUACUUACUCACCCGUGGCUAGACUGACCACAAUUGGGUGCUACUAUCACUUGUUGCCUCACAUGGUCUUCUCGUUCAUCAAAUGGACGUUAAGAACGCUUUCCUCAAUGGAGAGUUGAAGGAGGAAAUUUACAUGGAUCAGCCAGAUGGUUUUGUAGUACCUGGUUAGUAAGGAAAGGUGUGCAAGUUAUUAAAGUAUUUAUAUGGCCUUAAACAAGCUCCUAAAGAGUGGCAUGAGUAGUUUGAAAGAACAUUAACUGCUACCGGCUUUGUAGUAAACGAUGGUGACAAGUGCGUGUACUAUCGCUAUGGUGGGGGCGAAGGAGUUAUUCUUUGUUUGUAUGUCGACGACAUAUUGAUCUUUCGAACCAAACUUGAUUUAAUCAAGGAGGUUAAGGAUUUCUUAUCUCGCUGUUUUGAGAUGAAGGAUCUAGGAGUAGCUGAUGUUAUCUUAAACAUCAAGCUGUUGAGAGAUGAGAAUGGUGGGAUCACACUGCUUCAGUCACACUAUGUGGAAAAGGUCUUGAAUCGUUUUGGGUAUAGCGACUGCACACCUUCUCCAACCCCAUAUGAUGCUAGCAUGUUGCAUCGAAAGAAUCGACGGAUUGCUAGAGAUCAACUGAGGUAUUCUCAUAUUAUUGGCUCGCUUAUGUAUUUGGCGAGUGCCACGAGGCCAAACAUCUCGUUUGCUGUUAGCAAGCUGAGUCGGUUUGUGUCAAAACCAGGAGAUGAUCAUUGGCAUGCACUUGAGAGAGUUAUGUGCUAUUUGAAAGGCACCGCGAGCUAUGGGAUUCACUACACCGGGUAUCCAAGAGUACUGGAGGGUUAUAGUGACUCAAACUGGAUAUCUGAUGCUAAUGAGAUUAAGGCCACAAGUGGUUAUGUUUUUACACUUGGUGGUGGCGCUGUUUCUUGGAAGUCCUGCAAGCAGACCAUCUUAAUGAGGUCAACUAUGGAAGCAGAACUCACAACAUUAGAAACUGCCACUGUUCAAGCAGUGUGGCUUCAUGAGCUCUUGAUGGACUUUCCUAUGAUUGAAGAACCAAUACCCCCUAUCCCAAUGAACUGUGAUAAUCAAACUAUGAUCGUCAAGAUAAAUAGUUCUAAGGACAAUAUGAAGUCCUCAAGGCAUGUGAAGAGGAGACUGAAAUCUGUCAGAAAAUUGAGGAACUCCGGAGUUAUUACGUUGGAUUAUAUCCAAACGUCAAAAAAAUUGGCAGAUCCCUUCACAAAGGGUCUAUCACGUAAUGUGAUAGAUAAUGCAUCGAUGGAGAUGGGUCUGAGACCCACCGCAUGAGUUGUCCAUAGUGGUAACCCACUCUUUGUGAUCGGAUAUCCCGUGAAGUAUAAGUGGGAGACAAGCUGUUGGUCAGCUGGGAGGAGAGUAUCCCUAUAUUACCUGUCCCACUCCAUGAAGAUGCAAUACUCUCCUAAUCUGCAUGGCAGGUUGAUACUUAUCUUAAUGUGUUCCAAGUGGCUUAUUCGGGUAAGCAGAGAUGUUGUCCUGCAGAACAUCUUCUGAGGAACACACCUAUAUGAAUUUGACUGUUAACGUCGCAGUCUGUGAGAAUUGGGUGUUCUCUAAUAAAUUCAUGAAAAGGCCCUGGAGUAUGACGUAUACGCUCCACCCGCAGGGAAGCCUUGCGGCAGCCCAGUAUCGGUCAAGAAUUUGUGUGAAACUAGUUGCGCAGAAAAUUUGUAGUUCAAGGCAUAGUCCACUAUUCAAGUUGUGAUCUAGUGUAGCAUAAAUCUCUAAGUGGAAGUUCAACUUCACAGUCUCCACUAAGCCCCGGUAUAUAAACAAUGUUUUGGAACUAAAUGAUGAGAUGUGCCAAUGAGACUUUGUGGGGGAUUGUUGGAAUUUUGCUAGUAGGCCUUUGGCCCAAAGCCCAACUAAAAUUCUGAAAUUGUCUUGGCCCAUUCAUGCACACAUGUGAGUGGAGUGAGUGAGACUAAAGUUUAGUCCCACCCCGGAAGUUGAGAGAGAGCACCUCUUUAUAAGGUGAGCUCUUCUACCACUUGUAUGAGCAUGAGAAUAGGAGACCUACACACGCGCUCCUCCUCCUCGCUCGCCACGCCACCCCUCGUCACGACGCGCCGCGGGUUGCGGGAUUGAGCCGAGCCGAGGACAGAGCUAUGCACAUUGUCUAUUUUUUGCUACCCGAAAAAAUUAAUGAGUCAUUAAUUAAUAAUUAAUGGACACGUUAAUUACUAAACCGUUUUCGAUUCUUUUGGAUCAUGAAGACUCGGACAUGGGGUUUACUCCCACGACCUACCGGGCCCGCAUUAUAUAGUCCGGCAGACGUCUACCCUAGCUGCCGCCGCUUCAUAUGGUUUCUUACCACCGUUCCAGAUCAUUGCGCCGCCAAGCAAGUCUUCUCCAUCCGUCCCUUCGGCGUGCAUCGGGAGAAGGGACAACAGGCCUCCGGAACCCCGCCUCUCGUGAUCCUGUACGGGAGAGGGGCGAUCAGGUUUUUGGGGAGCGCACUCGCGCGACUGCUGGCAGCGACGACUUCGCGAAUGACGACUUUUUCCCUGACCUCGGCAACCUCAUCCUCGACGACAUGGGCGACAACGUCAACGCCGGCGGUGCUGCACCCGCUGCACCUUAUGUUAUUCUAUCCUUCUUGUUCGAGAUCAUGGUAGAAUUCACGUUUCUAGUAUAUGCCCUAGAUGUGAUCUGUUCAUCUACUAUGCUAGUUCGCAUGAUUAGUUUAAUAUCUGCUAUUGCUGUCAUGAUCUAUUUCCUAUUUAUUCGGAUUAAAUCUCGUAGUAAUUUGCUCAUUUUUCCAAUAGUACCAUCUAAUAGAUGAUGUAAAUCUCCUCUAGUUUGACGUUGUUGAGCUAAUUUACAAAAAAAACCUCAUCAUUAUUGGACGUCCUUAACAGCUCAAGAACAAGUUGGGGUCGAACUAAUGGAUUUUACACUUUUACAUUAAAGGUUUAGCUAAAGCUAGCAGGUGUUUUUAAACCUGAAUUUUUUUCCUCCUGAAUUUCUUUGUAUUUUCUUAUUGACACUAUUUAUACAAUCAUCUGACAAAGAUUAGCUAAAGCUGUUUGUAGAUACGUUGAAACCUGAAAAGCUUCUUUGGUUAUCCUUUUAAUAGUUCUACGUUUAUUUUCUCAUAGGUCAUAAUUCUUAUGUAAUACCAAGAUGCAUUGUGGUAGUGUACAUGUGUUAAAUUCAGGUUGUUAUUCACAAUUUGCGACAAAAUUUAGCUCACGCUACAUUCAAAUAUGUUGAAAUGUGAAAGCUUUUUUUUCUUCUCCUUUCUACACCUUGCAUCGGAUUGCAUCCCUUUAGUUAUCCAACAUUUUGUACAACAUGUAGAGAUUAGGAAGUUCAUCAUAGUUUGUUUAUUUCGGUGCUAAUAAAUGUAUGAAAUCUGCAUUUCCAAGCUACUAGGACAAGUAAAAAAUAAUAAUUUUACUAUAGGAUUCAAAAACAGCAGUUCUGAAGUGCACUUUAUUUAUUUUUGAAAGUGAUCACAUUUUGUUUCAUUUUUCUAUAGACAAAUCUACUAAUACAUACUCACGAUAAAACUAUAAAAGUUCUAGUCCGCACAUUGGGCGGGCCACCCGGCUAGUUAGUCUAAAGAUAACAAAAUGAGUCUGGAAUUUGAAUUAAAUUGAAGUAUUUUCUUGGACUUUCAAAUUGAGUUUUAUUAAAGUAGUAAGGACUAUCCACAUCCUUGGCUUGCCCCUGAUCAAUUAUUUCCAGAGAAGCAUUCAAUUCAUCAAUCAAUUACAUUGAUUUUAGUGGCUGGUACUUCUCCUCAACAUCAGUAUAUUCACCGUGGCCACUCCAAAUCGGCAAGAAUGAGGUACCAGUGCUCUGGAGCAGUGCAAGCUAAUUGCUUCUCAUCUGAAGGGGUGCGGCCGCAGGAGAGGUAUUUCUGGUGGGCCAAGGGACUAAGAAGCGACUGUGGCAGCGGUAUAGACGCCCGCAAAGCCCCAUAAUUUGUUUUUGGUUUACAGGAAAAAUGCACAUCCAUACCAGCCUGGGGAAUAUAGGACCGUAUUGGAUGGAAAACCAUGUCCGGAUGGUUGCGAGCGGUUUAAGGGUUAGCUUUUGUAACGCCCGGUUAGUUAUGCUAUAGCAAUUCCCUGCUAAUGAUGUCACGUUACCACGAUUACUGUUGUUAACCUCACAAUGAUUCAAUCCCCUUCAAAUUGAAAUUUAAAAUAAAGGCAAACAUCAAAAGUUUUCAAAUAUUAAAACUAAAAUCUUUGAGAGGUGACAAAUAAUGCAUAAGUAAUUAUGGUGGAGAAACCACACUUUAAUCAAAUGUUUAAAUACUCUAAAAUGAAAAAAAACAGUUGCUUAAACUAUUAUUUAAAUGCUUUUAAAAUAGUAAAAAUCUUCUAACUAAAUUAUUUGGGUACCAAACUUUUGGUGGCAGUGGUAUAUUUAGUACAACUAAUUUAGAUGCUAAUUAUAUAAAAAGGAAAAGCAAAAGGGGGCAACCCCUCGCUGGGCCUCGGCCUAGCUGCCACUAGGCUAGCUAGGCUGGCCCCGCCGCCUCCCUUAACCCCCCCCCCCCACUCCCCAUCGAACCCAAGCCCGAUCGCCCCACUUCCCCCANNNNNNNNNNNNNNNNNNNNNNNNNNNNNNNNNNNNNNNNNNNNNNNNNNNNNNNNNNNNNNNNNNNNNNNNNNNNNNNNNNNNNNNNNNNNNNNNNNNNNNNNNNNNNNNNNNNNNNNNNNNNNNNNNNNNNNNNNNNNNNNNNNNNNNNNNNNNNNNNNNNNNNNNNNNNNNNNNNNNNNNNNNNNNNNNNNNNNNNNNNNNNNNNNNNNNNNNNNNNNNNNNNNNNNNNNNNNNNNNNNNNNNNNNNNNNNNNNNNNNNNNNNNNNNNNUUGAUCCCAUCUGGAUCGGGGAGGGUAAUGCCCCAAUCGACCCCGUUGCCGUCGCGGGAUUGCCCGCCGACGUCGCCAGGCCUCCUCCCCGCCACCCGUCUCCGGCUCGCCUCCCCUCUCGCUCCUCUUCCCCGACCCGAUCUGGAUCGUGAACGAGCAAUGAGCUCGAAGCCCCCUUCACCGGCGCCAUCACCGUGCGCCACCACCACCGCCUGAAGACCUCACCGUCGCCGAACCUUGCGUCGCCUCCUCGUAUCCCUCCCCUACUCGCGUCCUCAAGCCAGGCCGAGCCCCUUCUCGGCAACGCCGUGAGACGCCCCCGUCUCCCUCCUCUUUCCACUGCGUUCACCGCGCCGCCCGCCGUGCCCCUCGCCGUGCGCACGCCCACCACCGCACCAGCCCCCGCUCCGCGCACGACCCUACCCGCGUCCGCGCCAUGAUCCCCUUUUCCACCCUACCUUCCUGCGCUCGCCGCGGUCCUGAUGCUCCCCCGCGCCCUCUUUUGGGGGCGCCGACUGCCCCUGUCCCACUGCUCGCCGCCGUGCCUCGCCAUCGCUCUACUGCUAAGUUAUUGCUGCGCUGCGGCCGUCGCCUCUUCCCGCUGCUCCGCCAGCGCCGAAGCUCCCGAUUGGCUCCACCACUUCUCACGUUAAACCGCCGGCCUAAAUGGCCUAACCCCCGGCUAAUGAACCCCCACUAUCCCACUGACACCGGGACCCACAUUCCCUAAUUAACCAUUUAAUAAAUUAAAACUCUUAAAUUAACAUUAGUGUAUGACAUGUGCGUCCCCUAUUAAUUUAUAAUUUUACUGCUAGUUUUAUUAGUUUCUGUUUUUUCUGCAUAUUUCUUUUGUAUUUGAACAGGCUUUAUAUAAUAAUAUUUAGCGUCUCAUACACAUAUAAAUGUAAUUAUAGCAUAUACAUACAAAUAGUCUCAUCAAAUCAUGUCAUCACCAUAAUCAUCAUCCAUCACAAAGUGAUCUCUCGUCAUCAUCUCGAAAAUAGCAAUACAAGUCUCGAUUACUUGCAACUACAUCGUCAUCCAUCUAAACAAUGAUAUACGCGAGAAGCGCUAUCACUAUGAGUGAGAGCGGAACUAUGCAGUACAUGAGUUUGUAUCCCUCUCUCACAUUAGCGUGAACCUAAACUAACUACUGGCUGUUGCUCGGAAACCGGAAACCGGUACACCUGGGCCUGACACUCCGGCCACUCGUCGUAUACUCCUGGCGUAGCACUUCUUCGCCAUCGAUGAUCUAUAAACCUACAUCGUCAGAUGAGUCGAUGAUAUGCAACAUAUAUAGUUGAGCAACAGAAAGAGACAGACUUGGCAAAAAUAGAAGCAACAUAUCAUAAGCAUAAAUAACAAAGUUCAUCGUACGCAAAAUGCCCUAACUAGAGUGAUCUUCGCUAGUCGAGGAGGACGGUUUAAUUACAUCACAAAUAAUUUUUCGUCGUGCAUAACUCAAAGUUCCGUCAUACAGAAAGUAUGAACUAAAUGGACACAUUGUCAUAUUUCAAAAAUCACUCCCACAUGUCGUGCCAUCCAUCCAAGUCAAGGAGAUAGUGCCCGAGCUUAGUGAAAGGCUUUAGGUCGAGACGCUGAGCGGCUAUGCGUGUUCGGACGUCUUCCCACGACAUUUGUCCUUCUUCAUAGAACAUCCCUGUUUUUUCGACGACCUCCUUCAUCACUGGAAGAAAAAGGGCCUGUUGUCCCGGUUCUGGAACCGGGACUAAAGGGUCGGUACUAAUGCCCUGUCCCUUUAGUCCCGGUUCAAUCCAGAACCAGGACAGUUGGGCCUCCACGUGGCCUGUGCGCGGAGCCUAGGCGGGAGACCCUUUGGUCCAAUAAGCAUCCACGCAUCAGCAUUUAUGUGGUUGGGGUUUUUGUUUUUUUUGAAGGGGGGGGCAUUGGGGGUUUUGGGGGGUUAAUUUUGGUGUUUCAUAUAUUGUGUUAGCUAGCUAUAAUUAAUAGAGAGAAUUGUCCUCUCUUAUGUCCGUGCUUGCUCGACGCUACGUACUAUACAUACGUAUAGAGAGGACUAGACACGGUAGCUAGCUAGUAAGCAAACGAAGGAAAUAGAAGAUCGUCAUGAACAUAUAUGCAUACAGAGAGAAGUAAUAUCGACCACCUCUCCUUCUCCGAGAGAUUGGUCGAACAACAAGUUCUCAUAUAUCUAUCCGACACUACCGGCUACAUAUAUACAAUAAUUAUCUCUUACAAAUAUAAUCAUACGGAUUCAGGGUCCACAUAGUAUUCUCUGUCUUCAAGGAUCACGUGGUCAAGAAAGAAUGCCGCCAAUUCCUCUUGAAUUGCUCGCAUGCGAGCUGGUGCUAGGAGUUCAUCCCGCUUCCGAAACAUCUAAUUUAAAGAAGGGGGUUAAUACAUAUAUACAUAUAUAUAUAUAUAUAUAUAUAUAUAUAUAUAUAUAUAUAUAUAUAUGAAUGAAUGAAACUCAACACGAAUGAUGGUAAUAAAAUAAAAUUGUGAAUGUUGUUAUUUACGUACUUCAUAUUGUUCGUCAGUGUAGCCCCGCUCAUAGGUCGUGUGGCGGAUGGACUCGCAAACGUAGUAUCCACAGAAAUCAUUCCUUUGUUCCUGCCACAACCACUUUAUAAGAAAUAGAGGUCAAUCAAACUGAUAAGCAAGAAUGCCAAAUGGUAUUGAUGAAACUUGUCAGGACCCCGAUUCCAAGCCACAUCGAUCUAGCCGGUAACACCUCAUAUCACUUUGCGGCCUCACGCACGAUAUUCCACGGGUGUCGCCUUACCAUGGCCCGGGACCGUUUGCGCCUUUUGGCUCACGUAUAUGAUAGUGUUGCUAGCAUCCAUAUGACAGAGAACCCGGGCCGACAUGGCUAGUCGUGAACCCAAAGUGGCACAGACCUAUGGAGACAGGCAUACAUGAAUCACAUCGAGCAUGUCGGUCAUCAGUGUGUGAUUCCGGGCUGUAGCACUGGGCUAACAGGACUCCGGGGAACCCGGGCUGUAGCAGGCUAGGCAGGACUCCGGAAGUCACCGCGUGACAUUUACCCGAAGGGACAGACAUAGGAACGAAGUGAAUCACAUGCCGGCAAGUCAAGUGUCCUGAGCAGUAGUACUGGGCUAGCAGGACUCCGGUGAACCGGGCUGUAGCGGACUACUAUGGCUCGAGGAACACUAGACUACAUUUCCCCAUAAGAAAGGCUGCCAAGGAUAAACAACUAGAUUGUCGGAUCCCACUCAUACCAAGCAUUUCAAUCAUACACACAAUAUGCCCGAUAUGAGUACAUACAACAUGGCAUCACAACAAAACUCUACAACUCAAGUACUUUAUUUAAAGGCUCUAGAGAGCCAUACAUAACAUGUUCAUACAGAUAGGGGUCACAUGACCCGACACUCAAGUCAUACAAUCAUACAAGCACAUGCGGAAGCAACCGGUCUGAGUACAGACACUAGAAAGAAAGAAGGCUCCUCGAGGCCUGUCUAUCUACAUAGGGCCCUCCAUGGCCAGGAUCACCACCUGGGUGGCUAGUCACUCGUCGAUGUCAAGGUCUACAUAGAACCCAUCGAAGGGGGCUGUGUUGUCGUCUGAAAACAGUAAUUAAGCAAACAUGAGUACAAAGGUACUCAGCAAGUCUUACAAAAGAACCUACUAUACAUGCUUAUUCUCAAGAAGGUGGUGGGGAUAUUGCAGCAAGCCAGUUUUCACUCUUGGCUAAACUAUCCUACAGAACUUCUCUAGUAAAAUAGUUUUCGCACACGAGUCCACUACUCACCAACACAAUACUCCACCGGGGAUCCUCCCUCGUCAUCCUAUGAGAGGGCCAUCCUCGGUACUCACACUUAUCUUGACUAUUUUAGUAGUAUCCAUUUAAUUGUCUAUGAACUGUAUAGGCAACCAAGUAGUCCUUUACCGCGGACGCGGCUAUUCGAAUAGUUUUAUACCCUGCAGGGGUGUACUUCGUCAUACAUGCUUUCACCACUUAUCGUCGUUUACACGACAUGUACUCGGCAACCUUCAAGCGAAAGCCCAGCGAGGGUGUCGGCCACGGCCUACCUAAACACUUAAGUCUCUAGUCCAGGUUUAUCGCCUAUCUAGGUUCCAUCCGCAGGGAGUCCGGGCGAGGUUUCCACAUACGGCCCCGAACGAUGUGAACAGGGUCCCGAGACGCCAAACGGGCGCCCGGCAUACCCGGCCAUGGUGUAUCUACCGCAACAUAGCCCACCCUUAGGGUCAGCGCUACGCACGGCCGCCAACACAUAACCUACAAACACCAGAAACUAUUUGCAACUCCUAGACAGAGUACAAGGGUGAUUAAGAAGCCGAGAGGGUCAAUUAAGGAUCCCAAUGCAUGGUAGUAGCUGAAUCUUAAAUCACACAUACCGAUCUCAGUUCUUAGGGACGGUCUCAAUGAAACAACCCACCAUGUACUCCUACAUGGCCUCUCAUCGAUACCUUUACCAAAACAUGUUCAACACAUUCCUCAUAUUACCGACAUAAUCAUAUCACCCUAGCCCAUCACCCAGAUGAACCAGACCUGACACAACUAUAAGCAUAGCAGGCAUAGCAAGGUAGGAAUCACAUACAUGGCUCAAUCAACUCCUACACAUGCUAGUGGGUUUCAUCUAGUUACUGUGGCAAUGACAGGUCAUGCAGAGGAUAAGGGUUCAACUAUCGUAGCACACAGCAGUUUGAAUCACAUUGUCUUAAUGCAGUAAACAAGAGCAGAGGCAAGAACAUGGGUUGUAUCGGAAUGAUCAAUGGGUUGCUUGACUGAUGGAGUGGUAGUGGGAUACUGCCCUUCAGUUGGAUACUCAUGAAUAUCCUCGGAGGCAGAACCUACCACGAAGAACACAUCGGAACACAAUCAACACAUGAUGAUAUGCAACAAUAUGAUGCAUGCUAUGACAUGGCAAUAUGAAUGUGUCUUGGCCUAAUGCAAGCUAAAAUAGAAAGGGAUGAACUCAUUUGAAUCAAAGAUUCAAAUAUUAGCUCAUUAAACAUGGCCUUAGUAGUGCAUUUCCUUAUUCUGCUUAAACAGCAAGGUAAACUUGUUUUUUCAUGCUUGAAACCAUUACAGAUGGAUAUAUUGAAUUUUUCUGAUAAUUUUUCAUAUAUAAAUUAUUUCAUUUGGAGUUACGGUUGAAUUUCUAUGAUUUUUAGAAGUUUCAAACAUUUUCUGGAAUUUCUUGAAUAAAAAUAAAUCCAGAAAAUGCAUUACUGCGUCAGCAUUGCAUCAUGCUGACCUCCGCAGGUCAAAGGCACCAGCCUAGGUCAAACCUGACUGGUGGGCCCCUUCUGUCAGUCUCUCAGUUAAAUAACAGGAUUAGAUUAACACUAAUUAGCUGUCAGUGGGGCCUGGGCCCACAUGUCACUGACUGAUUAAAAUAAAAUUAGUUAAAACUAAUCCUAGAUUAGUUAGCAAACCGGCCCCACCUGUCAUAGACUUAGGGGGGGUCUACCUGGGCCCACCCAGGGUCAAACUGGGUCAAACUCGCCGGCGCAGCUCGGAAAACGCCUACAGGGCACGAGCGAGGCCGUUCUUGGGCUCAUUGGAGAGCUCUUGCAGUCGCGCAUCUAGUGGCGGUGGUGGCCGGAGACGACGACGGCGAGCUCCAAGGCGGCGGCCGGAGUUCGGCCAUGUGCGGGGUGUCGGCUGUGGCGUGCAAACGUGGAAACUGAGGCACUAGCGAGGCACUACGCGAUGCGGCAAGCACGUUGCAUAGCACGGGAUAAUCAAAUGGUUGCCGGAGCGGCACCGGUGACAAGCUCGAGCGGAGACGAGCUUCGGCCAUGGUGGAACUAUGGCCUAGAGGGUGCAAACGCGUGGAAAAGAAGAGGGGAAAGGUGGCGGAGCUCACAGGGAGGUCGAUGAGCAGCUCAGUGGGCUCGGGGGCGACAGAAGUGAGGCGAAUCGAUGAGCAGCGUCCGGCGGGUACCGAGGUUGAAGACGAUCCGAUGGCGGCGAUGCAGGGCCUCCGGCGAUGCGUGGCUCGGUGGGAAGGGCGAGGGGGUGACGGAGGGCGCGACUACGGCGGUGAGACGGCGACGGGUGCGUCGGCCAUCGCGGGAGAGGGAGAGGGAGAUGAGUGGGAGAGUGAGAGAGGAUGAGAGGGGGACGUGGGGGUCGCGUGGCAUUCCCUGGACGUCUCCCGGCAUCGGCGGAAGCAGGAGGUGGCCGGCGUGUGGCCGCGGGCGCCGGCCACGCGCUCUGCGUCCUUCUGGCGCGAGGAGGACGACGACUGGCAGCGCCAGUAGGCUGGGCCGAGCCAGGUGGGCUGGCCAGCACAGGUAAGGCUCAGGUGGGCUUCUCCCUCUUUUUUUUAAUUUGUUUCUGUUUUCUAUUUAACUGUAAAUGUUGGGCUUUAUUUAAAAUACUAAAACAUUUCCAAAAAUCCUGAAAAUAAUUGUGGGCUCUGUUUGGAUUAUUUCCAAUAGCAAACAUUUAUUUGCAGAAUUAUUUGAGCAUUUAAAUGCCCAAAUUCAAAUACUUAUGAUUUAAAUCAAUGACCUUCUGUUGACCUAGAAAAGUUGUGCACCAAUUUUGCCAGAGGUUCUAACCCAAGACAAAGAGGGUGAACUUUUUAGAAGGGCAUUUCAGGUUCAUUGAAAAUAAUUUUAGUAAUCCCUAGUUGUUUCCAGGGGGGUGUUGGGGGUUUCUGCCUUCCCCAAUUCAAAUUUAAGAGGAAUUUAAACAUGAUGCACAUUCUAAUGCUUGAACUAGCUAGGGUGUGACAACUCACCCCCACUCAAAAGAAUCUCGUCCCGAGAUUUAGGAUCCUCUGGAAAGAAGGUGGGGUACUCGAGUCGAAGACGAUCCUCCCUUUCCCAAGUGGCUUCUUUCUCGGAAUGGUGUGUCCAUUGAACCUUGAGAAACUUGAUAUUAUGACGUCGAGUGGUACACUCGGCUUGAUCAAGGAUACGAACGGGAUAUUCCCGAUAAGAGAGGUUAUCUUGUAGAUCAAGCAUUUCGUGGUCCACUCCACGGAUAGGAUCCGCGAAGCAACGCCUGAGUUGUGAAACGUGGAAGACAUCAUGAACUCUGGAAAGAUGCGGAGGUAGUUCCAAUUGGUAGGCAACUUCUCCUCGUUUGGCAAGAAUGCGAAAGGGUCCAAUGUAACGAGGAGCCAAUUUGCCUUUGAUACCGAAAUGAUGGGUUCCUUUUAAUGGGGUAACCCGAAGGUAAGCCUUCUCGUCGAUUCAUAAGUCAUAGGCUUAUGUUUACGAUCAUAUUGACUCUUUUGACGAGAUUGGGCUGUUUUCAAUUUCUCACGAAUAACGCGAACCUGCUCUUCCGCUUCCUGAAUCAUAUCCGGGCCAAAGAGUUGUCUUUCCCCGGUUUCUGACCAGUUAAGAGGCGUUCGACAUUUUCGUCCAUAGAGAACUUCGAAAGGAGCUUUGCCCAAGCUAGCUUGAUAACUAUUGUUAUAAGCAAACUAUGCGAAUGGGAAGCAUUUCUCCCAACUCAUUCCGAAUGAGAUAACAGAAGCUCGGAGCAUAUCUUCUAGAAUUUGAUUGACUCGCUCUACUUGACCACUUGAUUGAGGAUGGAAGGCGGUACUAAAAGAGAGACGAGUUCCCAUAGCAUUUUGGAAACUUUCCCAAAAUCGAGAGGUGAAGAGACUCCCACGGUCUGAGUUAAUUUCCAAUGGGACACCAUGGAGAGACACUAUUCGGGAGAUGUAUAAAUCGGCUAGCUGGCUAGCAGUGAUACUCGCACGAACAGGUAGGAAAUGGGCUACUUUGGAAAGACGGUCGAUCACGACGAAGAUGGCAUUAUUCCCUCUCUUGUUCCUGGGAAACCCAGUAAUGAAAUCCAUACUGAUUUUAUCCCAUUUCCAUUCAGGAAUAGCCAAAGGUUGAAGGGUGCCAGCAGGCCGUUGAUGCCCUGCUUUAACACGAUGACAGACGUCGCAGCUAGCAAUGUAUCGAGCGAUUUCUCUCUUCAUCCUAGUACAUCAAAACCUCUGGCGUAGGUCUUGAUACAUUUUAUUGCUACCGGGAUGAAUGGUGAGAGGGGAUUCAUGAGCUUCCUUAAGGAUCAAUUGGCGUAGAUGUUGUUUCUUGGGAACCACCAAACGGUUCUCAAAGAAGACAGCACCCCGCUUAUCCAUGGAAAAACAUUUAGCAACUCCGCUAGCAAUGUUUUCCUUAAUCCGGGAUAUGCCCUUAUCAUACCGCUGGGCAGUUAUGAUCUGAUCCAUAAGGUUAGGUUUCGCCACCAGGGUGGAUAGGAAUCCUCGAGGAACAAUGUGAAGAUUAAGCUUACGGAAUUCCUCAUGGAGAAGUGGUUGACUUUGUUGUAACAUCAGGUUGUUACAAUAGGAUUUACGGCGUAGUGCAGCAGCCAUGACAUUGGCUUUGCCCGGUGUGUAGGUUAUUCCUAAGUCGUAAUCCGAGAUCAACUCAACCCAACGUCUUUGCCUGAGAUUCAAAUCUGGUUGGGUGAAGAUAUAUUUCAAGCUUUGGUGAUCGGUGAAGAUCUCGCAACGAUUAAGUGCAUGGACUACAGCUGCCAGCUCUAGAUCAUGUGUGGGAUAAUUUUCCUCAUGUGGGUGUAAUUGCCGUGAAGCGUAGGCAAUUACCUGACGAUCUUGCAUGAGUAUGCAACCUAGUCCUUGUCGCGAGGCGUCACAAUAGAUAAUAAAGUCCUUGGAUAAAUCAGGUGGUACCAGUACGGGAGCAGAUGUCAGGCGUCUUUUCAGUUCCUAAAAGCUGAACUCGCACUGUGGAGUCUACUCGAACUUUUUAUCUUUCUUGAGGAGUUUAGUUAGAGGUUUAGCAACCUUGGAGAAAUUCUCGACGAAGCGGCGGCAAUAGCUCGCUAAGCCAAGGAAGCUCCAAACUUGCUUGACCGUCUCAGGUGGAGUCUAAUCAAGGACGGCUUGAACUCGCUCGGGAUUGACGGCAAUACCCUUACCAGAGAUUACAUGGCCUAGAUAGGUUACUUCUGGCAACCAAAAUUCACACUUGGAGAAUUUGGCAUAAAGGCGAUGCUCUCGAAGUUUCAUCAAUACCAGCCUUAGAUGUUCGGCAUGUUCCUCUUCAUUCUUGGAGUAGAUUAGUAUGUCAUUGAGGUAUACUACGAUGAAUUUAUCCAAGUACUCCAUGAAAACCGAGUUCAUUAGCCGGGAGAAGGUAGCCGGGGCAUUGGUUAAACCGAAGGACAUAACGGUGUACUCGUAUUGGCCAUAACGAGUAACAAAGGCCGUUUUGGGAAUGUCCCCGUUUCUGAUUUAGAUUUGAUGGUAGCCCAACCUCAAAUCCAUCUUGGAAAAGACUGAGGAUCCAGCAAACUAAUCAUACAGAUCAUUGAUCCUGGGAAGUGGGUAUUUGUUCUUGAUGGUGACCAAGUUGAUAGGUCGGUAAUCCACAACCAUUCGAUCUGUUCCAUCCUUCUUGACGAAGAGGACGGGGCAAGCCCAAGGAGAGGAACUAGGACGGAUGAAACCCUUUUUCAAGGACUCAUCGAGUUGGUUCUCAAGCUCGGCUAGUUCUAAGGGUGCCAUCUUGUAGGGUCUUCUAGAAAUUAGAAUGGUUCCUGGAACAAGGUCUAUCACAAACUCGACAUCCCUGUCAGGUGGAACACCUGGCAGUUCUUCUGGAAAGGCAUCCGGAAAGUCUCGGACUACCGGAACAUCCUCAAGGUCUGGAAGGGGGUUGGCAUUUAGGGAGUAAAGUUGGCACUUGGCCACUCGAGUUAAGACAUUAACUGUCUUGCCCGAUGGGUGAGUAAGUUGAACGGUUCUAGUGGCACAGUCAAUCUUAGCAUAAUGAGCUGACAUCCAGUCCAUACCUAAGAUGAUGUUUAUGUCCGAGGACUUGAGAGCUAUUAAGGAUGCAAGGAAGACAAGUCUAUCGACAAGAAUUUCGUUCCCAUGGCUUACUCUAGAAGUUUGCCAUCUAGAGCCAGGGGUUUGAAUUUCCAUGGUAGAGGGCAUGUCACAGAAUGUCGUGUUGUGCAAUCGAGCAUAGUUCUCGGAUAUGAAUGAAUGAUAUGCUCCAGUAUCGAAAAGAACAGAUGCCGGAUGGCAGUUAACAAGGAGCGUACCAAGGACGACGUUGGGAUCCUCAUGAGCCUCCUCGGCUGAAACAUAGUUGACAUGGCCACGUGCAGUGGUGGCUGGCUUAGCGUAGAAUGUUUUUCCCGCGGGCUUACCACGGCCAACGGACUUUCCAGUUUGAUUGGGGUUGUUGUUCUGGGGACACUCUCGGCUAUAGUGACCCGGCUCUCCACACUUAAAGCAUGUCACCACAUUGGGGCGUGGAGCAGCAUUAGCAGCGGGGCCACCAUAGGGCUUGGGCGGUGCAAAUUGCUGGUUGGGACGUGGUGCCUCAAAGGAUGGCCUCGGGAUGAACCUGGGUGGCAGUGCCGUGCUUGGAAUCCACACCCGGCGCUUCUGAGCUCCAGAGCCGAUGAAGAGCCAAAAUCACGGGAGUGCUUGCGUGAAGUGUCAUAAUCAGUCUGGCCUUUCUCAGCACUGAUGGCUUUAUGGACCAACUUCUAAAAGGAGGUGCACUUGUGCAGACGAAGACCACGGUGAAGCUCAGGGCUAAGUCCCUUGCGGAACCUUGCCUGCUUCUUAGCAUCAGUAGAUACCUCUUCAGGGGCAUAACGUGCCAGAUUCCCAAAUUCACGACUGUAAGCAUCCACAGUCAGUCUUCCUUGGGUGAAGUUGCAGAACUCCUCCCUCUUGCGAUCCAUGAGACCUUCCGGAAUGUGAUGCUCACGGAAAGCCUCACUGAAUUCAGCCCAAGUAGUGAUUUGGCCGACCGGGCGCAUAGCUUCGAAGUUUUCCCACCAAAGGCUAGCAGGGCCUUUGAGGUGAUAGGCAGCAUAAGUAACCUUGUCGGCUUUGGCUACGUUGGCAGAACGUAGCUUGUGGGUGAUGCUGUGAAGCCAGUCAUCCACGUCGAGGGGCUCGACGGAAUGGUUAAACUUUGGUGGGUACAUCUUGAUAAAGUCAUUGAUUGACACCAACUCAUUUCGCGGGUGGCGUGCAGUGUUCUGCUCAAUCCGCUCCAGCAGGCGGUUGGUCUCACGCUUCUUUCUUUCUGCCUCCAGCAUUACUUCGGCCAGAGAAGGCGGGUGAGGCAGAUUUUCACCUCUAGCAGCACUGGCUUCCCCCUGCUCCGGGGCAACAGGGUUGCUGCGAGUAUUGACCAUCCUAGGAGAAAACAAGACAACGGUUUAGACAAGGAUGGCUCAAACUGAGCAAGGAUGUGCAGAAUGUAAUGGAUAACACGGAACACAGAGAUGUUCAUCCGUAUGUCAUGGUAAUAUAAAACUGCCAUAUAUAUACCAACGGUCAUACACAUCACACAUAGUUUAGUACAAGCCCAGGCUACAGUACAACUAUGAUGAAAGACGUUACAUCUCAUCGGAGGCAUUCCAAGCUCCUAUACAUUAUUGUCUACACCUUCGGAAUUGAUUACACGCAAAGUCAUAUUCCAAAAGUCACGCAGGACAGUGGAGAUACAACUACUACAAUACUAGUGGUACUACUACUAACUCAGACAGCUCCGUACUAGUCCUCAUAGAAGUCACCUCCAUAGCCUGGAAGUUCAACGUGACCAUCCGGGAACAGACGGUCCUGAGGAGCCUGUGGACCAUAGGGGCUUGGAUGGGGUCUUGGACCAACAAACGGUGGCCUGCGGGGACCACAGGGUGGGGUGAUGCCUCCCACAUCACGCCAAUCCACCACGUCUGGCAAAGCAGACCUCACAGGAUACAAAUCCCUUGUAUCCAUACAUCCAGCUUGCACCACAGGUGCAAACCGAGUCAAUGUGGCCCAAUGAUCAGCACGGGUAUUAAAAAGCUCCAGCCUCAAGGCCUGAUUCUCUCGGUCCUUAUAUUCGAGCAUCUCGGCAGUGGUACGAGUUAAUGAAUCCUCCUGAGUGGAGUCAGCAUAGAUAGCCUGAAGAUACCCUUGCGCUCCCGGAAGUGAAGCUAGCAUGUAUCGGAAGUCGGUGUUCCGAAGCAGGCCAGUCCGGACUCGCAUGAUUGUCAUCAUGGAAUAGGCAGCAUCCUGCACAGCCAUCUCAACAGUAACCCCGAGUCCAUAGGAACAGUGAAGGGGCUCGGUAGAUCCAGGAUAAGAAGGAAAUAUCUUGACGGUGCAGAAAUACUGGCUUUGAUUAAAGUCUCAGAAUUGCUCUUCGACGGUGUAUUCGGGAUACCAACGGUAACCCGUCUCGAUCAUGACCCGGACUAACAUAGCAGUAUGACCGGGCACGUCGAGCCACCGGGUCAGGCGAACCACUUUGUUUUGAGCACGGUUGGGCAUCUGAAAGCACAACCACAAUGCAAAGACAUCAGAAUUUCUAGGGAAAAUUGGACAGCAUAACAGCUGUAAAUGCUCAGAAAAAGAUUUGAGACAUCCACAACAGUUCGCAAUACCACUCAACAACAUCAUAUCAAGGUUCUGAUCCAAAUAGCAGCAUACUAAAAAUAGUAGAAACUGAACUGGGGCUUGUAACAACAAUCCUAUAAGCUACUACGGAUUAGUAACACGUGAACCUGAUAGAAGAAGAGAGACUAGUCCUUAACCCACAUUGAAUGAAAAGGGAAUGACUCAGAUAAGAGGCAUAGGGUAAAGGAGUAAAAGAGCCUUACGUUCCCUCCCACAAUCAAUUCCCCUACAUAUAACUAAAGCAUUUCCAGACUCGACAUCGACCAGUUUGGCUCAACGAACCUACAGGCAGUCCGGCACUGAUGCCAACGCUGUCAGGACCCCGAUUCCAAGACACAUCGAUCUAGCUGGUAACACCUCAUAUCACUUUGCGGCCUCACGCACGAUAUUCCACGGGUGUCGCCUUACCAUGGCCCGGGACCGUUUGCGCCUUUUGGCUCACGUAUAUGAUAGUGUCGCUAGCAUCCAUAUGAUAGAGAACCCGGGCCGACAUGGCUAGUCGUGAACCCAAAGAGGCACAGACCUAUGGAGACAGGCAUACAUGAAUCACAUCGAGCAUGUCGGUCAUCAGCGAGUGAUUCCGGGCUGUAGCACUGGGCUAACAGGACUCCGGGGAACCCGGGCUGUAGCAGGCUAGGCAGGACUCCGGAAGUCACCGCGUAACAUUUCCCCGAAGGGACAGACAUAGGAAUGAAGUGAAUCACAUGCCGGCAAGUCAAGUGUCCUGAGCUGUAGUGCUGGGCUAGCAGGACUCUGGUGAACCGGGCUGUAGCGGACUACUAUGGCUCAAGGAACACUAGACUACAUUUCCCCAUAAGAAAGGCUGCCAAGGAUAAACAACUAGAUUGCCGGAUCCCACUCAUACCAAGCAUUUCAAUCAUACACGCAAUAUGUCCGAUAUGAGUACAUACAACAUGGCAUCACAACAAAACUCUACAACUCAAGUACUUUAUUUAAAGGCUCUAGAGAGCCAUACAUAACAGGUUCAUACAGAUAGGGGUCACAUGACCCGACACUCAAGUCAUACAAUCAUACAAGCACAUGCGGAAGCAACCGGUCUGAGUACAGACACUAGAAAGAAAGAAGGCUCCUCGAGGCCUGUCUAUCUACAUAGGGCCCUCCAUGGCCAGGAUCACCACCUGGGUGGCUACUUACUCGUCGACGUCAAGGUCUACAUAGAACCCAUCGGAGGGGGCGGUGUUGUCGUCUGAAAACAGUAAUUAAGCAAACAUGAGUACAAAGGUACUCAGCAAGUCUUACAACAGAACCUAGUAUACAUGCUUAUACUCAAGAAGGUGGUGGGGAUAUUGCAGCAAGCCAGCUUUGACUCUUGGCUAAACUAUCCUACGGAACUUCUCUAGUAAAAUAGUUUUCGCACACGAGUCCACUACUCGCCAACACAAUACUCCACAGGGGAUCCUCCCUCGUCAUCCUAUGAGAGGGCCAUCCUCGGUACUCACACUUAUCUUGAGUAUUUUAGUAGUAUCCAUUUACUUGUCUAUGAACUGUAUAGGAAACCAAGUAGUCAUACACGCUAUUCGGAUAGUUUUAUACCCUGCAGGGGUGUACUUCGUCAUACACGCUUUCACCACUUAUCGCCGUUUACAUGACAUGUACUCGGCAACCUUCAAGCGGAAGCCCAGCGAGGGUGUCGGCCACGGCCUACCUAAACACUUAAGUCUCUAGUCCAGGUUUAUCGCCUAUCCAGGUUCCAUCCACAGGGAGUCCGGCCGAGGUUUCCACAUACGGCCCCGAACGAAGUGAACAUGGUUUCGAGACGCCAAACGGGCGCCCGGCAUACCCGGCCACGGUGUAUCUACCGCAACAUAGCCCACCCCUAGGGUCAGCGCUAUGCACGGCCGCCAACACAUAACCUACAAACACCAGAAACUAUUUGCAACUCCUGGACAGAGUACAAGGGUGAUUAAGAAGUCGAGAUGGUCAAUUAAGGAUCCCAAUGCAUGGUAGUAGUGAAUCUUAAAUCGCACAUACAGAUCUCAGUUCUUAGGGACGGUCUCAAUGAAACAACCCACCAUGUACUCCUACAUGGCCUCUCAUCGAUAUCUUUACCAAAACAUGUUCAACACAUUCCUCAUAUUACCGACAUAAUCAUAUCACCCUAGCCCAUCACCCAGAUGAACCAGACCUGACACAACUCUAAGCAUAGCAGGCAUAGCAAGGUAGGAAUUAUAUACAUGGCUCAAUCAACUCCUACACAUGCUAGUGGGUUUCAUCUAGUUACUGUGGCAAUGACAGGUCAUGCAGAGGAUAAGGGUUCAACUACUGUAGCACACAGCAGUUUGAAUCACGUUGUCUUAAUGCAGUAAACAAGAGCACAGGCGAGAACAUGGGUUGUAUCGGAAUGAUCAAUGGGUUGCUUGCUUGAUGGAGUGGUAGUGGAAUACUGCCCUUCAGUGGGAUACUCGUGAAUAUCCUCGGAGCCAGAACCUACCACGAAGAACACAUCGGAACACAAUCAACACAUGACGAUAUGCAACAAUAUGAUGCAUGCUAUGACGUAUCUUGGCCUAAUGCAAGCUAAAAUAGAAAGGGAUGAACUCAUUUGAAUCAAAAAUUCAAAUAUUAGCUCAUUAAACAUGACCUUAGUAGUGCAUUUCCUUAUUCUGCUUAAACAGCAAGGUAAACUUGUUUUGUCAUGCAUGAAACCAUUACAGAUGGAUAGAUUGAAUUUUUCUGAUAAUUUUUCAUAUAUAAAUUAUUUCAUUUGGAGUUACGGUUGAAUCUCUAUGAUUUUUAGAAGUUUUAAACAUUUUCUGGAAAUUACUGAAUAAAAAUAAAUCCAAAAAAUGCAUUACGGCGUCAGCAUUGUGUCAUGCUGACCUCAGCAGGUCAAAGGCGCCAGCCCAGGUCAAACCUGACUGGUGGGCCCCUUCUGUCAGUCUCUCAGUUAAAUAACAGGAUUAGAUUAACACUAAUUAACUGUCAGUGGGGCCUGGGCCCACAUGUCAGUGACUGAUUAAAAUAAAAUUAGUUAAAACUAAUCCUAGAUUAGUUAGCAGACCGGCCCCACCUGUCAUAGACUCAGGGGGGUCUACCUGGGCCCACCCAGGGUCAAACUGGGUCAAACUCGCCGGCGUUGAGCCGCCGGCGAGACCCGAGACAGUGGCGCAGCUCGGAAAACGCCUACAGGGCACGAGCGAGGCCGUUCUUGGGCUCGUUGGAGAGCUCUUGCAGUCGCGCAUCUAGUGCUGGUGGUGGCCGGGCCUACGGUGGCCGGAGACGACGACGGCGAGCUCCAAGGCGGCGGCCGGAGUUCGGCCAUGUGCGGGGUGUGGGCUGCGGCGUGCAAACGUGGAAACUGAGGCGCUAGCGAGGCACUACGUGAUGCGGCAAGCACGUUGCGUAGCACGGGAUGACCAAAUGGUCGCCGGAGCGGCGCUGACGACAAGCUCGAGCGGAGACGAGCUUCGGCCAUGGUGAAACUAUGGCCUAGAGGGUGCAAACGCGUGGAAAAGAAGAGGGGAAAGGUGGCGGAGCUCACAGGGAGGUCGAUGAGCAGCUCAGUGGGCUCGGGGCGACCGGAGUGAGGCGAAUCGACGAGCGGCGUCCGGCGGGUACCGAGGUUGAAGACAAUCCGAUGGCGGCGAUGCAGGGCCUUCGGCGAUGCGUGGCUCGGUGGGGAGGGCGAGGGCGUUACGGCGGAGCUUCUGGACAGGUCAGAGAGGCGAGGUGGUGAUGGAGGGCGCGACUAUGAUGGUGAGACGGCGAUUAAAAAGAAAGAUCUGGUUCACUCGUACGUGAAAAAAGUAGCAAGCGCUCGAUGCCUUCCUUUGCAUCGAUGCCAGACGCGGUGCUGGGAAUCGACAAGAUAACCGCCAAUCUACCACGAUUAAAUUCCUAGCGCCUCCUUCUAGCGCCUCCCACUGAAAAUGCCCUAAAGGUUUUGGAGGGAUUUUUUUACUGUGUCCUACUUCACGAAUCACGAGGCAAAUCAAGUAGCCGGCAUGGCCUGGCCGGUGAGUGCCAUUGCACUUACUUGCCCCAGCAAUUUUCCGCGUGCAUUGUAGAAUUCUUUCUCCGAGUCCUGUGAAUUAAAGAUGGUGCAGACAAAAAUAUAUCCUAUAUGCGUACAUGUGCAUGAUCAGAACAUGUUUUUACGUGCGUCUACUAUAAAUCAUGACCAUUUUUAACACAAAUCAUGACCAUUCAUGAUUAGUGAAUCAUACUGUCUUAACUUAUGUGAAAUCAUGUGGAGUAAUAUAAUAUAAUAUAAUAAAUAGAUAGAUCCAUGUUGUAUUAUUUUUUGUUUACAAAAAAUAUCUGUCAUUACACAUUUUGAUUUAUGCAUUUGUUUACAAAAAAAACAGUAACAUUUCAUGGUGGAAAGUUUGUAUUGUUUCAUACUGAACACCAAUGUUUUCCUGUAAAAGAAAAUAAUGCCUACGCAUAUGCUUUUAUAUUAUUAUUAUUCUUUCAAACUUAUUCAUACAGUAUUUUUGAUUGUGCAACCAUAAUUUUUAUUGUCUCUCUCGUUCCACUACAUGCUCUUACUCAAUGAUUUUUUUAUAACGGGUGUUUUUAUUAACUCAAAAUAUAGUAUCAAGCGGAUACAAAACAUAAUGAGCCACACCUGGUCUCUGCAUAACUAAGAUGCACACAGCCAAAAGCAGAUGUCUGACAAAAAUAAGAUAAGAAAAUCGACAUAUCGACAACAGUGAGUCAUAUAGUCCCGACACUAUGCCCCCGUUGAAGGACGGGGUGGAGCGAUCUGGAGAUUAUGCUGCCCUCCAUGUUGAGUAAAUACCUCCCUGGCCACUUGUUCCAAACGCAUAGACGCCGCCACGAAUAAUGGUCGGUACUCUGUUCAGUGUAGCAUACACCAUGUAGGAAGUGAGUGCUCACUCCUAGUUACUAAAUUAUGUACACACUAGUAGAAAAAGGGCCAUUUGUCCCGGUUCGUAAGGCCCAUUUGUCCCAAUUGGGGAACCGGGACUAAAGGGUCGGUACUAAAGCCCUACACCUUUAGUCCCGGUUCUUACACCAACCGAGACAGAUGGGGCUCCACGUGGCCGCUACAGCUUGCCGUGGCAGGGGGGCCUUUUGUCCCGGUUGGUAGCACCAACCGGGACCAAUAAGCUACCACGCGUCCGCAUUUGAGGGGCUAGGGUUUUUGUUUUUUUUCUGAAGGGGGGGGGGUGGGUUUGUAUGGUUAAUUUUGGGGGGUUUCACAUAUUGUGUUAGGUAGCUAAUUAAUUAAUAGAGAGAAGUGUCCUCACUUAUCUCCGUGCUUGGUCGACGCUACGUACUAUACGUAUAGAGAGGCCCUCAACACGCUAGCCAGUAAGCAAAUGAAGUAAACCAUUAAGUACAGAAGUUCGUCAUGAACAUAUGCAUACAAACAUAAGUGAUAUCGACCUCUCCUUCUCCGAGAGAUAGGUCGAACAACAAGUUUCCGUAUAUCUAUCCGGCGCUACUAGCUACAUAUAUACAAUAUUAAGAUCUCUUACAAUAUAAUCCCCUAAUUAUAUAUGAACUCAGCUUCCAGAUGGUAUUCUCCGGCUUUAUUGAUGGCGUGGUCAAGAAAGAUUCCCUCCAAUUCCUCUUGAAUUGCUUUGAUGCGAUCUUGUGGUAGGAGUUCAUCUCGCAUCUGCCACAUCUAAUUUGAAGAAGGGGGUCAAUCACCAGUAGAAUAACAACCAUUUGUCCUGGUUCAUAAGGUUAAUUUGUCCCGGUUGGGGAACCGAGACUAAAGGGUCUUUACUAAAGCCCUACACCUUUAGUCCUGGUUCUUACACCAACUGGGACAGAUGGGCCUCCAUGUGGCUGCUGCGGCGAGCCCAGGCCGGAGGUCCUUUGGUCCCGGUUAGUGGCACUGAUACGUCUCCAACGUAUCUAUAAUUUUUGAUUGCUCCAUGCUAUUAUGUUAUCUAUUUUGGAUGUUAAUGGCUUUAUUUUACACCUUUAUAUCAUUUUUGGGACUAACCUACUAAUCGGAGGCCCAACCCAAAUUGUUGUUUUCUACCUAUUUUAGGUUUUCGAAGAAAAGGAAUAUCAAACGGAGUCCAAACGGAAUGAAACCUUCGAGAACGUGAUUUUCUCAAUGAACAUGAUUCAGGAGAAUUGGAGUGUGCUCCAAGAAACAAGGGAGGAAGGCACGAGGCAGGGGGCGCGCCUACCCCCUUGGGCGCGCCCUCCACCCUCGUGGGCCCUCCGCUGCUCCACCGACGUACUUCUUCCUCCUAUAUAUAUCCACGUACCCCCAAACAUCCAGGAGCACCACGAAAACCUAAUUCCACCGCUGCAACCUUCUGUACCCGAGAGAUCCCAUCUUGGGGCCUUUUCCGGAGGUCCACCGGAGGGGGCAUCGAUCAUGGAGGGCCUCUACAUCAACUCCAUGGCCUCUCCGGUGAUGUGUGAGUAGUUUACUUCAGACCUAGGGGUCUAUAGUUAUUAGCUAGAUGGCUUCUUCUUCUCUCUUUGGAUCUCAAUACAAAGUUCUCCUCGAUUUUCUUGGAGAUCUAUUUGAUGUAACCUUCUUUUGCGGUGUGUUUGUCGAGAUCCGAUGAAUUGUGGGUUUGUGAUCCAGAUUAUCUAUGAACAAUAUUUGAUUCUCCUAUGAAUUCUAGUAUGUAUGAUUGGUUUAUCUUUGCAAGUCUCUUCGAAUUAUCAGUUUGGUUUGGCCUACUAGAUUGAUUUCUUGCAAUGGGAGAAGUGCUUAGCUUUGGGUUCAAUCUUGCAGUGUUUGAUCCCAGUGACAGAAAGGGAACCGAUACGUAUUGUAUUGUUGCCAUCGAGGAUAAAAAGAUGGGGUUUAUAUCAUAUCGCAUGAGUUUAUCCCUCUACAUCAUGUCAUCUUCCUUAAAGCAUUACUAUGUUCUCUUGAACUUAAUACUCUAGAUGCAUGCUGGAUAGCGGUCCAUGUGUCGAGUAAUAGUAGUAGAUGCAGAAUCGUUUCGGUCUACUUGUCUCGGACGUGAUGCCUAUAUACAUGAUCAUACCUAGAUAUUCUCAUAACUAUGUUCAAUUCUGUACAAUAUGGUGCACGGGGUUACAUCGGCCUGCAAAGACAUUUCUGCGAUGUGAGACAUCCGAAAAGCAACGAAAACGGGAGAUUAUACAUUUAUUGAAGAGGGCAGGUGUGACAGAUACCGUGAGGGCGUCGAGCUCAGCCAAAGACGAUGGACAGCUGAGCACGGCCUGUGUCAGAGCCGGUGCGGGAGCAGGUGCAGGUGCAGGUGCUGGUGCAACGCUAGUCGAGCUGCUCCUGAAGAAGUCAACAAUGGGAAAGUCCGCUGCAUUUUUUCUGCAUUUUGCGUGCUCCAAUUGAAAAUGGCUGGAACCAAGACAGUAGACAUAUCUGCAACCACCUGUUUUCCGGCAGCUACCGCUGUCGCGACUGUCUCAGAUGAUUUCUUCUCAACCGCAAUCUCAACCUUCUUGUCGAUGUUUUAUUCGGUUAACCUCCAUCUUUCCUUUCUCUCCUCCGUGGUCUCACGGUAGUACUUCUUCCACGUGGCCCCGUCUCCGACACCGUGAACGCGUCCAUACGACGACCGAGUCUCCACGGGGAGUCCUUUCAAUAUGUUCAAUGCCCGGUUGAAUGGAGUGUCCCACUUGGGCCUUGCCAAUGCCUCAGACGGCGAGUCGCUUUCGGCCGCAAUCUUAUGCUGCUCUCUCUACAAAAGGAACACGGAUCAUUUACAAAUAUGACUAAACGUGCAGUCGAACUGAUCAGAAACUAAAAUUACCAGCAGUCUCAUGAACUCCGUCGUGAUCGGGUCCGUCUUGAAAACCUUCUUGACUGAGUCCCAAUGGUGUCGUGCCCUGAGGACGUCAUGCUCCUACGGGACGGUGAAGUCCGCCAAGGGGUCUGGGAUGCCAGAUUUUCGCGUUUCGUGUCCUCCUUGGCCCAUAUGGACCUCUUCCUGCCGUAACCACUGCUUCCGAGGUGGUGGCGCCCCAUGUUCCUUUGUGGAAGCCCCUUCAUGUACUUCGACUUUGUUUUGGCAGCUUCGGCCUCGCAAGCCGCCUUGAAUAUUUCAAAGUGUUCUCUAGUGAUUGUCAGAUUAUCCUUUACAAUCUCGGAGUAGGGUUGAUACGUCUCCAACGUAUCUAUUAUUUUUGAUUGCUCCAUGCUAUAUUAUCUACUGUUUUGGACAUUAUUGGGCUUUAUUAUCUACUUUUAUAUUAUUUUUGGGACUAACCUAUUAACCGGAGGCCCAGCCUAGAAUUGUUGUUUUUUGACUGUUUUAGGGUUUCGAAGAAAAGGAAUAUCAAACGGAGUCCAAACGGAAUGAAACCUUCGGGAACGUGAUUUUCUGAAUGAACAAGACCCUGGAGACUUGGACCCUACGUCAAGACACAAAAGAGGAGGACACGAGGUAGGGGGCGCGCCUAACCCCCCCCCCCCCUCGAGGCACGCCCUCCACCCUCGUGGGGCCCCUGUUGCUCCACCGACGUACUCCUUCCUCCUAUAUAUACCUACGUACUUCCAAACGAUCAGAUACGGAGCCAAAACCCUAAUUCCACUGCCGCAACUUUCUGUAUCCACGAGAUCCCAUUUGGUGCCUGUUCCGGAGCUCCGCCGGAGGGGGCAUCGAUCACGGAGGGCUUCUACAUCAACACCAUAGCCUCUCCGAUGAAGUGUGAGUAGUUCACCUCAGACGUACCGGUCCAUAUUUAUUACCUAGAUGGCUUCUUCUCUCUUUUUGGAUCUCAAUACAAUGUUCUCCCCCUCUCUUGUGGAGAACUAUUCGAUGUAAUCUUGUUUUUGCAGUGUGUUUAUUGAGAUUGAUGAAUUGUGGGUUUAUGAUCAAGUCUAUGUAUGAAUAAUAUUUGAAUCUUCUCUAAAUUCUUUUAUGUAUGAUUGUUUAUCUUUGCAAGUCUCUUCGAAUUAUCAGUUUGGUUUGGCCUACUAGAUUGAUCUUUCUUACAAUGGGAGAAGUGCUUAGCUUUGGGUUCAAUCUUGCGGUGUCCUUUCCCAAUGACAGUAGGGGCAGCAAGGCAUGUAUUGUAUUGUUGCCAUCGAGGACAACAAGAUGGGGUUUUCAUCAUAUUGCAUGAGUCUAUCCCUCUACAUCAUGUCAUCUUGCUUAAGGCGUUACUCUGUUUUUAACUUAAUACUCUAGAUGCAUGCUGGAUAGCGGUCGAUGAGUGAAACCUAUGGCCCCCGGGUCUAUCUUUAUCAUAUUAAUCUCCUACUACUUAGUUAUUUCCUUUGCUUUUUCCUUUGCCUUUAUUUUACUUUUGAUCUUUAUCACAAAAAUACCAAACAUAUUAUCUUUAUCAUAUCUAUCAGAUCUCACUCUCGUAAGUGGCUGUGUAGGGAUUGACAACCCCUAUUCGCGUUGGUUGCGAGGAUUUAUUUGUUUUGUGCAAGUACGAGAGACUCGCGCGUAGCCUCCUACUGGAUUGAUACCUUGGUUCUCAAAAACUGAGGGAAAUACUUACACUACUUUGCUGCAUCAUCCUUCCUCUUCGCGGAAAACCAACGUAGUGCUCAAGAGCUGGCAAUAAGGAUUUCUGGCGCCGUUGCCGGGGAGGUCUAAGCAAAAGUCAACAUACCAAGUACCCAUCACAUACCCUUAUCUCCUGCAUUACAUUAUUUUCCAUUUGCCUCUCGUUUUCCUCUCCCCCACUUCACCCUUGCCGUUUUAUUCGCCCUCUCUCUCUCUCUCUAUCCUCCCUCUCUUUCUCUAUUUGCCUCUUUUUUCCCACUUGCUUUCUGUUUGCUUGUGUGUUAGUUGCUUGCUUGUCACGAUGGCUCAAGAUAAUACUAAAUUACGUGACUUCACCAAUACCAACAACAAUGAUUUUAUUAACACUCCGAUUGCUCCUCUUACCGAUGCUGAAUCUUGAGAAAUUAAUACUGCUUUGCUGAAUCUUGUCAUGAAAGAUCUGUUUUUCGGCCUUCCUAGUGAAGAUGCCGCUACCCACCUAAAUAGAUUCGUUGAUUUGUGUGACAUGCAAAAGAAGAAAGGUGUGGAUAAUGAUAUUGUUAAAUUGAAGCUAUUUCCUUUUUCGCUUAGAGAUCGUGCUAAAGCUUGGUUUUCGUCUUUGCCUAAAAAUACUAUUGAUUCAUGGAAUAAGUGCAAAGAUGCUUUUAUCUCUAAGUAUUUUCCUCCUGCUAAGAUCAUCUCUCUUAGAAACGAUAUUAUGAAUUUUAAGCAACUUGAUCAUGAACAUGUUGCACAAGCUUGGGAGAGAAUGAAACUAAUGAUACGUAAUUGCCCUGCCCAUGGUUUAAAUUUGUGGAUGAUUAUACCAAAUUUUUAUGCCGGAUUGAACUUUGCUUCUAGAAAUCUUUUAGAUUAGGCCGCGGGAGGCACUUUUAUGGAAAUCACUUUAGGAGAAGCUACUAAACUCCUAGAUAAUAUUAUGGUUAAUUAUUCUCAACGGCAUACCGAAAGAUCUACUAAUAAAAACGUGCAUGCGAUAGAAGAAAUUAAUGUUUCGAGUGGAAAGAUGGAUGAACUUCUGAAAUUAUUUGCUAAUAAGAGUAUUUCUUCUGAUCCUAAUGAUAUGCCCUUGUCUACUUUGAUUGAGAAUAAUAAUUAAUCUAUGGAUGUGGAUUUUGUUGGUAGGAACAAUUUUGGUAACAACGCGUACAGAGGAAAUUUCAACCCUAGGCCUUAUCCUAGUAAUCUCUCUAAUAAUUAUGGUAAUUCCUACAACAAUUCUUAUGGAAAUUAUAAUAAGAUGCCCUCUGAUUUUGGAUCUAAUAUUAGAGAAUUUAUUACUUUCCAAAAGAAUUUCAAUGCUUUGAUUGAAGAAAAAUUGCUUAAGAUUGAUGAUUUGGCUAGGAACGUUGAUAGAAUUACUCUUGAUGUUGAUUCUUUGAAACUUAGAUCUAUUCCACCUAAGCAUGAUGUCAAUGAGUCUCUCAAAGCCAUGAGAAUUUCCAUUGAUGAGUGCAAAGAAAGAACCACUAGGAUGCGUGUUAAGAAAGAUGCCUUUAUAAGAGCGUGUUCUUCUAAUUCCUAUGAAAAUAAUGAUGAAGAUCAAAAAGUUAUUGAUGUCCUCCCUAUUAAAUCUUUGUUUUGCAAUAUGAAUCUUGAUAAUCAUGGGACUGAAUAUGAUCCACCUUUACCUAGAAGGCGUUCCAAUAAUUCAGAAUUUGUUGAUCUUGAUGCUAAAAUUGAUAAAGGUGGGAUUGAAGAAAUUAAAACCCUAGAUGUUGCUAAACCCACUAUUAUGGAUUUCAAGGAACUUAACUAUGAAAACUGCCCUUUGAUUGAUUGUAUAUCCUUGUUACAAUCCGUGCUAAAUUCUCCUCAUGCUUAUAGUCAAAAUAAAGCAUUUACUAAACAUAUUGUUGAUGCCUUGAUGCAAUCUUAUGAAGAAAAACUUGAAUUGGAAGUUUCUAUCCCUAUAAAGCUUUAUGAUGAGUGGGAACCAACUAUUAAAAUUAAAAUUAAAUAUCAUGAAUGCUAUGCUUUAUGUGAUUUGUGUGCUAGUGUUUCCACGAUUCCAUAGACUUUGUGUGAUUUGUUAGGUUUCCGUGAUUUUGAUGAUUGCUCUUUAAACUUGCACCUUGCGGAUUCCACUAUUAAGAAACCUAUGGGAAGAAUUAAUGAUGUUCUUAUUGUUGCAAAUAGCAAUUAUGUGCCCGUAGAUUUUAUUGUUCUUGACAUAGAUUGCAAUCUUUCAUGUCCUAUUAUUCUUGGUAGACCUUUCCUUAGAACGACUGGUGCAAUUAUUGAUAUGAAGGAAGGAAAUAUUAGAUUCCAAUUUCCAUUAAGGAAAGGCAUGGAACACUUUCCUAGAAAGUAAAUUAAAUUACCUUAUGAAUCUAUUAUGAUAGCCACUUAUGGAUUGCCUACCAAAGAUGGCAAUACCUAGAUCUAUCCUUGCUUGUUAUGCCUAGCUAGGGGCGUUAAACGAUAGCGCUUGUUGGGAGGCAACCCAAUUUUAUUUUUAUUCCUUGAUUUUUUCUCCUGUUUAGUAAUAAAUAAUUUAUAUAGCCUCUGUUUUGGUUCUGUUCUUUGUGUUUAAUUAGUGUUUGUGCCAAGUAGAACCGUUAGGAAGACUUGGGGAAAGUCUUGUUACACUUGCUGUAAAAAACUGAAACUUCAGCGCUCACGAGAACUGCUGCCAUUUUUAUUUGGAAAGUGCUAUGUAGUUAAUUAUUUUUCAGAUGAUUAACAGAUAAAUUCCUCACGUCCAGAAAUUUAUUUUAGAAUUUUUGGGGUUCCAGCUCUUGAGCUAGCUACAGAGUACUACAGGCUGUUCUGUUUUUGAAAGAUUCUGUUUUUCGUGUGUUGUUUGCUUAUUUUGAUGAACCUAUGGCUAGUAAAAUAGUUUAUAUACCAUAGAGAAAUUGGAAUACAGUAGGUAUAACACCAAUAUAAAUAAAUAAUGAGUUCAUUACAGUACCUUGAAGUGGUCUUUUAUUUUCUUUCGCUAACGGAGCUCAUGAGAUUUUCUACUUUAAGUUUUGUGUUGUGAAGUUUUCAAGUUUUGGGUAAAGAUUUGAUGGAUUAUGGAACAAGGAGUGACAAGAGCCUAAGCUUGGGGGUUCCCAUGGCACCCCCAAGAUAAUCUAAGUACACCUAAAAACCAAAGCUUGGGGAUGCGCCGGAAGUCAUCCCCUCUUUCAUCUACUUCUAUCGGUAACUUUACUUGGAGCUAUAUUUUUAUUCGCCACAUGAUAUGUGUUUUGCUUGGAGCGUCUUGUAUUAUUUGAGUCUUUAUUUGUUAGUUUACCACAAUCAUCCUUGCUGUACACACCUUUUGAGAGAGCCAUACAUGAUUUGGAAUUUGUUAGAAUACUCUAUGUGCUUCGCUUAUAUCUUUUGAGUUAUAUAGUUUUGCUCUAGUACUUCACUUAUAUCUUUUAGAGCACGGUGGUGGAUUUGUUUUAUAGAAACAAUUGAUCUCUCAUGCUCCACUUAGAUUAUUUUGAGAUUCUUAAUAGCAUGUUAAUUUGCUUAAAAUCCUAAUAUGCUAGGUAUUCAAAGUUAGUAAAAUUUUCUUAAGAGUGUUUUGAAUACUAAGAGAAGUUUGAUGCUUGAUGAUUGUUUUGAGAUAUGGAGGUAAUAAUAUCAAAGUCGUUCUCGUUGACUAGUUGUGAAAUUGAGAAAUACUUGUGUUGAAGUUUGCAUGUCCCGUAGCACGCACGUAUGGUAAACGUUGUGUAACAAAUUUGAAACAUGAGGUGUUAUUUGAUUGUCUUCCUUGUGAGUGGCGGUCGGGGACGAGCGAUGGUCUUUUCCUACCAAUCGAUCCCCCUAGGAGCAUGCGAAUAGUACCAAGGUUUUUGAUGACUUGUAGAUUUUUGCAGUAAGUAUGUGAGUUCUUUAUGACUAAUGUUGAGUCCAUGAAUUAUACGCACUCUCACCCUUCCAUCCUUGCUAGCCUCUUCGGUACCGUGCAUUGCCCUUUCCCACAUUGAGAGUUGGAGCAAACUUCGCCAGUGCAUCCAAACCCCGUGCUAUGAUACGCUCAUUCACACAUAAACCUCCUUAUAUCUUCCUCAAAACAGCCACCAUACCUACCUAUUAUGGCAUUUCCAUAGCCAUUCCGACAUAUAUUGCCAUGCAACUUUCCACCAUUCCGUUCAUCAUGACACAUUCAUCAUUGUCAUAUUGCGUAGCAUAAUCAUGUAGUUGACAUAGUAUUUGUGGCAAGGCCACCGUUCAUAAUUCAUUCAUACAUGUCACUCUUGGUCCAUUGCAUGUCCCGGUACACCGCCGGAGGCAUUCAUAUAGAGCCAUACUUUGUUCUAGUAUCGAGUAGUAAUUAUUGAGUCGUAAAUAAAUAGAAGUGUGAUGAUCAUCAUUAAUAGAGCAUGGUCCCAAAAAGAAAAAAAAGGAAGGGCCAAAAAAAGGCCAAAUAAAAAAAUAUAAAAAAGGGGGCAAUGCUACUAUCCUUUUUUUCCAAACUUGUGCUUCCAAGUAGCACCGUAAUCUUCAAGAUAGAGAGUCUCUUGAUUUGUCACUUUCAUAUACUAGUGGGAAUUUUUCAUUAUAGAACUUGGCUUGUAUAUUCCAACAAUGGGCGUCCCCAAGUUCCCUAGGUCUUCGUGAGCAAGCAAGUUGGAUGCACACCCACUUAGUUUCUUUUGUUGAGCUUUCAUACAUUUAUAGCUCUAGUGCAUCCGUUGCAUGGCAAUUCCUACUCCUUGCAUUAACAUCAAUCAAUGGGCAUCUCCAUAGCCCAUUGAUUAGCCUCGUUGAUGUGAGACUUUCUCCUUUUUGUCUUCUCCACAUAACCCCACUCAUUAGAUUCUAUUCCACCCAUAGUGUUAUGUCCAUGGCUUGCAAUCAUAUAUUGCGUGAAAGUUUAUAGGUUUGAGAUCACUAAAGUAUGAAACAAUUGCUUGGCUUGUCAUCGGGGUUGUGCAUGAUGAGAGCAUACUUGUGUGACGAAAAUGAAGCAUGACUAAACUAUAUGAUUUUGUAGGGGUGAACUUUCUUUGGCCAUGUUAUUUUGAGAAGACACAAUUGCUCAGUUAGUAUGCUUAAAGUAUUAUUAUUUUAUGUCAAUAUGAACUUUUGUCUUGAAUGUUUCAGAUCCGAAUAUUCAUACCACAAUUAAGAAGAAUUACAUUAAAAUCAUGCCAAGUAGCACUCCACAUCAAAAAUUCUGUUUUUAUCAUUUACCUACUCGAGGACGAGCCGGAAUUAAGCUUGGGGAUGCUUGAUACAUCUCCAACGUAUCUAUAAUUUUUGAUUGCUCCAUGCUAUAUUAUCUACUGUUUUGGACAAUAUUGGGCUUUAUUAUCCACUUGUAUAUUAUUUUUGGGACUAACCUAUUAACCGGAGGCCCAGCCCAGAAUUGUUGUUUUUUGCCUGUUUUAGGGUUUCGAAGAAAAGGAAUAUCAAACGGAGUCCAAACGGAAUGAAACCUUCGGGAACGUGAUUUUCUCAACGAACAAGAUCUAGGAGACUUGGACCCUCCAUCAAGACAUAAAAGAGGAGGCCACGAGGUAGGGGGCGUNNNNNNNNNNNNNNNNNNNNNNNNNNNNNNNNNNNNNNNNNNNNNNNNNNNNNNNNNNNNNNNNNNNNNNNNNNNNNNNNNNNNNNNNNNNNNNNNNNNNNNNNNNNNNNNNNNNNNNNNNNNNNNNNNNNNNNNNNNNNNNNNNNNNNNNNNNNNNNNNNNNNNNNNNNNNNNNNNNNNNNNNNNNNNNNNNNNNNNNNNNNNNNNNNNNNNNNNNNNNNNNNNNNNNNNNNNNNNNNNNNNNNNNNNNNNNNNNNNNNNNNNNNNNNNNNNNNNNNNNNNNNNNNNNNNNNNNNNNNNNNNNNNNNNNNNNNNNNNNNNNNNNNNUGGGCCCCCCUGUUGCUCCACCGACGUACUCCUUCCUCCUAUAUAUACCUACUAUUGGGGAACGUAGCAGAAUUUUAAAAUUUUCUACGCAUACCAAGAUCAAUCUAUGGAGUCAUAUAGCAACGAGGGAGAGAGGAGUGCAUCUACAUACCCUUGUAGAUCGCGCGCGGAAGCGUUCAAGAGAACGGGGUUGAUGGAGUCGUACUCGUCGUGAUCCAAAUCACCGAUGACCAAGUGCCGAAUGGACAGCACCUCCGCGUACAACACACGUACGGUUGGGAAGACGUCUCCUCCUUCUUGAUCCAGCAAGGGGGAAGGAGAGGUUGAUGAAGAUCCAGCAGCACGACGGCGUGGUGGUGGAUGCAGCAGGAUCCCGGCAGGGCUUCGCCAAGCGCAAGCGGGGAGGAGAGGUGUUACGGAAGGAGAGGGAGGCGCCAAGAGCAAGGGUGCGGCUGCCCUCCCUCCCCCCCCUCUUUAUAUAGGGGCCUUGGGGGGGCGCCGGCCCUAGGAGAUGGAUCUCCAAGGGGGGCGAAGGCCAAGGGGUGGCUUCCCCCCCAAGCCAAGUGGGGGGCGCCCCCACCCCUAGGGUUUCCCAACCCUAGGCGCAUGGGAGGCCCAAGGGGGGCGCACCAGCCCACUAGGGGCUGGUUCUGCUCCCAAUUCAGCCCAUGGGGCCCUCCGGGAUGGGUGGCCCCACCCGGUGGACCCCCGGGACCCUUCCGGUGGUCCUGGUACAAUACCGGUGACCCCCGAAACCUUCCCGAUGGCCGAAAUUGUACUUCCUAUAUAUAAAUCUUUACCUCCGAACCAUUCCGGAACUCCUCGUGACGUACGGGAUCUCAUCCGGUACUCCGAACAUAUCCUUGGUUACUACAUACUAAUAUCUCUACAACCCUAGCGUCACCGAACCUUAAGUGUGUAGACCCUACGGGUUCGGGAGACAUGCAGACAUGACAGAGACGCCUCUCCGGUCAAUAACCAACAGCGGGAUCUGGAUACCCAUGUUGGCUCCCACGUGCUCCACGAUGAUCUCAUCGGAUGAACCACGAUGUCGAGGAUUCAAUCAAUCUGUGUAGAAUUCCCUUUGUCAAUCGGUACGUUACUUGCCCGAGACUCGAUCGUCGGUAUCCCAAUACCUCGUUCAAUCUCGUUACCAGCAAGUCACUUUACUCGUGCCGUAAUGCAUGAUCCCAUGAUCAACCACUUGGUCACAAUGAGCUCAUUAUGAUCAUGCAUUACCGAGUGGGCCCAGAGAUACCUCUCCGUCAUACGGAGUGACAAAUCCCAGUCUCGAUUCGUGCCAACCCAACAGACACUUUCGGAGAUACCUGUAAUGUACCUUUAUAGUCACCCAGUUACGUUGUGACGUUUGGCACACCCAAGGCACUCCUACGGUAUCCGGGAGUUGCCCAAUCUCAUGGUCUAAGGAAAUGAUACUUGACAUUCGGAAAAGCUACAGCAAACGAACUACACGAUCUUUGAGCUAUGCUUAGGAUUGGGUCUUGUCCAUCACAUCAUUCUCCUAAUGAUGUGAACCCGUUAUCAAUGACAUCCAAUGUCCAUAGUCAGGAAACCAUGACUAUCUUUUGAUCAACGAGCUAGUCAACUAGAGGCUCACUAGGGACGUGUUGUCGUCUAUGUAUUCACACAUGUAUUACGAUUUCCGGAUAACACAAUUAUAGCAUGAAAAAUAGACAAUUAUCAUGAACAAAGAAAUAUAAUAAUAACCAUUUUAUUAUUGCCUCUAGGGCAUAUUUCCAACAGUCUCCCACUUGCACUAGCGUCAGUAGUCUAGUUACAUUUUGAUGAAUCCAACACCCAUGAAGUUCUGGAGUUGAUCAUGUUUUGCUCUAGGGAGAGGUUUAGUCAAUGGAUCUGCCACAUUCAGGUCCGUAUGUACUUUACAAAUCUCUAUGUAUCCAUUUUGAACACUUUCAUGAAUGGAGUUGAAGUGACGCUUGAUAUGCCUGGUCUUCCUGUGAAAUCUGGGCUCCUUGGCAAGUGCAAUAGCUCCAGUGUUGUCACAGAAUAGAGUCAUCGGGCCCGGUGCAUUGGGUGUGACUCCUAGGUCGGUAAUGAACUCCUUCACCCAGAUUGCUUCUUGUGCUGCCUCCGAGGCUGCCAUGUACUCUGCUUCACAUGUAGAUCCCGCCACAACGCUUUGCUUGCAACUCCACCAGCUUACUGCCCCACCAUUCAAAAUAUACACGUAUCCGGUUUCCGACUUAGAGUCAUCCAGAUCUGUGUCGAAGCUAGCAUCAACGUAACCCUUUACGACGAGCUCUUCGUCACCUCCAUAAACGAGAAACAUAUCCUUAGUCCUUUUUAGGUACUUGAGGAUAUUCUUGACUGCUGUCUAGUGUUCCAUGCCGGGAUUACUUUGGUACCUUCCUACCAAACUUACGGCAAGGUUUUCAUCAGGUCUGGUACACAGCAUAGCAUACAUGAUAGACCCUAUGGCCGAGGCAUAGGGGAUGACACUCAUCUUUUCUCUAUCUUCUGUCGUGGUCGUGCAUUGAGCCUCGCUCAAUCUCGUACCUUGCAAUACAGGCAAGAACCCUUCUUUUACUGAUCCAUUUUGAACUUCUUCAAUAUCUUAUCAAGGUAUGUACUCUGUGAAAGACCAAUGAGGCGUCUCGAUCUAUCUCUAUAGAUCUUGAUGCCUAAUAUAUAAGCAGCUUCUCCAAGAUCCUUCAUUGAAAAACACGUGUUCAAGUAGGCCUUUAUGCUUUCCAAGAAUUCUAUAUCAUUUCCCAUCAACAAUAUGUCAUCCACAUCCAAUAUGAGAAAUGCUACAAAGCUCCCACUCACUUUCUUGUAAAUGCAGACUUCUCCAUAAGUAUGCGUAAACCCAAACGCUUUGAUCAUCUCAUCAAAACGAAUGUUCCAUCUCCGAGAUGCUUGCACCAGCCCAUAAAUCGAAUGUUGGAGCUUGUACACCUUGUCAGCAUUCUUAGGAUCGACAAAACCUUCCGGCUGCAUCAUAUACAAUUCUUCCUUAAGGAAACCAUUAAGGAAUGUUGUUUUGACGUCCAUUUGCCAUAUUCAUAAUCAUAGAAUGCGGCAAUUGCUAACAUCGUAGUCAACCCCUUGAACUUGCCGAUAACCCUUAGCGACAAGCCGAGCUUUAUAGAUGGUCACAUUACCAUCCGCGUCUGUCUUCUUCUUAAAGAUCCAUUUAUUUUCUAUGGCUCGCCGAUCAUCGGGCAAGUCAGUCAAAGUCCAUACUUUGUUUUCAUACAUGGAUCUUAUCUCGGAUUUCAUGGCUUCCAGCCAUUUGUUGGAAUUCAGGCCCGCCAUCGCUUCUUCAUAGUUCGAAGUUCACCGUUGUCUAACAACAUGAUUUCCAAGACAGGGUUGCCGUACCACUCUGGUGCGGGACGUGUCCCCGUGGACCUACGAAGUUCAGUAGCAACUUGAUCUGAAGUUUCAUGAUCAUCAUCAUCAAUUUCCUCUCUAGUCGUUGCAGGCACCUUAGGAACAUUUUCUUGAGCUGCGCCACUUACCGGUUCAAGAGGUAAUAAUACUUCAUCAAGUUCUACUUUCCUCCCACUUAUUUCUUUCGAGAGAAACUCUUUCUCUAGAAAGGACCCAUUCUUGGCAACAAAGAUCUUGCCUUCGGAUCUGAGGUAGAAGGUAUACCCAAUAGUUUCUUUAGGGUAUCCUAUGAAGACGCAUUUUUCCAAUUUGGGUUCGAGCUUUUCAGGUUGAAGUUUCCUUACAUAAGCAUCGCAUCCCCAAACUUUUAGAAAUGACAUCUUAGGUGUCUUCCCAAACCAUAAUUCAUACGGUGUCAUCUCAACGGAUUUCGACGGAGCCCUAUUUAAAGUGAAUGCGGCAGUCUCUAAAGCAUAGCCCCAAAAUGACAGCGGUAAAUCGGUAAGAGACAUCAUAGAUCGCACCAUAUCUAAUAGAGUGCGAUUAUGACAUUCCGACACACCAUUACGCUGAGGUGUUCCAGGCGGCGUGAGUUGUGAAACUAUUCCACAUUUUCUUAAGUGUGUGCCAAAUUCGUGACUCAAGUAUUCUCCCCCACGAUCUGAUCGCAAGAACUUGAUUUGCCUGUCACGUUGAUUCUCAACCUCACUUUGAAAUUCCUUGAACUUUUCAAAGGUCUCAGACUUGUGUUUCAUUAAGUAGACAUACCCAUAUCUACUCAAGUCAUCAGUGAGGGUGAGAACAUAACGAUAGCCACCGCGCCUCAACACUCAUUGGACCGCACACAUCAGUAUGUAUGAUUUCCAAUAAGUUGGUUACUCGCUCCAUUGUUCCUGAGAACGGAGUCUUGGUCAUUUUACCCAUGAGGCAUGGUUCGCACGUGUCAAAUGAUUCGUAAUCAAGAGACUUUAAAAGUCUAUCUGCAUGGAGCUUCUUCAUGCGUUUGACACCUAUGUGACCAAGGCGGCAAUGCCACAAGUAUGUGGGACUAUCAUUAUCAACCUUACAUCUUUUGGUAUUCACACUAUGAAUAUGUGUAACAUUAUGCUCGAGAUUCAUUAAGAAUAAACCAUUCACCAAUGGAGCAUGACCAUAAAACAUAUCUCUCAUAUAAAUAGAACAACCAUUAUUCUCGGAUUUAAAUGAGUAGCCAUCUCAAAUUAACCGAGAUCCUGAUACAAUGUUCAUGCUCAAAGCUGGCAGUAAAUAACAAUUAUUGAGGUUUAAAACUAAUCCCAUAGGCAAAUGUAGAGGCAGCGUGCCGACGGCGAUCACAUCAACCUUGGAACCAUUCCCGACGCACAUCGUCACCUCGUCCUUCGCCAGUCUCCGUUUAAUCCGCAGCUCCUGCUUUGAGUUACAAAUGUGAGCAACUGCACCGGUAUCAAAUACCCAGGAGCUACUACGAGUACUGGUAAGGUACACAUCAAUUACAGGUAUAUCACAUAUACCUUUAGUGUUGCCGGCCUUCUUGUCCGCUAAGUAUUUGGGGCAGUUCCGCUUCCAGUGACUACUUCCCUUGCAAUAAAAACACUCAGUCUCGAGCUUGGAUCCAUUCUUUGGCUUCUUCCCGGAAACUUGCUUAGCGGGCGCGGCAACUCCCUUGCCGUCCUUCUUGAAUUCUUCUUACCCUUGCCUUUCUUGAACUUAGUGGUUUUAUUCACCAUCAACACUUGAUGUUCCUUUUUGAUUUCCACCUCUGCUGAUUUCAGCAUUGAAUAUACCUCAGGAAUGGUCUUUUCCAUCCCCUGCAUAUUGAAGUUGAUCACAAAGCUCUUGUAGCUCGGUGGAAGCGACUGAAGGAUUCUGUCAAUGACCGCGUCAUUCGGGAGGUUAACUCCCAGCUGAGUCAAGCGGUUAUGCAACCCAGACAUUUUGAUUAUGUGCUCACUGACAGAACUAUUUUCCUCCAUCUUAUAGCUGAAGAACUUGUCGGAGACUUCAUAUCUCUCGACCCGGGCAUGAGCUUGAAAAACCAUUUUCAGCUCUUCGAACAUCUCAUAUGCUCCAUGUCUCUCAAAAUGCUUUUGGAGCCCCGGUUCUAAGCUGUAAAGCAUGCCGCACUGAACGAGGGAGUAAUCAUCAGCACGUAACUGCCAAGCGUUGAUAAUGUCUUGGUUCUCUGGGACAGGUGCGUGACCUAACGGUGCUUCUAGGACAUAAUAUUUCUUGGCAGCUACGAGGAUGAUCCUCAGGUUCCGGACCCAGUCCGUAUAGUUGCUGCCAUCGUCUUUCAGCUUGGUUUUCUCUAGGAACGCGUUGAAAUUGAGGACAACGUGGGCCAUUUGAUCUACAAGACAUAUUGUAAAGAUUUUAGACUAAGUUCAUGAUAAUUAAGUUCAUCUAAUCAAAUUAUACAAUGAACUCCCACUCAGAUAGACAUCCCUCCAGUCAUCUAAGUGAAACAUGAUCCAAGUUAACUAGGCUGUGUCGGAUCAUCACGUGAAACGGACUAGUCAACAUCGGUGAACAUCUUCAUGUUGAUCGUAUCUUCUAUACGACUCAUGCUCGACCUUUCGGUCUUCUGUGUUCCGAGGCCAUGUCUGUACAUGCUAGGCUCGUCAACUAAACCUAAGUGUAUUGCGUGUGUAAAUCUGGCUUACACCCGUUGUAUUCGAACGUUAGAAUCUAUCACACUCGAUCAUCACGUGGUGCUUCGAAACAACGAACCUUCGCAACGGUGCACAGUUAGGGGGAACACUUUCUUGAAAUUAUUUCGAGGGAUCAUCUUAUUUAAGCUACCGUCGUUCUAAGCAAAUAAGAUGUAAAACAUGAUAAACAUCACAUGCAAUCAAAUAGUGACAUGAUAUGGCCAAUAUCAUUUGCUCCUUUUGAUCUCCAUCUUUGGGGCUCCAUGAUCAUCGUUGUCACCAGCAUGACACCAUGAUCUCCAUCAUCAUGUCUUCUUGAAGUUGUCUCGUCAUCUAUUACUUCUACUACUAUGGCUAAUGCUUUAGCAAUAAAGUAAAGUAAUUACAUGACGUUUAUGUUGACACGCAGGUCAUAAAAAAAUAAAGACAACUCCUAUGGCUCCUGCCGGUUGUCAUACUCAUCGACAUGCAAGUCGUGAUUCCUAUUACAAGAACAUGAUCAAUCUCAUACAUCACAUAUAUCAUUCAUCACAUCCUUUUGGCCAUAUCACAUCAGACGGCACAUGCUGCAAAAACAAGUUAGACGUCCUCUAAUUGUUGUUGCAAGUUUUUACAUGGCUGCUAUAGGUUUCUAGCAAGAACGUGUCUUACCUACGCCAAAACCACAACGUGAUAUGCCAAUUUCUAUUUACCCUUCAUAAGGACCCUUUUCAUCGAAUCCGAUCUAACUAAAGUGGGAGAGAUAGACACCCGCCAGCCACCUUAUGCAAGUAAUGCAUGUCAAUCGGUGGAACCAGUCUCACGUAAGCGUACGUGUAAGGUCGGUCCGGGCCGCUUCAUCCCACGAUGCCGCCGAAUCAAGAUAAGACUAGUAACGGCAAGCAAAGUGACAAUAUCCACGCCCACAACUGCUUUGUGUUCUACUCGUGCAUAGAAACUACGCAUAGACCUGGCUCAUGAUGCCACUAUUGGGGAAUGUAGCAGAAUUUUAAAAUUUUCUACGCAUCACCAAGAUCAAUCUAUGGAGUUAUCUAGCAAUGAGGAAGAGAGGAGUGCAUCUACAUACCCUUGUAGAUCGCGCGCGGAAGCGUUCAAGAGAACGGGGUUGAUGGAGUCGUACUCGUCGUGAUCCAAAUCACCGAUGACCAAGUGCCGAACGGACAGCACCUCCGCGUUCAACACACGUCCGGUUGGGAAGACGUCUCCUCCUUCUUGAUCCAGCAAGGGGGAAGGAGAGGUUGAUGAAGAUCCAGCAGCACGACGGCGUGGUGGUGGAUGCAACAGGAUCCCGGCAGGGCUUCGCCAAGCGCAAGCGGGGAGGAGAGGUGUUACGGAGGGAGAGAGAGGCGCCAAGAGCAAGGGUGCGGCUGCCUUCCCUCCCCCCUCUUUAUAUAGGGGCCAUGGCGGGCGCCGGCCCUAGGAGAUGGAUCUCCAAGGGGGGCGAAGGCCAAGGGGUGGCUCCCCCCCCCAAGCCAAGUGGGGGGCGCCCCCACCCCUAGGGUUUCCCAACCCUAGGCGCAGGGGAGGCCCAAGGGGGCGCACCAGCCCACUAGGGGCUGGUUCCCCUCCCAAUUCAGCCCAUGGGGCCCUCCGGGAUGGGUGGCCCCACCCGGUGGACCCCCGGGACCCUUCCGGUGGUCCCGAUACAAUACCGGUUACCCCCGAAACCUUCCCGAUGGCCGAAACUGUACUUCCUAUAUAUAAAUCUUUACCUCCAAACCAUUUCAGAACUCCUCGUGACGCCCGGGAUCUCAUCCGGGACUCCGAACAACUUUCGGCUUACUACAUACUAAUAUCUAUACAACCCUAGCGUCACCGAACCUUAAGUGUGUAGACCCUACGGGUUUCGGAGACAUGCAGACAUGACUGAGACGCCUCUCCAGUCAAUAACCAACAGCGGGAUCUGGAUACCCAUGUUGGCUCCCACAUGCUCCACGAUGAUCUCAUCGGAUGAACCACGAUGUCGAGCAUUCAAUCAAUCUGUAUACAAUUCCCUUUAUCAAUCAGUACGUUACUUGCCCGAGACUCGAUCGUCAGUAUCCCAAUACCUUGUUCAAUCUCGUUACCGGCAAGUCACUUUACUCAUACCAUAAUGCAUGAUCCCGUGAUCAACCACUUGGUCACAUUGAGCUCAUUAUGAUGAUGCAUUACCGAGUGGGCCCAGAGAUACCUCUUCAUCACGCGGAGUGACAAAUCCCAGUCUCGAUUCAUGCCAACCCAAUAGACACUUUCGGAGAUACCUGUAAUGUACCUUUAUAGUCACCCAGUUACGUUGUGACGUUUGGCACACCCAAGGCACUCCUACGGUAUCCGGGAGUUUCACAAUCUCAUGGUCUAAGGAAAUGAUACUUGACAUUCGGAAAAGCUACAGCAGAUGAACUACACGACCUUUGAGCUAUGCUUAGGAUUGGGUCUUGUCCAUCACAUCAUUCUCCUAAUGAUGUGAUCCCAUUAUCAAUGACAUCCAAUGUCCAUAGUCAGGAAACCAUGACUAUCUUUUGAUCAACAAGCUAGUCAACUAGAGGCUCACUAGGGACGUGUUGUGGUCUAUGUAUUCACACAUGUAUUACGAUUUCCGGAUAACACAAUUAUAGCAUGAACAAUAGACAAUUAUCAUGAACAAAGAAAUAUAAUAAUAACCAUUUUAUUAUUGCCUCUAGGGCAUAUUUCCAACACCUACGUACCCCCAAACGAUCAUAUACGGAGCCAAAACCCUAAUUCCACCGCCGCAACUUUCUGUAUCCACGAGAUCCCAUCUUGGGGCCUGUUCCGGAGCUCCGCCAGAGGGGGCAUCGAUCACGGAGGGCUUCUACAUCAACACCAUAGCCUCUCUGAUGAAGUGUGAGUAGUUCACCUCAGACCUACGGUUCCAUAGUUAUUAGCUAGAUGGCUUCUUCUCUCUUUUUGGAUCUCAAUACAAUGUUCUCCCCAUCUCUUGUGGAGAACUAUUCGAUGUAAUCUUCUUUUUGCGGUGUGUUUGUUGAGACCGAUGAAUUGUGGGUUUAUGAUCAAGUCUAUCUAUGAAUAAUAUUUGAAUCUUCUCUGAAUUGUUUUAUGUAUGAUAGGUUAUCUUUGCAAGUCUCUUCGAAUUAUCAGUUUGGUUUGGCCUACUAGAUUGAUCUUUCUUGCAAUGGGAGAAGUGCUUAGCUUUGGGUUCAAUCUUGCGGUGUCCUUUCCCAGUGACAGUAGGGGCAGCAAGGCACGUAUUAUAUUGUUGCCAUCGAGGACAACAAGAUGGAGUUUUCAUCAUAUUGCAUGAGUCUAUCCCUCUACAUCAUGUCAUCUUGCUUAAGGCGUUAAUCUGUUUUUAACUUAAUACUCUAGAUGCUUGCUGGAUAGCGAUCGAUUAGUGGAGUAAUAGUAGUAGAUGCAGGCAGGAGUCGGUCUACUUGUCUCGGACGUGAUGCCUAUAUACAUGAUCAUACCUAGAUAUUCUCAUAACUAUGCUCAAUUCUGUCAAUUGCUCAACAAUAAUUUGUUCACCCACCGUAGAAUAUUUAUGCUCUCGAGAGAAGCCACUAGUGAAACCUAUGGCCCCGGGUCUAUCUUUAUCAUAUUAAUCUCCUACUACUUAGUUAUUUCCUUUGCUUUUUACUUUGCCUUUAUUUUACUUUGCAUCUUUAUCACAAAAAUACGAAAAAAAUUAUCUUUAUCAUAUCUAUCAAAUCUCACUCUCGUAAGUGGCCGUGUAGGAAUUGACAACCCCUAUUCGCGUUGGUUGCGAGGAUUUAUUUGUUUUGUGCAGGUACGAGGGACUCGCGCGUAGCCUCCUACUGGAUUGAUACCUUGGUUCUCAAAACCUGAGGGAAAUACUUACGCUACUUUGCUGCAUCAUCCCUUCCUCUUCGGGGAAAACCAAGGCAGUGCUCAAGAGGUAGCAAGGGUUCCUUUUUGUCGACGAUCCGAUGUUUCAACCCUGUUUUCCAGGUGGCCAACGCGUCGCUAAACUUGGUGACGGCGUGUUUGUUUAUCUUCUUCAUUGCCAGGUCCUUAUCUGGAUCUUUAUUAUCCUUUUCACUGCGGUCUGGGAACAAGAUUAUCUGGUGCAGUUUCUUAAGGAGGGAGGGCCUCAUAUUAUCUAUCUUCUGUAGUUUCCCAUCGUUGAUCGUGGCAGUUGUCCGUACGAUGCAACCUAUUUGAUUGCCGUAGCACGAUCGCGCUUCCUCGGGCGCUAUUGUCUCAAAAAUACCGCCGUCCAUCUCCGUGACCGCCAGUCUACUACUCAUGAGCUGGUUUGGGCGCUGUGGCCUCUUUGCUUUCGGUUCUAGACCAGCUCCGCUAGUCUCGGCGCCUGUCUCAGUUUCAUCAUCGGUCCGCAUGUCGGUAUCAGUCCCCGAUGCGACACCACAGUUGCUGCAACAUGGGUAAGGGAGACCACGUCAGUGGUGGGGGGUCUGAAAAUCAGAACACACUUUCGCGCGUCGCGGGCCGCCUCUCAGACAGCUACUGGGGAGGCGGUGGAGUACCUGGGUGCGCGGCGAAUCCCCGGGAACUCGGUGACCAACUUCCUUCCCGUGUGGCGCAUGGAGACGACGGCGACCCCGGCGAAGAGCAGCUUAGCCGCGAGCUGCACAGCCUCGUCCACCUCCUAAGUUGGGACCUCCGCGCGAGCGUUGCGGGGCCGCCACUCGGAUGGCUUCUGGAAGGCGGUUGUACAUGGGCACAUGGUGAAUCCCGGCGAGAGCUGGCCAUUGGCGCGCGCAAGUAGACGACGAUGUCCUCGAAGAAGAGCAGCCCGGCCAGCUCGCCUCACUAUCCUUUGAUUAGAAAUGAAAGAUUGGGAAGAAGCAGACUUGAGCCUGCAGGGAAAGGAUAAGGUGACGAUGCAGUCUCCACUCGUUCGGGGCGACACUCGUACUGAAUGUAUGAGAAACGUGACGUGGCAGAGACCCCAAGAUACUCCCUCCAUUUAUUUUUAGUCUGCAUAUAAAGUUUGGUCAAAGUCAAGAUUUGUAAAUUUUAACUAACUUUAUAAUAAAAAAAUAUCAACAUUCACAAUAUGAAAUCAAUAUUACCAGAUGCGUCAUGAAAUGUAUUUCCAUACUAUAUAGUUUUGGUAUUGUAGAUGUUCAUAUUUUUUUAUAUAUAUGGGAAGUAGAGGCACUCUUCUAUAUAAUGAAGUUUAUAAUAUAUGUGCUUAUAUUGUACUAUAAUUGUUUGAAUAACUUAGCAUAUAUUCAGAUGUAUGAUAUCUGUAAUUUAAACGCUUGAAUUUUACAUAUGAAUAUUUAUUAAUAAAUAUGUACCCCUAUAAUAGCUAGGCCGUGCAGUUGCACGGGUAGAUGACUAGUGAUUACAAUCUUGCUUGUGUGCAAGUCAAGCUUAUCUAGUUUACACGUAACAACUUAUAGAACAUUACAAAAUUUAUGCUUGCUAAUAACUUCUAGAACACUACAACACUUGACAUGUAAAAGGAAUUUGAUGAGUCAUGGCCUACUAAAGCAAGUUACAUUACUAGUCUUAUCUAUCUUAACAGACCACACAAGAUUACAAACUAUGUACCGUGACAGCCAUGCUUAUCUAGUUUAUGCGUAACAAUUUGCAGAAAAUUACAAACUUAGUUUCAGAAAGAUAGGCAAUCUAGAUUAGUGUUUGAGCUGUAAAGUGAAUAAGAUGAGUCAUGCAUGUCAUCACACCUUUUUGGUGGUGGAAUGAUAGUGCAACAACAAGGAACUUUAAUGACCAGUCCAAGAAUACACUUGUAAGUAGUGCCACCAAACAGAACAUACCAAAUGAUGAUUUUGAGAAGCAUCCAAGCACUUUCCACACAAACAAAUGCCAAUUGUGAAAGAGAUCAUUCCAUGGCAGCUAUAAAUAGCCCCAUAGCAUGACGAUCAUCCUUCCUCAUCCAUCAUUCUCAUAAGUAGAGCACAUCAUUUAAGCCAAGCAAGUUGUGGUCAAUACAAAUCCACCAUGAAGACCUUUCUCAUCCUUGCCCUCCUUGCUAUCGUGGCGACCACCGCCACAACUGCAGUUAGAGUUCCAGUGCCACAAUUGCAGCCACAAAAUCCAUCUCAGCAACAGCCACAGGAGCAAGUUCCAGUGGUACAACAACAACAAUUUCUAGGGCAGCAACAACCAUUUCCACCACAACAACCAUAUCCACAGCCGCAACCAUUUCCAUCACAACAACCAUAUCUGCAGCUGCAACCAUUUCCGCAGCCGCAACUACCAUAUUCGCAGCCACAACCAUUUCAACCACAACAACCAUAUCCACAACCGCAACCACAGUAUUCGCAACCACAACAACCAAUUUCACAGCAGCAGCAGCAGCAGCAGCAGCAGCAACAACAACAACAACAACAACAACAACAACAACAACCACAACAAAUCCUUCAACAAAUUUUGCAACAACAACUGAUUCCAUGCAUGGAUGUUGUAUUGCAGCAACACAACAUAGCGCAAGGAAGAUCACAAGUUUUGCAACAAAGUACUUACCAGCUGUUGCAAGAAUUGUGUUGUCAGCACCUAUGGCAGAUCCCUGAGCAGUCGCAGUGCCAGGCCAUCCACAAUGUUGUUCAUGCUAUUAUUCUGCAUCAACAACAAAAACAACAACAACAACAACAACAACAACAACCAUCGAGUCAGGUCUCCUUCCAACAGCCUCAGCAACAAUAUCCAUUAGGCCAGGGCUCCUUCCGGCCAUCUCAGCAAAACCCACAGGCCCAGGGCUCUGUCCAGCCUCAACAACUGCCCCAGUUCGAGGAAAUAAGGAACCUAGCGCUACAGACACUACCUGCAAUUUGCAAUGUCUACAUCCCUCCAUAUUGCACCAUCGCGCCAUUUGGCAUCUUCGGUACUAACUGAGAAGAAAAUAACUCUAGUACUAGAUAUAUGAAACACCGUUUUCUCAGUCCAUGGUUUGGUCGUUGUAGCGGUGAAAAAAUAAUGUGGCAUGCACUAUCAUGUAAGAACCCAAACUAUACUAGUUCAAACUUGGGAAUAAAAGACAAACACAGGUCUUGUCUACAUAUUUAUGUCGCAUCUAUUUAUAUAUUAAAAGUAAUAUAAGGUGAACCAGGAGCAAGGUAAAUAUGCUAGAAAAUUGCACGUUAAUUAGAAAUUACUAGCCCUCAAUCCGGUAAAUCUUAACAAAUAGAAUUAUCUUGACCGUUAGAUUUAUGUAACAUAUAUAAUUCUCUGGGCCUCCAACGACUGUACGUGACACAUCUGAACGCACAUAUGUUAAAGAAAAUAUAUUUGGUAAAUGGUGGGCCUCUUUAAAAAGAGAACUCACGUACAUGCACCAACUAAGAAAAACACAUACAUGUAAACGGGAAAAGGGCUCCACCCCGUUGAAAAAAUAUACAUCUGGAGGCCACUUUGUUUCCUCAUAAAAAAAAACUUACGUUAAAAAGAUUGCAUGCAUCCCAGGGAAAAUAGUCAAGAAGAAGUCGGACUCUUCCUUACAAAAACAAGGAACGUGUUAAGUUGACUUCAAAGAAAAAAGGAACAUGUUAAGUUAAAAAAAACAAGAAACCUGUUAAGUUAGAAAAAAACAAGGAACGUGUUGUCCUAGGAAAGAUAUGUGUCAAAUCUUACAAAAAAAAGAAUACACACACGUACGUUCAUGCACUUGGAAAAUAGAAAAAAAAAGGAACAUCACGUAUGUAUACACUUCGGAAACUCAUUACAUGACCAUGUCUGAUAUACUCCUCUAAUGCUUAAUAUUAGUGCCUAAUAAUUUAUAUUUAAAAUUUAAUUUACUGAUCAAAUAUCCCCACUGUUUAAAUUUUAAUUUGGCACAUUGUUUGGCUAUAGUAUGAACCUAAAUUUCCUCUUAUUAUUAUAUAUCAUGAUAAUAAUCCAAAGGCGACUAAUCUGCGCCGGCGCACCGGCGCAAUCAAUUCGGCCCGACACAGCGCGGCCGUUUGAUUAAAUUGCAUUUAACCGUCAGAUCUAGAAUCAUUUUAUUUCCAAUUAAACGGAUUCAACCAAACAGCAGAGGGGAAAACAAAGCAGCACCGCCGCCAACACUAGUCAUGGACGACCGAUGUAGCAAAACCUUGAAGAACCGCCGCCGGUCGCCACCCUCGCCGCUGGUCGCCGCCCUCGCCGCCUGCGUUUCUCAUCGGCUUCAUGCAUGCAACAACAUGCACUCGUGAUUGCAGGCUUGCAGCUCCGGCUCCGGGGGACAUGGCCGCAUCUCCGGUAGCGCCGGCCGCCAGCCGCAGCACCUGUCGUUGUGGUCACGCUGUACCUCGCCGUGUGCCCUCCCAAGGCUCUUGCUGGUUCCAACAAAAAACGAUACCUAUUGUAGCAAAAAAGUUUAUCGCUUCCAGCAAAAAAGCUUACCGCUAUAGCCCGCCAUCAUCAUUGUAGCAAAAAUGUUAACUCGAUGUAGCUUCUGUGGUUGCCGACUGCGGCCAAAAAUGACGUGGUUGUAGCAAAACACAAAAGAAAAACGCCGGCCGUCCGCUGUGUAUGGUGGUAACAAACCCUAUAGCCGGUGGUAGCGAAAAACUUCACUGUUUGCAGCAAAAAAAUGUUGUCGCCCGUCGUCGAGGUUGCAUCAUCUUCAUGAAUUAUGUCGCAAAAAAACGUUGUCGCCGGUAGUAGCAAAUGAAGCCGCCGGUAGUAACAAAACAAGACACUGGUUCCAGCCAAAAAAAUCAGCGACAGAACCUUUUGUUGGUUCCAACAAAAAAACUUGUCGGUUGUAACAUCCCUCGCCGCCGGAUGUAGCAUCUCCCAGGGCUAGUUGCAACACUCCAUAAAAAAAGUUGUCUAUGAGCGCAUCCAUGGCAACUGCUGCACCGUCAGCAACGAGGGGAAGAGGAGGCAAUGAAAAUCGUUCGAGUCGUAGCUCCACUGGACACGGCUGCAGCAUGGGGAGUCCAAAAAUCUGUCACAAGCAAGAUGCGCCUCGCCAUCCUCCUGCGCAGGAGAGAGAAGAAAAAGGAAUAAGAGGAAGAAGAAACGAAACGGGAGAAAGAAAAAAAGAAACGAUUGGUUGUGGGCUCAGGCAAUUAGUCAAAUGAGGGGCACGCGGGGCCGUAGGAUACAGCGCAAUCGAACGAAGUGCGCGCGUCCGGCCGAAGACUCAGCUGGACUGCCGGUCCAGCUGGAAAUGUUUCCCUAAUACAAAGGCUUUUCUGAAUGACAAGUCGUCUGAGUUAUCGGCUAACUAGAAAAAAGAUAAAUAUGCUAGAUAAUUCCAUAAUAAUUAGAAAUAUCUAGCCUUUAAUUAUGUAAAUCAGAAAAUCACAACCGUUGGAUUUACUUUAAAGGUAAAUUUCUCUAAAUUCCCACCAUUGCCAGUAUGUAGAAACAUGUGCUGCUUCAAUUCUCCCUUAAUCACCAAUCAAUCAACAACUGAAAACAUACCUCAGUUAAAAAAACUGAACAAAAAAAAGAAAAAAAGAAGAAAGGACAAGAUACACGCAUGUACACGACAGCCUUGGCUUGAAACACAUCAGUAGAUCAAGUGUCCGCCUCCCUUACACAGAAUAAAUUCUAGGGAAGAAAAUAAUAGUGCAACCUAACCUUAUACGUACUAUUCUAUCCUCACGUCCCAUGAGGUUUACUAGCCUACUGCCGCCGCAUCAUGCCAUCCUCUCCUUUCAGCUCCCUCCUUGCGGCGCCACUACUCGCCUAGGGAUAUUGCUGCUCAGACCGUGGAGCUUAACCUGCUUCUUCUUCAGCAAAUAUGGAACUGCUUUAGGAUCCUUCUGACAUCAGCGCGUAUGGGCCUCAUUAUACUGCAGCUCCUGGACCUCCUACAAUUGGUUGGCUAUGGCCAGUUGAUCGAUGUGCUGAAGUCCAGGUCUGUUUGCUGGCACAUAUGCUUUGGAAAUAGGCCACUAUGUUUGUACUUCGAAAUUGUUUCUGUAUUCUUCAGUGGUACAUCCUUUUAAGCGCCAGUUUUUUAUGUUAAUUCAUGCUGACAACACUUAACCUAGCCUUUCAUGUUCACGUACUAAAUACAGGAGCAAGUAAAAACAACAGACCACCUAAUUGCUCUGCAAGUUCUACAUAGGAAAAUUUGUCAUGUUCUACGAUCGCACCAUCCCACCCUUCUCUCUUGGUAUGGGCGCCAAUUGAGGGAUUGAUAAAACUGAAACGAAGACGUCACAGGGCUGGAAGUACCGCUAGCCUGGUUCGCACUGCAACCUACCCAACGCCAUCAGAAACUAGCAACUGAGUCAGGUGUUGAUCGAUUCUCUCAAAUUGCUCUCAUGUAAGUACUACCCCUUGCAUGUGCGUACAUACCUUUGUUGCAUUCUCAAACAGAUAGAACAUGUAUGAUCGGUGCAUGGCUAUUUUUCAUCACAUGACAUCCAGAUAACAAGCAUGAAAGGACUACAUUGGAGAUCAAAAAAUAUUGGUUCCUGGCUAGAGUACCACUACCUAUGGACUUGUCUCCAUAGAAUUUGUUCCCAAGAUGUUAUUUUAAUUAACCUCUUUAGCUUUCUUCCGUUGCAAACGGUGAUGUGCAUCAUGGUAUAUACGUGACCAUCUUGCACAUGUAUACACAAGAGGCUCAGACGGAGGUGCUGGAUUCUGGACGAGGGAAUAUGAAGCAGGAGUGAGCGAAGAGUAAAUAAUGGUGGGAGUACCGAUUGGUGUUAUGAAGAAAAAUGCCAUCCAAAGAUUGAUUAGUGUCAUGGAAGAUUAAUUUCUGAAUGCGAAUAUAUAUGUUACAUUGGUUUGGAUCUUUUUGAGAUAAUUGCACCUAAAUUAGGUUCUUUCUUAUUUCAUAUGUAUACCUUAUUUCAGUAAAAGUUCACAACGAACUUAGUAGGACAAAUAUAAUUUUGUUUGUUCUUUCUGUUGUCCGCCACCAAAGCUCAGUUUGAACUCUCUAGAAAUGGACAAUGAUUUAUGCAUUCUAUAUCUUCUUGAUUGAUUAGCCAUGACAAGGAAAUAAAAGGAUUGACUGAUAUAGCAUAACUUUGGAACGAUCUGUUCGUAGAGGUUACUACAAAUUAGAGUAGUGUCUGUUGGAAUUUUGCUAGUAGGCCUUUGGCCCAAAGCCCAACUAAAAUUCUGAAAUUCUCUUCGCUCAUUCAUGCACACAUGUGAGUGGAGUGAGUGAGACUAAAGUUUAGAGAGAGUUGCACCUCUUUAUAAGGUGAGCUCUUCUACCACUUGUAUGAGCAUGAGAAGAGGAGACCUAUACACGCGCUCCUCCUCCUCGCUCACCACGUCUCGUCACGCCGCGCCGCGCCGCGGAUUGCGGGAUUGAGCCGAGCCGAGGACGUUGUCUAUAUUUUUGCUGUUUGGGAAAAAUUAAUAAGUCAUUAAUUAAUAAUUAAUGGAUGCGUUAAUUACUGAACCAUUUUCGAUUCUUUUGGAUCGUGACGACUCGGACGUGGGGUUUACUCCCACGAUCUACCCGGCCCACACUAUAUAGUCAGGCAGACGUCUACCCUAGCCGCCGCCACUUCGUAUGGUUUCUCACCACCGUUACAGAUCGUUGCGCCGCCAAGCAAGUUUUCUCCAUUCCUCCUGUCGGCAUGCACUGGGAGAAGGGACAGCAGGCCUCCGGAACCCCGCCUCUCGUGAUCCUGUACGGGAGAGGGGCGAUCAGAUUUUUGGGGAGCGCACUCGCACGACUGCUGGCAGCGACGACUUCGCAAACGACGACUUCUUCCCCGACCUCGGCAACCUCAUCCUCGACUUCUGCACCGUAUGUUAUUCUAUCCUUCUUGUUCGAGAUCGUGGUAGAAUUCAGAUUUCUAGCAUGUUCCCUAGAUGUGAUUUGUUCAUCUACUAUUCUAAUUCGCAUGAUUAGUUUAAUCUUUGCUAUUGCUGUCAUGAUCUAUUUCCUAUUUAUUCGGAUUAAAUCUCGUAGUAAUUUGCUCAUUUUUCCAACAGUGCCAUCUAAUAGAUGAUGUAAAUCUCCUCAAGUUUGACGUUGUUGAGCUAAUUUACAAAAAAAACCUCAUCAUUAUUGGAUGUCCUUAACAGCUCAAGAACAAGUUGGGGUCGAAAUAAUGGAUUUUACACUUUUACAUUAAAGGUUUAGCUAAAGCAAGCAGGUGUUUUUAAACCUGAAUUUUUUUCCUCCUGAAUUUCUUUGUAUUUUCUUAUUGACACUAUUUAUACAAUCAUCUGACAAAGAUUAGCUAAAGCUGUUUGUAGAUACGUUCAAACCUGAAAAGCUUCUUUGGUUAUCCUUUUAAUAGUUCUACGUUUAUUUUCUCAUAGGUCUUAAUUCUUAUGUAAUACCAAGAUGCAUUGUGGUAGUGUACAUGUGUUAAAUUCAGGUUGUUAUUCACAAUUUGCGACAAAAUUUAGCUCACGCUACAUUUAAAUAUGUUGAAAUGUGAAAGCUCUUUUUCUUCUCCUUUCUACACCUUGCAUCGGAUUGCAUCCCUUUAGUUAUCCAACAUUUUGUACAACAUGUAGAGAUUAGGAAGUUCAUCAUAGUUUGUCUAUUUCCGUGCUAAUAAAUGUAUGAAAUCUGCAUUUCCAAGCUACUAGGACAAGUAAAAAAUAAUAAUUUUACUAUAGGAUUCAAAAACAGCAGUUCUGAAGUGCACUUUAUUUAUUUGUGAAAGUGAUCACAUUUUGUUUCAUUUUUCUAUAGACAAAUCUACUAAUACAUACUCACGAUAAAACUAUAAAAGUUCUAGUCCGCACAUUGGGCGGGCCACCCGGCUAGUUAGUCUAAAGAUAACAAAAUGAGUCUGGAAUUUGAAUUAAAUUGAAGUAUUUUCUUGGACUAUCCACAUCCUUGGCUUGCCCCUGAUCAAUUAUUUCCAGAGAAGCAUUCAAUUCAUCAAUCAAUUACAUUGAUUUUAGUGGCUGGUACUUCUCCUCGACAUCAGUAUAUUCACCGUGGCCACUCCAAAUCGGCAAGAAUGAGGUACCAGUGCUCUGGAGCAGUGCAAGCUAAUUGCUUCUCAUGUGAAGGGGUGCGGGCGCGGGAGAGGUAUUUCUGGUGGGCCAAGGGAUAAGAAGCGACCGUGGCAGCGGUACAGACGCCCGCAAAGCCCCAUAAUUUGUUUUUGGUUUACAGGAAAAAUGCACAUCCAUACCGGCCUGGGGAAUAUAGCACUGUAUUGCAUGGAAAACCAUGUCCGGAUGGUUGUGAGCGGUUUGAGGGUUAGCUUUUGUAACGCCCGGUUAGUUAUGCUAUAGCAAUUCCCUGCUAAUGAUGUCACGUCACCACGAUUACUGUUGUUAACCUCACAAUGAUUCAAUCCCGUUCAAAUUCAAAUUUGAAAUAAAGGUAAACAUCAAAAGUUUUCAAACAUUAAAACUAAAAUCUUUGAGAGGUGACAAAUAAUGCAUAAGUAAUUAUGGUGAAGAAACCACACUUUAAUCAAAUGUUUAAAUACUCUAAAAUGAAAAAAAAACAGUGACUUAAACUAUUAUUUAAAUGCUUUUAAAAUAGUAAAAAUCUUCUAACUAAAUUAUUUGGGUACCAAACUUUUGGUGGCAGUGGUAUAUUUAGUAGAACUAAUUUAGAUGCUAAUUAUAUAAUUUACAAAAUUAGAGUAAAUUGAAAAAUAGGAUAAAACGGAAAAAGGAAAGACAAAACAAAUAAAAGCAAAAGGGGGCAACCCCUCGCUGGGCCUCGGCCUAGCUGGCCACUAGACUAGCUAGGCUGGCCCCGCCGCCUCCCUUAACCCCCCACUCCCCAUCGAACCCAAGCCCGAUCGCCCCAUUUCCCACACACCCCCUCGCUAGUCUCCCCACCUCUUGAUCCCAUCUGGAUCGGGGAGGGUAUUGCCCCCAUCAACCCCGUUGCCGUCGCCGGAUCGCCCGCCGACGUCGGCAGGCCUCCUCCCCGUCGCCCGUCUCCGGCUCACCUCCCCUCUCGCUCCUCUUCCCCGACCCGAUCUGGAUCGUGAACGAGCAAUGAGCUCGAAGCCCCCCUUCACCAGCGCCAUCACCGUGCGCCACCACCACCACCUGAAGACCUCACCGUCGCUGAACCUUGCGUCGCCUCCUUGUAUCCCUCCCCUACUCGCAUCCUCAAGCCAGGCCGAGCCCCUUCUCGGCAACGCUGUGAGACGCCCCCGUUUCCCUCCUCUUUCCACCGCGUUCACCGCGCCGCCCGCCGUGCCCCUCGCCGUGCAUGAGCCCACCACCGCACCAGCCCCCGCUCCGCGCACGACCCUACCCGCGCCCGCGCCAUGAUCCCCUUUUCCGCCCUACCUUCACGCGCUCGCCGCGAUCCCCAUGCUCCCCCGCGCCCUCUUUCGGGGGCGCCGACUGCCCCUGUCCCGGUGCUCGCCGCCGUGCCUCGCCACCGCUCUACUGCUACGUUACUACUGCGCUGCGGCCGCCGCCUCUUCCCGCUGCUCCGCUAGCGCCGAAGCUCCCGGUUGGCUCCACCACUGCUCACGUUAAACCGCCGGCCUAAAUGGCCUAACCCUCGGCUAAUGAACCCCCACUAACCCACUGACACCGGGACCCACAUUCCCUAAUUAACCAUUUAAUAAAUUAACAUUAGUGUAUGACAUGUGCGUCCCCUGUUAAUUAAUAAUUUUACUGCUAGUUUUAUUAGUUUCUGUUUUUCUGCAUAUUUCUUUUGUAUUUGAACAGGCUUUAUACAAUAAUAUUUAGCGUAUCAUACACAUACAAAUGUAAUCAUAGCAUAUACAUACAAAUAGUCUCAUCAAAUCAUGUCAUCAUCAUAAUCAUCAUCCAUCACAAAGUGGUCUCUGGUCAUCAUCUCGAAAAUAGCGAUACAAGUCUCGAUUACUUGCAACUACAUCGUCAUCCAUCUAAACAAUGAUAUACACGAGAAGAGCUCUCACUAUGAGUGAGAGCGGAACUAUGCAGUACAUGAGUUUGUAUCCCUCUCUCGCAUUAGCGUGAACCUAAACUAACGACUGGCUGUUGCUCGGAAACCGGAAACCGGUACACCUGGGCCUGACACUCCGGCCACUCAUCGUAUACUCCUGGCGUAGCACUUCUUCGCCAUCGAUGAUCUAUGCACCUGCAUCGUCACAUGAGUCGAUGAUAUGCAACAUAUAUAGUUGAGCAACAGAAAGAGACAGACUUGGCAAAAAUAGAAGCAACAUAUCACAAGUAUAAAUAACAAAGUUAAUGUUUUGCAGGAUUACAACUCAACCCAUUGCAGAUUAGAAAACAAGCCCGUAUGAAUGCACAGGCUGACGACUAGUCUAUCUAUACCUAUACCUAUACCUAUACCUAUACCUACCUAUACUAAUUACAGACUCCCAAGGAAUUCCCACGUUAAUUAGUAAUUAGGAGUCGUUAAUCUUGUGGGACCAAAUUAUUACGACAGUCCACGAUCUCUUUUCUCUCUGUGUAAAAAAAGGUCCACGAUCUCUUUUCUCGGUUGUAAAAGAUAAAGGCAACUCAGGUCCACGAUCUCUUUUCACGGUUGUGAAAGAUAAAGACAACUCCCGUCUUCUUCUAAUCUAUAGUUCUAUACCUCCACGACCCCUUUCUCUCCCCAUUUAAAAGGAACAAGCUGAACCAAUAUCUAAGCAUGCAAUUGGUUCCUGUGCGGUCUUGACCUUCCAUCCGUCCACUGCUCGAUCGGCCCUCCCUCAACUACAAGCUGACAAGCCACCAUCGCCAUCCAGCGGCACGCCACCGUUCAUGCAUGUGUUUUUGCCCUUCAAUCUGAAGGAGAUGCGUUGGCUACUCAAGUAACUCUGUUUGUUUUGUUCAAACCAAUUUCGUUAAUUCGGUUCUUUGAUUAUCUAAUUGACAUGGCCUGUGAGUUUUGUGCUAGUGAUACAGGGCCUGUCUACUAGAUUCUCUCCUUGCAACUUCUAUUGUUGUCUCGAUUUGGUGUGGUCAAGAUCCUUGCCCCACCACAAGCAGCACCUUUGCACCAUCGGGGAAAUCUGUCAUAGCAAACAGAGGUAUGUAACAUGCUUUGGUGUUUUCCUCUUUCGUUUAGAUCACUAGAGUUGCUCAACCACACCAUUCAUUGAUUAGUAGUUGGCCUGAGAAGUUGCUCGGUCACCUGCAGCGUCUGAUCCCCUUCUUGACCCUCUCCUUCUGGUCAUUAUCCACCGGCAGGUCAAUGCAAAACGGAUCGUUCGUUGCCGCCACCUUGCGGAGACCGAUGUUUGGCUGCCCUCCUGCCAUCCUGGCACUCUGGUACCGGUCACUGUGCCGUUGUUCUAGAAGAACUAUGUCACACGAAGCGAGAUAUCUUCUUACUAAUCUGGAACAUAAGUGUUUCUUCUUACUAGGAUUCGCUCACCGGUGCAUUCAUCUCUUUUUGGAAAAUACGGCCUUCAUAUUUCACACGCCUAUACAUGGGUGCUGUCCCAACAAUAAUCCAUCUAAUCCAUGAUGCACAUUCAUGAAGACUGAUGUGACUGAAUUAAUAUAUCAAUCUGGUGCUUCCGGAUCAGCACUUGAAGAAGCAACCCCUUUAGUUCAUAAAUUUAUCAUACGAAAGUCAGGGGAAAAAUCAACUAAGUCAUGUGUGCUUUUCUAAUUAAUUACUAUACACUAAUUCCAUUUUUUUCAGUAGCAGGCUAGGAUACGUGGAUUGUGGCAGCACAGAAGUAAACCGAUGAGCUACAUUGGCCGUUCACCAGUCAUCGGAUCAGAAGCCAUGUCGACCAGAGGGACGGAACAGUUCUAUAUUAGGCGAUGGAUACAUGUGGAAGCAACUAAGCAUAUGUGGAUGCAUGUGAUCGCAUAGGUAAGGCCAUAGCUGUUCAAGCCCUACAGGAUCUUUAUUGCUGGUUUUAAUUAUGAGUUUACAACACCAUCUAUACAUACUACUUAUCCAUUUAUUUCCUUACCUUCUUUGUUUCUUUCUCUCCUUGAUCCCCUGUCAAAAGGGCAUCAACAUCCAUAUGCGCAACGGCACACGCAACAAACUAUGACUUCGGUUGCACGUCCAAUGGCAACCACAGUACAUGAUGAUAUCAUGUUUGCUGCAAGACGAAGUACAAGUUCAUAAUUUGGUCUUUUGCAUGGUCCCUUAGUAAAUUAUAUUUGUCCACAUACACCACAUACAUAAAAACAGGUAGAAGCGGUUGCAUGAUGAAAAUGUCCUCUCAAUAUGCAUGCCUAUGAAUACUAUCACCAGAAAGCCAAGGACUAACAAUUAUUCAGGGGUCAAGAUUGAAGACAGACGUCCAAGAUUGGCAGUCGGCCGGCCUAAGAGGGGCAAAACCGUUGUACAUUAUAUUGUAUGGACCUAGCAAGAUCCUAAAGAUAAGUGAUAAUGGAGAUCAUGGGGGCCACCCUUAUAACCAUAUGUCCAAAUGUUCUUAUUUGUUUAUUUUUCUUUUCUCUUUUCGGAAGAAUCCAUCCUGCCUCUAUGGUCAUCCUGACCACUUCGUAUUGUUAUCUAAUCUCCUCCCUUAAUUAAUAUAAAGAAUUACCGCAGCUGAAUUCACUAAAAAAAGUAUUCAGUUUAUUUUAAUUUAUUCAACUAUUAUGGCAUAUCAAUUGGAUUGCAAGUUCUUGGCGGUUGCAUUUGAAUCAUAUUUGAUGUGCACAAAGGCUUCAGUGUCAAGGUGGUCGGACGAGUAUUUAUGUCCAUUAUAUAUGUGUUAGCUUGAGAUCAUCAGGCACCUGUUAUGCAUCUGUCCAGUUAAAAGGAUGUUCAGACUCAGGCUUGCCCUACCAUAUAUGGCUGUGACACUCUGAACCAAGCAAGUUGGUCAUAUGUGUCGAGCACUAUUAACUCUUUGGAAGAGGAUCCACCAAGUACAGGAAACAAAUCAAAUAUCUUCUUAACCUUAUCACCAGAAAAAUUAGCAAGAGAUGAAUAGUAACAUUUUAAAGAAGAAAGAUAUGUUUGAAAAGGGAUAUAUAUUAUGGCGACGAUUAGAAGAGCCCUUGACGAAUGGUGCCUAGCCUGCGAAAGUUUCUUAUGAAUAUAGUCAACACUCUAUAUCAACUGUUGUAAGAUUUUAGAAAUAUUUUUGGGGACAUAUGAUACAUGUCUAUUAUACAUAUGAUUCAACAGAAGUUUGAUUGAAUACAUAUUUAAAACGUGACUGACUUCUAUAUGGACGGAGUAUUUCACAAAGGACUCACUGCCAACUGUGUGAAUAUUCCAAGAUAGUUAGUGCACAUAAAUGUUCAAAUCCAUAGCCUGCAUAAAUAUACAAAAGCAAUGUGUUAGACCACUACACAUGCUUCUGAAAGGAGGCAAAAAAAUGUAUGCUUGAUUGAUGACCGUUCAUGCAUGAAAUUAAUUUCUGAUUUCUAAUUAUUUUGGUCAUAUAAUGGAAAUAGAGACAUUAUAAAGAUCCAACAGCAUGCUAUCACACACGUGUGAACACAGACACACACAAAUAACAUUUGCCGAGCACUCACAAAUAAAAGGUGUGGCUACUCUUGGGUGUUCUACAGCUGGCUUAAAAAAACACGUAUGAAACAUGAUCCCCAAAAAUCUGAAAUUCGCAACAUAUGAAAAUCCACCCUCAAACAUAUUUCUGGUGUCUCAAUUCUUUUAGUUUCAGAUGGUAUGUCCAGCCAAAGUAGUUGUACACAUACAUUACUAUGUUCUAUUAUUUGAGAUUCUAAGACAACAUUUAGUAACUAGCCCGUGCGAUGCACGGGUUCACGACUAGUAUAUAUAAAGCUUAAUGGUGCCUAAGAAAGCUCGCACAAUUUUACAGUGGCUGUGGAGAUGUGUUGCCAAACUGAGACAUAAGAUUUUCGUUUGGCAUCCAGAGUUGCAGACCGCUUGUGUUAUCCUUAAUCCAUGGCCACUCUAAUUUUUCCGGCUGGGCCUUCCCUGUGGUACGGCAGCAAGGCUUGCGUGUGUAUAUGUUUCCUUUAACUACCACUAGCACAUAUGCCCGUGCGUGCGUUGCAAGGGGAGAGAUAAUGGCGUAUCCACCAAUAUAUCUAGCAGCAUGACCCAACAACAUCCGAAUGAUGUCACCCGACGACGGCAGGAAGGCACACACAGAGGUCUAGUAAAAACUCAACAAUUGUACGGGCAUGGUUAAUUCGCGUGAAUUCAAGGGUGUGAGAUUAGUUAGUGUUGGUCCCACAAUUGAAUUCGGGGGCUGAUUAGUUAGUGUGGGCCCACCCUUGAAUUCACCGGGGGAGACAAAAUAAUUAGGGUGAGGAGAGAUUUACGGGGCUUGGUCCCCAGAUGCGUUGCGGCAGUCAUUAUUCGAGCAUUGCAAUGCUCGCACGUGAGGAGCUCUUUUUCCAAUUGUAUAUUGAGAAGCAUUGCUACAGAUACAAUGUUUUUGAUACGUUUUUGUACGAUGAUCCUGAUCUUAAAGGGCCUUCUAAUUUUUAAAUCUUAAAGGCAUUAUUUGUAAGUUGUCGUGAAAAAAAUCUCGCUAAAAGGGUUAUGUUAGACCAUCUUCAGUACAUUAGAAAUAACGAAUUAUAAUUCCUUGGCAUUUGAACAAACAAUCCCUACUUAUUUACACAUACAAUACUUUUGGUAUGAUUUUGAAAUCUUGAAGGCAUUAUUUGUAAGUUGAAGCAAUUUUGAAAUCUCACUAAAAGGUCUGUUAGACCAUCUAUAGCUUUAGAAAUAACUAAUUAUAAUUUUGCAAAAAAAAGAAAUAACUAAUUAUAAUUCCUUAAGCAUCUGACCGAAACGACCCCGAUUUAUUGUCUGGGUAGUAAUUCCUUUGCAACAUUAUUCUCUCCUUUCUUGAAGGAACUCUUGCCUGGGUAGUAAUUCCUUUGCCCACGUAUUUGCAAGGUUAUUCUCUCCUUCAUUUUUACAGGAGCUCUCCUUCCUUAUACUAAUUGGUCAUUAUCCUCUCCUUCCUUUUUCUUUUUGCCAAACUCUCUUUCCAUAUUUAUGCCGCUAACCACGCCACUCUUUUUCCUUAUUUAUGCCCUUUGAUCACGCCACACAUCUCAUGAAAUCUAAGCCAUAUAUAUCACCCAUCUUUUUUCCUUAUUCCGGUGCUUUCCUCACAAACAGUAGUUCUCUAGGAUGCUUAACGAUUUUGAAACAGAAACAUAUAUAAAUCGGUAGAACGGGUUGUAAAGCAGCGAGGUGGUACUAAUUUAUAAAGAAACAAACCUUUUCUUUUUGUGUAAUGAUGCCUUGGUUCGGCUGGUUGCGUUGGGAAAAGGACCGGCGAAGUGGGCGAACCAAAAACGGAUAAAAUUACGGUGGUAAGAAGCGAUAGCCCUUUUAUUAGUAGGUAUGAGGAUGUCUAGGAUGUCUAGGAUGAGGAUUUACUGCACACAAGUGCGGGGGCACUCAGGUCCUGAUGCCGCCUUUUUAUUUUGGCUUCCGAUUUUCAAACUUCUAUAUCUUUUAAACAAAAAAUUCAAUUUAAGUUACGUUUUCAUAUUCGUGCUUCUCGCGGCCAGCGCUUUCAAAUAAGAUCCAUUUUGCAUACAUUUUGGUGGCUUUUGGAAACGGGCGAAUAGCUCCUAUGCGACGUUGUUGGUGUGUAUUGUCUCUCAUGCGACGUUGUUGGCUGUAAUAGCUCUCAUGCGACAUCUGCGUUGGAAAAAAUAGCUCCCAUGCGACACACCAUUUACGCGGCUAGUUGGCUGUUAGUUAGGCUGAGGUUUGGUUAGGACACUGGGGGUUAUGUGCUCUGACUGGUGGGGUCCACCUAUGGUCACGUAGACAAGAGUCAACCGUCCACGACUCGACCUGGGACUGUGUGACCGUGCUCGACUCACCCGUGCUGGACUGAGUGAGCGGUGCCGCCGUAAGCAUCUUCUCCGACAGCGGUUUCUUCUCCGCGGUGGUGGAGCGCAUUUCUCGGCAGCGGCAGAGCUAUUGCGAGGUGAGCCCGAAACCCUAGUCCCACUCCCCAGAAUUUUGGGGGAUCUGUGGCCUCAUGCUGCCCUCUGUUUCUUGGCGAUUUAGAAUCGGGCUCCAUUGGAUCCGGGGGUUGUUUCUUCUCCGUGGCCCGGUGGUGGAGCGCCUAUCUCUGUAGCGGCUAUUGCGAGUGAGUAUUUUCCAAACACUACUCGCAUUCCACUAAAUUUUGGAUAAAUCUGUGGCCUCAUGCUGCCCCUAUUUCUUGGCGUUUUAGAAUCUCGAUUGGAUAGGAGAUGGAGCGAGGGCUGGAUGAGAUGGAGCGAGGAGACAGUGCUUCAAAUCGGUAAUGCCACACUCUUUUCUUGGCGAUUUAGAAUCGAACUCGAUUUGGUAGUGACUGCCGCCGCUGCCUGCCAUUGACAAAACAGGGGAGGUUCAAGUUCUGCCACCACAUUCACAAUUAUAGUGGAAUUUUUUCCCUGUAAAGCCAAGCUCAGUGAUGGCAGUGUCCAAGACAUUGAUAGAGAUACCACCGUGAGGUUCGAUGUCGAAUUUGCAGAUGUUGAUCCCCAGGAAUUGGAGAGCAUGAAGGAGAAGGCCGUGGGCAAUUUGGUGGAGAGAAUUGGGGAGAAUAUUGUUUGGGGUCCAGAACAAGAGGUAUGUCUGCAACGUUUCGAUAACUAUAAUGGUGAAUAUGUGAGAAUUGAAGAUGGAGAAUCCAUGGUUGCUGAAAUUGAUCAGCAAGAAGGGUGGGCAACUAAACAAGUAACAUUUUAUGCAGAGCUAAUUGAUCUACAAACUCAUUCCAGAGUUGGUUAUGUGCAAUCAAAGAGGGCUGCACAGAUGGAAGAUGAUGAGUGGGUUUCACAAAAGAAGAUGUUGGCAUUGUUGACUGAACCGACUGUAGUAGCUGAAGAUACAGGGAUUGAUGCAGAUGGAGAGGAGGGAACCCAUGGUGCUAGGAAGAUUGUUGUUGACUGGAAUGUAGUAGAGUUGAAUGAAAAAACAGAUUUGGUCAUUACACCAAUAUCUGACAUUGAUAUGGCCGAAAUGUUUGGCAUUCAAGUUGAUGACAAAGAUAAGGAGAAGGAUGACAGUUCUUUGCCUGCUGAAGGAACAUAGGCCCUAGAAAUGCAAAUGAGGAUGAAGAACAGCUGAUGAGAGAGGCUGCAGAUGAUGUGGAUGAUGCAGAUGAUAAUGAGUUGGUUUGUUUGUAUGACAAAGAGAACCCAGUUAUUGAGGUGGGAAAGUUGUGGCCAAGCAUGAAGGAGUUUAGGAUGUCUUUCAGGACCUAUGCAGUGAAAAAGAGUUUGAUGCCAAGACUAUGUGGACUGAUUGAAAGAAAUUUUAUGCUCGGUGCAAAGGUUAUGAUGGUGGUGGCAAUCCUUGCAAAUGGUACUUGUCUGCCAGACUACAACCUGAUUGAAGUACAGUAAGGGUAAAUCAAAUACCACACCAGCAUACAUGUAUGACCACUUCACAGAGAGUUUCAAAGAUGACAUCACAGCUUUGGGUUACAGAGAAGAUUACUCCUAUUUUAGCCAAGACUCCAAACACUACUGCAAAGAGGCUUAAAGUUGACUUGGAGAAGCUGUACCCCAUCCAGCUGCAAUAUACCACAGUGUGGAAAGCAAAACAAAGGGCCAUGAAAUCAUUGUAUGGUGACUGGGCAAAUACAUUUAGGAUGUUGUAUAGUUUUAAAGCAGAGGUGGAGAAGAGGUCACCUGGGAGUGUGGUGGAGAUAGAUACAGAGGUAACAGAGGAUGUCAUGGUUUUAUUCAGCAAGUUUUUUAUGUGUUUGAAGCCAUGCAUAGAUGGAUUCAAAGCAGGUUGUCGUCCAUAUUUGAGCAUAGACUCAUCUUUUUUGACUGGAAAGUGGAAUGGUCAGUUGGCUGCAUGCAAUGCUCUAGAUGGACGCAACUGGAUGUUCCCAAUUGCAAUAGGAAUGUUUCAAUCAGAGACAGAGGCAUCAUGGAUAUGGUUCAUGAUGCAACUGAAAAGAUGUAUAGGGCCAGUUUCUCCUUUAGCCAUCCACACAGAUGCAUGUAAAGGGUUCGAAAAUGCAGUAAAAAAUGUUGUCCCCCAUGCUGAGCAGAGGGAGUGCUUUGGACAUAUGUGGAUGAAUCUGAUAAAAAAAUUAGAGGAGAUGAAUUUGGGCGCAUGUGGCCAGCAGCAAGAUCCUACACCAGACAGACACAUUCCUAUCACCUUGGUAAGAUAUUGGCAUCAUGUAGUGAUAAUGAAUUUGCUUCAUGGUUGAACACCCGCCAUUCUCUGUUGUGGUAUAGAUCAGGUUUUAAUACUGCCAUAAAAUGUGAUAAUAUCAAUAACAACUUGGCAGAAAGUUUUAACAACAAAGUGAAGGAUUUGAAAGACUUGCCUGUGCAUGACAUGGUGGACCAAAUAAGGAUCAUGAUCAUGCGUUUGUGGGAGUUGAGAGGAAAAAUUGCUAAUAUUUUGGAAGGGGACAAGCUUCCAGCAGUGGUACAAUAGGUGGUCAACAGGAGUAGAAAUCUUUCACAUCUAUCUGUUGAGAAAUCUUCCUUGUGGGGUGCUGAAGUUAGAGAUACAAAGAGUGGCAAGAGGCAUGUGGUAAAUACUGAGUUGCAUGAGUGUACUUGCCGAGAGUGGCAACACACUGGAAAACCAUGUGAGCAUGCCAUACUUUUUUUGGCAUCUAAACCCAGGUUAAAUAUGCACCCAUAUUUGCAUGAGUAUUAUUCAGUACAAAAAUUCAAAGCUGCAUAUGCAAGUCCAAUUCCUGCACUGACUGACCAAUCUCAGUGGCCUGAGGUGGAAAUAGAAUUUACCUUGUGUCCCCUGUCACUAGAAGAAAGGCUGGGAGGCCUAAACAGAGCAGAUUCAAAGCUUGGUUUGAGAAAGGUGGUUGUAGUAAGAAGGGGAAAAAAGAAAAGAAAAAGAAUGAUAAGCCCAAAAGGGCUCAAAAAGGUAAGAAAAAUAGGUGCAAGUUGUGUGAGGUACUUGGGCACAGAAUUGGUUCAUCCAAGUGCAUCUAUACUCCUCAGAGGACAAAGUAUGUUCAUGUUACUGUUUUUACAAGUUUUUGAUUUUGUUACUUGUUCUAGUAUCUAACCAAGUCAAAUGCUUUAUUUUUUAGGAGGAAGCGUGCAGAAAAAGCCCCACCUCUUGUUGUUGAACAAUGCUGGCCAGUGAAAAAAGCAAGACUCAAUGGCUAUAUAGAAGGAAGAGCACUAAGCAGAUAAUGUUUGGUGACAAAGAUAUGGAGCUAACUGAAACUGUUACUGCUGAACAUGAGCUAAGUGUUUCUGUUUUGGACGAUGUGAUGCAUACUGAAUCUGUUUUGCAGACGCUAGGGCAAUCUGAAACUGUUGCAGAUGAAGCAACGGUUGUGCUGCCAUGCGAAUCUGCUUUGACAACUGUGUUGCCAUGUUUGGAGGUUGUGCUGCCAAGUGUUGAGUUGCAAACUGAAGUAGUUGAACAAUUUGUGCCAUCUACUCAAUCUGCAGAAGUGCAAACUGAAGAAGUGCAAACUGAAGAAGUGGGACAUGGUCAGGUGAAAAAGUUGAGGGGGCCUAGUGGAGUUUGCAAGGGGCCAAAAAGCAAGAGCAUCAACAUCAACAAACUAUGCGCCGUGGAACCAAACGAUGGAAAAAAGCAGAAGAAAUCGAGUGGUAGAAAGAAGCAAAAGAAAUAGAGUCGAAAUCAUUCAAAUUUGAUGUGAAAACUUAAGUUUGUUGUCAUUUGAUGUGAAAACUUAUGUUCUUUCAUGUGAAAACUUAUGUGCUAUGAUGUUGAUUUGACUUGAAAUAAAAUUCAAAUUUGAACCGACAUUCAAAUUUGAACCUAUCUCCAAAUUUUUUUGAGUUCAUUUGUUUGUUCUGUGAUGUUGCAUCGUUUUAUGUACUACUAUGCACUUUGUGAAGUCCAACUCAUAGUCACUGAAAAUGCUGUACAAACAGGCUCCAAAGUAAGGGAAAACGGCCCCAUUUCUAAGCAAGUUUUUUUCGAUCUUCUCAAAAUCACCCAAAAAAGAUUUUCUUAGCUUAUAUUAUACCUAUAUAGGAUCAAUACAAAGUCUCACCUUUUUUGAAUAAGUAUUCAUAUUAUUUAAUUUAUUUUUGAAAAAACACCCUUUAAUACAAAGUCAGCAAUAAAACAAGUUUAAAAAUUUUAAAUGCAAAAAUAACUUCAGAUCCUCCUUAGUCACUCUAAAAUGAAGCUAAGGUGAUGUUUUUUGAUUUUUUUGCAUUUUCAAAACCUCAAACCCUCUUCUCACUCCUUUGAACUCUAUGCAACCUCAGUCGAGAUAGUCCAAUUUGUGAAGGUUUUUUCAUGCAAAGAUCAUUAGAUCAAGUUUAUCAUUUUAUAUCAUAACUAUGUAACAUAAAAAGGCUAUAUGCGCAGGUUUUUCAUUUUUUAGAUUUUUUUGAAUUAGUUAUACACAUUUGAAUGUUCGGUCAAACCUUUCAAAACCCCGUUGACUGCCUCAAAACCCCAUGUAACCCUAGCGCCAAACGUCCACCGUCGAUCUAACCCUAACGCCAAACUGCGGCCGUCGGAUGGGACUUCUAGAAGGAUUCCGCGGGGGCGAUCCAUGGGCUCCAAUCUGAUUGGCCAUUGUUUUUUCUCUCUGACGAACAGAUAACGUUGAGCGGGGGAGCAUCUAAGUGACCGUUGGGCCGAGUGGAUUGGGCCUGGCAAAGCCUGGCGUGCGUGCACACGGCUGUUGAGAGGGGGGAUGGGCUGCAUGCGAGCGGGUCAAUGACAUGUGGGCCAUCCUUGUCCCAUGCAUGCCAUGCAACGUCGCAGCCUAGCUAUUCUUUGCUCGUGAAAGCCUAGCCAUUUGCAUGCGGGCUUGCAUGCACGCAUCGACGCAGAGUACGGCAAGGGUGCAGCGUAUAGGUACGUCGCAUCUAAGCUAUUUUAACAAAUGCAUGUUUGAACGAGAUGGACGCGUCGGUGGUGCAGCUCCUUUUUCAGUGUCACGCGCGGAUGAACGGGCCUGUUUCCCAUGCGGCAUCACCGCCGAUGCAAGUGCCCGUGCCUCUUUGGAUGCUCUGGCCGCCGUUUUUUGAAUUAAUGCCCGCAAUUACUUAUGCCAUGCGAACGGAGAAGAGAAAAAGAUCGAGAAGGGGCACCGUGUACACAUUGACCAUGGUUGCAAUGCGGCUAUAAAAGGGCACCAUUUCCUCAUCCUCUCACACUCAUCUCUCAAGCCUCCUCCCCUUCUUCUUUUCGAGCCAAAUCCACCACUCGAGCCACCAUGCAGUUCAACGGCCCUACCUACCGUCGCCCUUGCACCGUGCCGGAGAGGCAGUACCCAGCCGGAGUCGUCGUGGAGAACAGCCUGAGGGUGUGGGCCAUCUCUAGGUGGAGGGGCCCUAGAGAGUUGGCUCGCUUCUUCCUCCAAGCUGGCUACCGCCACCUCCCUCCGGGCACUCCGCCCAUGUUCCACCUCCACGAGCAGUACGAUGGCAAUGCCGGCCCCGACGGCUUCGUCAUCGGCCUCUAUGUCACCUUCACCAACCCCUACGACGCUCACCACCUCCCCGGGGAGGUGUUCUGGUGUGGAUGCGAGUUUAUCGCGUUCACGACCUACAACAUCUUCACCAACUUCCACCACAUCUUCCCUCACCACAACGGCAUGCACACCCUCCCCUAUCAGAUGCCGGAGGACGACGAGUGAGGGGCCCAAGGAGGAGGGUCCAAGGAGUGGCAAGGAGGAGGGGCCAAGGAGUUGUUCAAGCGGCGAGUCUUCUAUCUAUCUAGUUUGGGGCUCUAGUUUGUGUUUGUGUUGGUUCGGGCGUGUGUGCCCGUGUCUUUUAUAUAUCUAGUUUUAAUUAUUUUACUUUCAUGUUUUAUGAACUAUAUGUAGUGGGGGGAUGCCCCUCUAUAAGUUUUAUCUAUCUAUGCUACUAGGGUACCCGAUGCCCCUCUAUCUAUCUAUAUGUUUUUUCGGUCCUAAAGUUUCUCCAUUGCAUUUUAUUUAUGUGGCCAUGUGUACUAAAAAACAAUUGAUCUGGUAUCUAAAAUGUACGUUACCAAGAAAUUGACAAUAAAGAUUAUAUACUGUACUACAUAAUCAUACAGUUGGUAUACAAUGCAUUUGAAGACAAUGGGCAAGAAAAAUGCUAAUUAUCUGGUGCUGGUGACAUGCGUAAGUGUUGUCUGAUGUUUAAAUCAUGCUUGCUAUGUCAUUUUUUGCUGCCAAACAUGGCAUUAGCGAGAAAGGUCAUUUGGGCACUGAAUGUAUUAAAGUAUACACCAUAUAUAAAAAUGUCUAGCCAAAAGAUUUGGGUGUACAACUGUACACCAAUGACCAAGUAUGGAUCCGCCCCUGGUUGUAAGGGGAUGCCCCUCUAUGUUGUAAGGAGAUGCUACUAGGGGCACACUAGAUGUCUUCUUUUUUUGAGAGAGGCACAACCUUUUUCGGUUGAAACACACGAGUAAAAACUUUGAAAACACCAUAGCACAAGUAAAAAAAUAUAUUAAGAAAUGGUGCUUGGUUGAAAUAAACUAGAACCAAACAAUUGCAACUUUCUUGGUUCACAAAGACUGCUCAAAUAAUUAUCUCAAAUAGCUUAUGCAUAAAAAUAUCUCAAAUAAUUAUUAGAUGAGUUAUCUCAAAAAAGGUGACUGCAGGAAACUUAAAAUUUGUGAAAUGAUCUAAAGCCGAAAAGAUAUAUCGAUGAAUUAUCUCAAAUAGCUUAUGCAUAAAAAUAUCUCAAAUAAUUAUUAGAUGAGUUAUCUCAAAAAAGGUGACUGCAGGAAACUUAAAAUUUGUGAAAUGAUCUAAAGCCGAAAAGAUAUAUCGAUGUCAAUGACCGUGUGCACUUUUUUUGCACUCCUUUUAUCAAUGGGCCUGGAUAUGUUCUAUUCGGCCCUGCCUAACUUCUAUAUGGGCCUGGCCUUUUCGGGCAACUAUGGACGAACCUUUUUUUUCCUUUUCUCCCUCUACCACUGAAACUGAAACUGAUGACGAACUGAAGAACUAAAAAACGGGGCCGAAACAGAGUGGAGAGGACAUGCUGAAUUCGUACAACGCAACACUUUUAUUCAAAUAUACAUAUCAUUAGGAUUACAAAUGAUGCCCAAUCUAUUCACUUACGACUAAUUAUCAUCACAUAAACAAAUGCGAGAGCAAUUACACAAACAUAAAAAAGUCCGGCCAUCAGCCCCAUCAAAUUGCCCUGCUUCUGCAAUUUGAUGAGUUUCUUCAUCUGCUUGUUUAGCUUCUUCAGCUCUGCCGUCACUACUGCAUCCCCCACAGUAGCCCCAAUGGAAUGGGCACAUCCAGGGGCCCCAGAUCCAGAAGCGCCCGAUCCAAACUUGCCCAACUUCUCCACCUCCAGCGGUAAAUCGAGCUCCCCUGAUGCACCCUCCAGUUGAAUCCGCUCUAUGUACUCAUUUAGCCACUCAAAAUGGGUGCAUUGCUUCAAUUUCUGAAAUUGGAAAGAUGAACCCUAAAUCCCAAAUCCGAUGAAAAAUGGGGAAAAAUUGUGAUAUGAAAUUGGGAUACAAAAACCAAAAUUGGCAUAUUGAGAAGUAAAAUCUCACCUUUCCCUGCUCUGGUUUGCUCUCGCAUUUCACGAAUUCCCGCCCAAGGUUGCCAUUCUUGUCGGUCGUUGUGACUAGCCGCUUCAGGGGUGUGAUACGUGGGCCUGCAGGGCACCUUGUCAUGGGCACUGCGCCAUAGCGCGGCCAUGAGCGGCGGGAGGCUGAAGCGGAGCUCGACAUUGCUAGGUCGCGGCCCGGAACGGCGUUGCUGCGCGUCGUCGCCGGAGAAGAAGAACAACAACGGUCGGGGAGGGGGGGUGGGGGCGGGGGCGAGGAUGGGCCACGGCUCGGGCCACGGCUCGGUGUCCUCUUGUACCAAUGCUGACCUGGAUAAGUUAGUGGGUCCCACGCAGUGGGUCCCGCUCACCUGACCAAUGCUGAGUUGGAUAAGUUAGUGGGUCCCGCGCUGUGGGUCCCGCUCACCUGAUUCGAGUUUUAAACAUGUGUCUUUGGAUUAGACAGCAGUGUCGCAUGGGAGCUAUUUUUUCCUAUGCAGAUGUCGCAUGAGAGCUAUUACAACCAACAACGUCGCAUGAGAGACAAUACACACCAACGAUGUCGCAUAGGAGCUAUUCGCCCUUUGGAAACAUUGCUAAGUUUCAUUGUUUGAAACUUAGUACGAGCGACCGAUAAAAUUUAAUUAUUUUGUGUCUACGACCAACAGGAGAAAUUGCUUAAAAUUACAUCUUUGAAACUGGUCAUUUUUUGAUGCAAAAAUGUAAGUUUCAUCAUUGAAACUUAAGGGCAUGUCCAAUGCUGGAUGCUUAUCCAGGCGCUUAUCGUGUGGAAAAAAAAAAUGCCACGAAGUUAGCUCUCGCUUGUCCAACAGCCAAUGCUAACAACGGGCGCUAACCACGGCUGGAGCUAUAGAUUAGAAAGAAAGAUCUGGUUCACUUGUACGUGAAAAAAGGAGCAAGCGCUCGAUGCCUUGCUUUGCAUCGAUGCCAGACUGAGGUGCUGGGAAUCGACAAGAUAACCGCCAAUCUACCAGGAUUAAAUUCCUAGCGCCUUCUUCUAGCGCCUCCCACUGAAAAUGCCCUAAAGGUUUUUGAGGGAUUUUUUUACUGUGUCCUACUUCACGUAUCACGAGGCAAAUCAAGUAGGCGGCAUGGCCUGGCCGGUGAGUGCCAUUGCACUUACUUGCCCCAGCGAUUUUCCGCCUGCAUUGUAGAAUUCUUUCUCCGAGUCCUGUGAAUUAAAGAUGGUGCAGACAAAAGUAUAUCCUAUAUGCGUACAUGUGCAUGAUCAGAACAUGUUUUUACGUGCGUCUACUAUAAAUCAUGACCAUUUUUAACACAAAUCAUGACCAUUCAUGAUUAGUGAAUCAUACUGUCUUAACUUAUGUGAAAUCAUGUGGAGUAAUAUAAUAUAAUAUAAUAGAUAGAUAGAUCCAUGUUGUAUCAUUACACAUUUUGAUUUAUGCAUUUGUUUACAAAAAAAACAGUAAAAUUUCAUGGUGAAAAGUUUGUAUUGUUUCAUACUGAACACCAAUGUUUUCCCGUAAAAGAAAAUAAUGCCUACGCAUAUGCUUUUAUAUUAUUAUUAUUCUUUCAAACUUAUUCAUAUAGUAUUUUUGAUUGUGCAACCAUAAUUUUUAUUAUCUCUCUUGUUCCACUACAUGCUCUUACUCAAUGAUUUUUUUAUAAUGGGUGUUUUUAUUAACUCAAAAUAUAGCAUCAAGCGGAUACAAAACAUAACGAGCCACGUCCGGUCUCUGCAUAACUAAGAUGCACACAGCCAAAAGCAGAAGUCUGACAAAAAUAAGAUAAGAAAAUCAACAUAUCGACAACAGUGAGUCAUAUAGUUCCGACACUAUGCCUCUGUUGAAGGACGGGGUGGAGCGAUCUGGAGAUUAUGCUUCCCUCCAUUUUGAGUAAAUACCUCCCUGGCCACUUGUUCCAACCGCAUAGACGCCGCCACGAAUAAUGGUUGGUACUCUGUUCGGUGUAGCAUACACCAUGUAGGAAGUGAGUGCUCACUCCUAGUUACUAAAUUAUGUACACACUAGUAGAAAAAGGGCCAUUUGUCCCGGUUCGUAAGGCCCAUUUGUCUCAGUUAGGGAACCGGGACUAAAGGGUCGGUACUAAAGCCCUACACCUUUAGUCCCGGUUCUUACACCAACCGAGACAGAUGGGGCUCCACGUGGCCGCUGCGGCUUGCCAUGGCAGGGGGGCCUUUUGUCCCGGUUGGUAGCACCAACCGGGACCAAUAAGCUACCACGCGUCAGCAUUUGAGGGGCUUGGGUUUUUGUUUUUUUCUGAAGGGGGGGAGGGGGGUUGGGGGUUUUGGGGGGUUUUGUAUGGUUAAUUUUGGGGGGUUUCAUAUAUAGUGUUAGGUAGUAAUUAAUUAAUAGAGAGAAGUGUCCUCUCUUAUCUCCGUGCUUGGUCGACGCUACGUACUAUACGUAUAGAGAGGCCCUCGACACGCUUGCCAGUAAGCAAAUGAAGGAAACCAUUAAGUACAGAAGUUCGUCAUGAACAUAUGCAUACAAACAUAAGUGAUAUCGACCUCUCCUUCUCCGAGAGAUAGGUCGAAGAACAAGUUUCCGUAUAUCUAUCCGGCGCUACUAGCUACAUAUAUACAAUAUUAAGAUCUCUUACAAUAUAAUCCCCUAAUUAUAUAUGAACUCAGCUUCCAGAUGGUAUUCUCCGGCUUUAUUGAUGACGUGGUCAAGAAAGAAUCCCUCCAAUUCCUCUUGAAUUGCUUUGAUGCGAUCUUGUGGUAGGAGUUCAUCCUGCAUCUGCCACAUCUAAUUUGAAGAAGGGGGUCAAUCACUAGUGGAAUAACAGCCAUUUGUCUAGGUUCGUAAGGCUCAUUUGUCCCGGUUGGGGAACCGAGACUAAAGGGUCGUUACUAAAGCCCUACACCUUUAGUCCCGGUUGUCGGUGUCAAAACCGGCGGAUCUCGGGUAGUGGGUCCUGAAUUGUGCGUCUAGGCCGGAUGGUAACAGGAGGCAGGGAACACGAUGUUUUACCCAGGUUCGGGCCCUCUUGAUGGAGGUAAAACCCUACGUCCUGCUUGAUUAAUAUUGAUGAUAUGGGUAGUACAAGAGUAGAUCUACCACGAGAUCAAGGAGGCUAAACCCUAGAAGCUAGCCUAUGGCAUGAUUGUUGUGUAUGGAGUUGAUUGCCUACGGACUACAACCCUCCGGUUUAUAUAGACACCGGAUAGGGUUAGGGUUACAUAGAGUCGUUUACAAUGGUAGGAGAUCUUGAAUAUCCGCAUCACCAAUCUUGCCUUCCACGCCAAGGAAAGUCCCAUCCGGACACAGGACGAAGUCUUAAAUCUUGUAUCUUCAUAGUCCAGGAGUCCGGCUGGACGUAUAGUCCGGCUACCCGAACACCCCCUAAUCCAGGACUCCCUCACCGGUUCUUACACCAACUGGGAGAGAUGGGCCUCCACGUGGCCGCUGCGGCGAGCCCAGGUAGGAGGUCCUUUGGUCCCCGUUAGUGACACUAAUACGUCUCCAACGUAUCUAUAAUUUUUGAUUGCUCCAUGCUAUUAUGUUAUCCAUUUUGGAUGUUAAUGGGCUUUAUUUUACACCUUUAUAUCAUUUUUGGGACUAACCUACUAAUCGGAGGCCUAGCCCAAAUUGCUAUUUUUUGCCUAUUUUAGGUUUUUGAAGAAGAGGAAUAUCAAACGGAGUCCAAACGGAAUGAAACCUUCGGGAACGUGAUUUUCUCAACGAACAUGAUCCAGGAGACUUGGAGUGUGCGCCAAGAAAUAAGGGAGGAAGGCACGAGGCAGGGGGGCGCGCCUACCCCCCUUGAGCAUGCCCUCCACCCUCGUGGGCCCUCCACUGCUCCACCGACGUACUUCUUCCUCCUAUAUAUAUCCACGUACCCCCCAAACAACCAGGAGCACCACGAAAACCUAAUUCCACCACCGCAACCUUCUGUACCCGAGAGAUCCCAUCUUGGGGCCUUUUCCGGAGGGGGCAUCGAUCACGGAGGGCCUCUACAUCAACUGCAUGGCCUCUCCGAUGAUGUGUAAGUAGUUUACUUCAGACCUACGGGUCCAUAGUUAUUAGCUAGAUGGCUUCUUCUCUCUCUCUUUGGAUCUUAAUACAAAGUUCUGCUCGAUUUUCUUGGAGAUCUAUUCGAUGUAAUCUUCUUUUGUGGUGUGUUUGUCGAGAUCCGAUGAAUUGUAGGUUUAUGAUCCAGAUUAUCUAUGGACAAUAUUUGAUUCUCCUCUGAAUUCUUUUAUGUAUGAUUCGUUUAUCUUUGCAAGUCUCUUCGAAUUAUCAGUUUGGUUUGGCCUACUAAAUUGAUCUUUCUUGCAAUGGGAGAAGUGCUUAGCUUUGGGUUCAAUCUUGCGGUGUUCGAUCCCAGUGACUGAAAGGGAAGCGAUAUGUAUUGUAUUGUUGCCAUCGAGGAUAAAAAGAUGGGGUUUAUAUCAUAUUGCAUGAGUUUAUCCCUCUACAUCAUGUCAUCUUCCUUAAAGCAUUACUCUGUUCUCUUGAACUUAAUACUCAAGAUGCAUGCUGGAUAGCGGUCGAUGUGUGGAGUAAUAGUAGUAGAUGCAGAAUCGUUUCGGUCUACUUGUCUGGGACCUGAUGCCUAUAUACAUGAGCAUACCUAUAUAUUCUCAUAACUAUGCUCAAUUCUAUCAAUUGCUCGACAGCAAUUCGUUUACCCACCGUAAUACUUAUGCUCUUGAGAGAAGCCACUACUGAAACCUAUGGCCUCGGGGUCUAUCUUCUAUCAUAUUAAUCCUCCAAUACUUAGUUAUUUAUAUUUCUAUCUAUUUUACUUUCCAUCUUUUAUUUCUCUUUAUCAUAAAAAUACCAAAAAUCUUAUCUUAUCAUAUCUAUCAGAUCUCACUGUUGUAAGUGACCGUGAAGGGAUUGACAACCCCUUUAUCGCGUUGGUUGCGAUGUUCUUAUUUGUUUGUGUAGGUUCGUGGGACUUGAGCGUGAUCUCCUACUGGAUUGAUACCUUGGUUCUCAAAAACUAAGGGAAAUACUUACGCUAAUUUACUUCAUCACUCUUUCCUCUUCAAGGGAAAACCAACGCAAUGCUCAAGAGGUAGUGUCGGUGUCAAAACCGGCGGAUCUCGGGUAGUGGGUCCCGAACUGUGCGUCUAGGCCGGAUGGUAACAGGUGGCAGGGAACACGAUGUUUUACCCAGGUUCGGGCCCUCUUCAUGGAGGUAAAACCCUACGUCCUACUUGAUUAAUAUUGAUGAUAUGGGUAGUACAAGGGUAGAUCUACCACAAGAUCAAGGAGGCUAAACCCUAGAAGCUAGCCUAUGGUAUGAUUGUUGUAUAUGGAGUUGAUUGCCUACGGACUACAACCCUCCGGUUUAUAUAGACACCGGAUAGGGUUAGGGUUACAUAGAGUCGGUUACAAUGGUAGGAGAUCUUGAAUAUCCGCAUCGCCAAGCUUGCCUUCCACACCAAGGAAAGUCCCGUCCGGACACGGAACGAAGUCUUCAAUCUUGUAUCUUCAGAGCCCAGGAGUCCGGCUGAAGGUAUAGUCCGGCUAUCCGAACACCCCCUAAUCCAGGACUCCCUCAGUAGCCCCUGAACCAGGCUUCAAUGACGACGAGUCCAGCGCGCAAAUUGUCUUCGGCAUUGCAAGGCGGGUUCCUCCUCCAAGUCCUUCAUAGAAGAUUGUAAGCACCAAGAGUAGUGUCCGGCUCUGCAAAAUAAGCUUCCACAUAUCGCCAUAGAGAGAAUAAUAUUAACACAAAUCAAAUCUGCUGACGUAUUCCGCAGUGCGUCAUCACACUACAGCCAAGUCCUUCACUCGAAUCGUUUUCACUUUUCCACCUCAGCGUGUUUUGCGAGGCGGUUUCCUUGGCACGUCUUGUCAAAGCAGAGAUCGUGUCCCCCUUGUUUACGGGAUUCUCGUUAAUACGGACGUGGGUAACCCAACCGCGCCACUUAUCACGGCGCUUGGGAGGCAAGCGAGUUUUACUAGGCUGGUGGGGACGCAUAGUCGCAUCCGCCCAUAUAAGGGGAUAAGGAUCCACCUUUUUACCUACGCCUUCUUCCUCCUUUGCCUAGCCAUCUUCUGCGCACCCGAGCUCUAGCGCCCCAGCCCGCGCUUCCUACCUCAACCCUCUCCAACAAUGUUCGGAGCGGGAGGCAAGUGGAUGGUCUCCUCCGUCACGGAGGGCCAUGUCAAAAGGUUAAGGAAGGCCGGAUACUUGUCCAAAGACAUCGCGCACCGGCUUCCUGAGGAGGGGCAGCUUCUCCCCACCCCAAGGCCCCAUGAGAGGGUAGUAUUUCUUCCCCACUGCCUCCGCGGACUGGGUUUUCCUCUCCACCCAUUUGUCCGCGGGCUCAUGUUCUACUAUGGCCUAGAUUUCCACGAUCUGGCCCCGUACUUCAUCCUCAAUAUCUCGGCGUUUAUCAUCGUGUGCGAGGCUUUCCUCUGCAUUCGCCCCCAUUUCGGCCUCUGGCUCACGACCUUCAACGUCAAGCCAAAGGUGGUGCGCGGUAACCAGGCGGAGUGCGGAGGUGCCAUGGCGGGCAAAAUUGCCAACGUCCUAUGGCUCGAGGGCUCCUUUGUGGAGACCUUGAAGGGGUGGCAGUCAGGGUGGUUUUACAUCACCGAGCCACGCGAUCCGAAGUGGAUCGCAGCCCCUGAAUUCCGAUCCGGACCCCCUACGCGGCUCAUGUCCUGGAAGGAGACGAGCUUGUCGUGGGGCGACGAAGGAGAGUUGACCAGACUGCAAAAAUGCAUCCAGUCCCUGGUGAACAAGCAGCUCAAGCUUGUCAACGUAAUCUAGGUCAUGCUCGUCCGCCGGAUUCUUCCGUGUCAAGAACGGGACUUCAAUUUGUGGGAGUUCAACCCGGCGCAACACCGAACUCUGAGAAGGCUCUUCAACACGACGUACGAAGAUGUCUGGAGGGGGCUAACCAAAGGCGCCGAGACUCCCACAUCCGCCUCCGAAGACCGCGGAUUCAGCUCGCAGCGUCCUGCUGGCGAGGUAAGAUAUUUCCAUCUUUUACAGGAUGUUAAGCUUUUUCAUAGUUGACUCUAUGCGGGAUCAAAACUCCCUCACCUUUGACAGGAUUGGCGGGAGAAGUCCGGACAGAUUAAAUGCCCGGCUCCCUUGCCCGAAGACCUAGCCCCUGCUCUCCUAGAGAAGCUGCUGGUUUCGGCACCUUAUGUGGUGCCGGAGAAGAGGGCCAAGAAGAAGAAGGCCACGGGGACUCGAAAGAGUUCCUGGCAUAUGGUGGUGUCGGACUCGUCGUCCGACCAGUCCGAGACGCACUCCUCCCGUGAAGACGAGGAGGAAGAGUGUCGGACUCGUCGUCCGACGAGUCCGAGACGCACUCCUCCCGUGAAGAGGAGUGGCCGGACUACGUCCCCGACGCCGACGAGGACGAAGAGGAGUGGCCAGACAGGGCCAAGCAUCCGGCGAGAUCGUAAGUGUUCGGAUACCAGAGUAACUCGUGAUAUUCCUUUUGUUGCACAGCUUUCCCUAAUGUCGGAUAUAAUCAUGCAGUCCGCCCAAGGAUGGGCUCGACGAGUCGUCGAGCGGCUCCCUGGAUUCAUCGGACGUGAAUUCAGUUCCGCCUACUGCUUCCCCCUGUGCUGCAGAUGACGCCGAAGUGGCGUCGCGACAAGCUCCGGGACGAGAGGAGGUGGUCCAGGAGGAGUCGCGAGGUGACCUCCCGGACUCCAGGAGUGAAGGGGACAAGACCCCCCUGGGAUCCAAGUUCGGCUUUAAGCCGGACACUGAGAUGGAAUCAUCAACAGUUCCGGACUGCGGUAGGCGAACUCCUACCAGGAGGAGCAAGCCUACUGAGCCGGCAUCCUCCGUCCAGCCGGAGGCGCCGGACAAUCUGCUGGAGGAGCUUAAGGGCGCCUCCACCGACGAGGAGCACCGUGCCGUCAUGAGUACGGUGAUCCAGAAGGUUCGGUCCGCCAAAAGCGGACUGACUGAAGCUUGUGCUGGCCUUCUAACAGGCUUCGAGGUAAGUAAAAAUAUGUAAAAAUAUUACCGUAUAGACAGUAGCCCCUGAUGCUCUGUUUGGCGUUUGUAAAGAAAAGCCAAAUAGAGGAUCUAUUAAAUAUCGCAGGAGUCUAACUAAAAAGGAGUCAAUAUAUGUAUGCAGGCUUCGCUGCUGGCCACCGCCGCACUGACUGCGGAGGUGGGUGCCCUGAAGGAGGGCCUCCAGCGGACCGAGCAAGAGCUCGGCCUUGCCAAACGGCAGCUCGAGGAAAAAGAAUGUAAGAGAUACCUUACAGAAAAAGUGCCUAUAAAAAGGCUUGAUUGCAAAAAGAGUAGCAGGAUUGUACUGCUUAUUGUAGGGGCCACGACUGAGGUGGCGACCUUUAAGCAGGUGUUGUCUGAGGCCGAAAAGAAAACGGCCGCGGAGCGCACCGAGCGAGACAGACUUGGGGCUCAGGUCAGCGAGGUGCAGCAAGAGCUUCAGGCUCUCAUGAAAAAACAUGAGAGUUUGAAGCUGGAGUCGAAGGCGCAAGCAUCCGAGCUUGCAACGGCCCUAGAGGCUGCCAAGUCUACCAAGGCCGAUGCCCUAAAGACCCUCCAAGAGUUGGAGGAGAUGAGGAAGAUAGCAACGGGUAAGGCAUUCUUUAUGCAAAGCAGAAAUAUAAAAGUGAACUACCUGUUACUUACCCGAAUCCGAAGCUCUCCAGGGGCAUUCGCAGAUCUUCCCUGCAGCGUAUCCGAUGCCGCCGCAUUAUACCAAGCUGAAGAGGGUAGCUCGACGGAGAAGGUGUUCUGGUUUCAGUAUUCUGAGGCCGGACACCCUGUGCCCUUGAGCAACCAGCUGAAACAGCUGGUUGAGCUCCACAAGGCGGCCAAGCAGGCCAUGAAGGGCUUCAUAGUUCGGCUGUGGCCUGGAGAGGCCCUACCUGGGAGCUAUCUCGGGCUGGUGCGGCGGCUGGUGGAGGCCUGUCCGAGGCUUGAGGUCAUCAAGUGCUCCGUCUGCAUCGAUGGUGCCCGUCGGGCCCUUGCCCGUGCAAAGGUGCACUGGGGUAAGCUGGACGGUGAGAAGCUUGUGAAGGACGGGCUGCCGCCGGGGAAGGAGCAUCGCAAGCCCGAGAACUACUACAAGGAUGUUCUUGCAGGUGCCCGCCUUAUGGCGGAUCAAUGUACCAAGGAUGUGAUAUUUGAAUGAACUCGCUCGUGUUUAUCUUGUGCGCUGAAAACUUGUUCAUAUGUGCUAAGCAAUGCUUAUUGAAUUUAAAAUAUUACUUUCUGUGCGGCCAUUUAUCAAAAAUUGAGAGAUGGCCAGUCGUCGGCUUCUGCCCCCGUGCCACUAGUGCUGGGGUGUUCGGGAUAAACCUGAGCGCUCUUUUUCCCAUAGUUGGGUCCUUCGAGGGAGGCGCUCAGCACAACGAACCAGGCAAUCGGACUAUAAUGCUUGAACACUCUCACUUAGCCAUAGAGCUCUAUAAUUUUAAAUUUCGGUGAAGCCCGUAGUUCGGAAGACCGAGUUCGGGGCGCUAUCCACGCCUUGGCCGGACAAAGCCGGCUCCUCGCUCGAAGCGGCAUAAGCCUUUAGGGACUCGAAAAACCUCUCGAACAGCGAUCGGUCUCUCGCCACAUCAUGACAGUCAGUUUUAGCUUUCUCCACUCAGGUGCUUAACCCAGGUGAACCGGGGCACAAUCGCAGUGGUUCUCCUAGUGCUACCUUAGCCGAUAGAGCGGAACGUAAGGCACCAAAACAUAGGAGCCACGCAAACCCAACUAUUGACCCAAAUCAUGAUUCGGAGCCGAUGCAUAUAGUGCUAUAAGUUCGGGGUGCCGCACUUGUGAAAGUGUACGGACUUCUCACACCAUUAUGAGCGGUACUGAAGCCCCUGGCAUGUUUGCCAUACCAUGGUGUACGGGUGCAAUCAUGUCAUUUAAUAAACAUAAAUGUGAAAAGAAGAUAAUGCAAAAAAUAGACUAGAAGCUAAGCAUUGUUUAUAGAGAGGCUAUUUAUCAAAGCCGAACGAUACAAAUAGUGCGGUAAGCAAAAGAUAUUGGACUAUUCAGUAUGUCCUGACCAGGGGCAGGCCGCGGAAUUGUAUUUAAAACAGGUAUACCGCUCGUAACAGAGACCACCUGGGAGUUCCAUAAUGCGUCAUGGCUUGUCUGCCUCCCUGGAUCUUGCAUCGUUUGUGCGGCAGUCGAAUUGCCGAACAGGUCGUCCGAAGUAUGGAGUCCUGAAAGAAGAAAAAAUUAAAAAAAGAAUCCGGCAGCCCCUAGUACGUAUUAAGCCGUAUUUUGGGCGUGUUGUUAUUGUGCCCCUUCCCCUGUGCCCAUGGUAUUUCAAGGGCGUAGUUAUGUACGUGAGGUACUGGUUUCGCUAUGUUGCGAAAGCUGGGGUUGGGGCCGCAUUGCUACGCUUGCUUAGAGUGUGCCAGGCAGUGUCUGGCUUUUUAAUGGCCGGACUGGAGAAUUGCCUGAGAAGGCUACUUUGUACCUCCGCUGCGAGAGCCGCCGUAUGCUCCUCCAUAUGGAGGGAGCGUUCGGUGUUUCCGUUGAACGUAAUUACUCCUUGAGGGCCUGGCAUCUUGAGCUUGAGAUAUGCGUAGUGCAGCACCGUGUUGAUCUUUGCGAAUGCGGUUCGUCCGAGCAGGGCAUGAUAGCCACUGCGAAACGGUACUAUAUCGAAGAUUAACUCUUCGCUUCGGAAAUUGUCCGGGGAUCGGAAGACCACAUCAAGUGUUACUGAGCAUGUACUGUUGGCUUCUACACCUGGUAUAACGCCUUUAAAGGUCGUUCUUGUGGGCUUAAUCCUUGAGGGAUCUAUGCCCAUUUUCUGCACUGUAUCCUGAUAAAGCAGGUUCAGGCUACUGCCGCCGUCCAUGAGGACUCUUGUGAGAUGAAAUCCGUCGAUGAUCGGGUCGAGAACCAAUGCGGCGAAGCCGCCAUGACGGAUGCUAGUGGGAUGGUCCCUUCGAUCGAAAGUGAUCGGGCAGGAGGGCCAUGGGUUGAACUUUGGGGCGACUGGCUCCAUCGCAUAUACGUCCCGUAGCGCAUGCUUCCGCUCCCGCAUGGGAAUGUGGGUUGCGUAUAUCAUGUUCACCGUCCACACUUGUGGGGGAAAGCCCUUCUGUCCAUUGUUGUUCGGCGGCUUGGGCUCCUCGUCGUCGCUGUGCAGCCCCUUGUCUCUGUUUUCGGCCCUUAACUUGCCUGCCUGCUUGAACACCCAACAAUCCCUGUUAGUGUGAUUGGCUAGCCUUUCGGGGGUGCCAUGUAUCUGGCACAAGCGAUCGAGUAUUCGGUCCAAACUGGACGGGCCCUGAGUAUUCUUUUUGAAUGGCAUUUUCCGCUGACCGGAUUUAUAGCCUUUGAAUCCGGCAUUGACUGCCGUGUCUUCAUUGCUGUCGCUGCUAACGCGGCGUUUUUGCUUAUUCCGAUGUGUCCUACCACUUUUGUCCUUGGUAUCCGAAUUACCAGGGUGCUUUGAUAAGUUGUUACUGCGAGCUAGCCAGCUGUCUUCUCCCGCGCAAAAGCGGGUCAUGAGUGUCGUGAGGGCUGCCAUGGAUUUCGGCUUUUCCUGUCCCAGGUGCCAGGCAAGCCACUCGUCGCAGAUGUUGUGCUUCAAGGCUGCCAGGGCCUCUGCGUCCGGACAGUCGACUAUCUGGUUUUUCUUUGUUAGGAACCGUGUCCAAAAUUGUCUGGCCGAUUCCUCUGGCUGCUGAAUUAUGUGGCUUAAGUCGUCGGCAUCCGGUGGUCACACGUAAGUGCCCUGGAAGUUGUCGAGGAAUGCGGCUUCCAGGUCCUCCCAAGAACCGAUUGAGUCUGCUGGCAAGCUGUUAAGCCAAUGCCGGGCCGGUCCUUUAAGUUUGAGCGGGAGGUAUUUGAUGGCGUGUAGAUCAUCGCCGCGUGCCAUGUGGAUGUGAAGGAGACAAUCCUCGAUCCAUACCGCCGGAUCUGUUGUGCCAUCGUAUGAUUCGAUGUUUAUGGGUUUGUAGCCCUCUGGGAUUUUAUGAUCCAUUACUUCAUUCGUGAAGCAUAGCGGGUGUGUGGCGCCUCUGUAUUGGGCUAUAUCACGACGUAGCUCGGAAGAGCUAUGUCUGUUGUGUUCGGCCCGGCCGGAUUUGUUGUAUCCAGAGUGAAGAUCAUUUUCCCGUGCCUUAGUUGAGAGGUGUCGGGGCAUGGCUUGGGUGGAGGGCCGAGACGCCUCUCUGUCGCGGCCGCGAGGUGGCCGGUCUGCCAUGUCAUGCGCUGGUGAUGUAGGUGCUUCCUCCUCUGAUCGGGGUAGCGGCCUAUGCUUCGGGUAACUCUUGGAGGGGCGUUCGAGUUCAUACUCUUCGGCCGCAAGGACUUCAGUCCAUCUGUCAGCUAGCAAAUCUUGGGCAGCUCUAAGUUGUUGCUGCUUUUUCUUGAGGCUGCUUGCCAUGGCUAAAAGCCUGCGUUUAAAAAGCUCUUGUUCGGCGGGGUCUGAUGGUAUGACGAAUUCGUCGUCAUUGAGGCUUGCCUCGUCUUCGGAGGGAGGCGUAUAGUUAUCAUCCUCGACCUUUCCGUCUGCCGCUCUCUCAUCAGGGCUGGCUUCUCCAUCUUCCUGUGCCGAAUCUUGCUGAGGUGGGUGUUCUUCGGCGCUAUCCGGGGUAGUAUUAUCUCUCAUGUCGGAAUCACCGUUUUUGCUUUGGCGGGAUUUAGAGCGGCGCCGCUGGUGCCGGCGCUUUGGCUGUUUCUUGGGGGCGUCAUCCCCCACUGUUCCAUCGCCAUCUCCAUCUUUUGGAGUAUCCACCAUAUAUAUGUCAUAUGAUAAGGUGGCCUUCCAGCGCCCUACAGGUGCUGGUUCCUGUUCGUCUCCUACAUUGUCGUCCAUGCCGUCGAUGUCUUUGGAGCUGAAGUCAACCAUGUAGGUUAGACCGUCGAUAAUGGCUACAAAGUGGGUGGUGGGUGGGCUUUGAAUUUCCUCAUCGUAUGUAUCCCACCCUCGCUGACCGUAGUCCGGCCAGGGCUCUCCUGAUAAAGAGAGAGACUUAAGAGAAUUCAGGAUGUCGCCAAAAGGCGAAUGCUGAAAGAUGUCUGUAGCGGUGAACUCCAUUAUCGGCACCCAAUCGGAUUCGAUUGGCAGGGGCGCGGGGGGUUCGGAGUCCGGGGAGGAGUCCGGAUCCUCGGAGUCACGGGUCGUGCAGAGUGCGGGGCUAGCGUUCGGCUCGAUCGCUUUCGGGAUCGCAGCCCCCGAGGUGACGUCCAACCGCUCAUCCUCGAUUGGCGCAAUAGGUUCCGAGUUAGGGGUCGGAACCGAUGCGUGUGCGGCCUCCAGGACACUGGCCGGGGGCAGAGCUAGAUCAUGCCCCUCGGGAUAGUGCGGCGUGCUUGGCCGUGGCUCGAGCCCGUCGAAGAUCAAGUCUCCGUGGAUGUCAGCCGUGUAGUUUAAGCUUCCAAACCUGACUUGAUGGCCAGGGGCGUAGCUUUCGAUCUGCUACAGGUGGCCGAGCGAAUUGGCUCAUAGAGCGAUGCCGCCGAAGACGAAGAUCUGUCCGGGGAGAAAAGUCUCACCCUGGACCGCAUCGUUGUUGAUGAUCAAAGGAGCCAUCGGGCCUAAAGGCGACGAGACAGAGGAACUCUCAAUGAAAGCACCAAUGUCAGUGUCAAAACCGGUGGAUCUCGAGUAGUGGGUCCCGAACUGUGCGUCUAGGCCGGAUGGUAAUAGGAGGCAGGGAACACGAUGUUUUAUCCAGGUUCGGGCCCUCUUGAUGGAGGUAAAACCCUACGUCCUGCUUGAUUAAUAUUGAUGAUAUGGGUAGUACAAGAGUAGAUCUACCACGAGAUCAAGGAGGCUAAACCCUAGAAGCUAGCCUAUGGUAUGAUUGUUGUAUAUGGAGUUGAUUGCCUACGGACAACAACCCUCCGGUUUAUAUAGACACCGGAUAGGGUUAGGGUUACAUAGAGUCGGUUACAAUGGUAGGAUAUCUUGAAUAUCCACAUCGCCAAGCUUGCCUUCCACGCCAAGGAAAGUCCCGUCCGGACACGGGAUGAAGUCUUCAAUCUUGUAUCUUCAUAGCCCAGGAGUCCGGCUGAAGGUAUAGUCCGGCUACCUGAACACCCCCUAAUCCAGGACUCCCUCAGGUAGCAAGAUGGAUUUCUGGCGCCAUUGCCGGGGAGAUUCGCGCCAAGUCAAGACAUACCAAGUACCCAUCACAAACCCUUAUCCCUCGCAUUACAUUAUUUUCCAUUUGCCUCUUGUUUUCCUCUCCCCCACUUCACCCUUGCCAUUUUAUGCGCCCUCUCUUUUUCCGUUCCCCUCUUUUCCACUUGCUUUGUCGUUAUGGCUAGUCCUUUAUCUACUCCUUUGUCUCCCGAGAAUGAAGUUCUUAAUUUUAAACAAAGGGAGGGAGAAAAUCUAAAAGAUGCUUGGUACAGAAUUUGCAACACACAAAUUAGAUCUACUAGGAAACAAUCUACUUUUGUUCUUCUUCACGAUUUUUAUGUAGGCAUCACACCUUGGAAUAGAUAUAUUCUUGAUGCCAUUACCGGAGGGAAUUUCUUGGGUAGCCAUACUUUUGAUUCUUAUAAUGCUAUGAUAGAUCUGUUUGGCCCACCACCUCUUUUGGUUAAUGGAACUAUUUUAACUUUGGAACAUGUGAUGCAAUGGCUUGAAAUUAGUGAAAAUAAAGUUGCCACCAUAGAGUUAAUUGAAAAUUUGGAUAGAAAGAUCCAUAACCAAAUUACCCAAUACGGAUCUAAGUUAGGAGUUGCUCUUAAAAGUUUUAAAGAAAAGGGACCUAUGGUUAAUGAAAAGAUAGAAAAGGAUUCCACUAGAAUUGAUAAAAUUGAGGAUAUUAUUACCAACCUUGGGUCUUCCUUUUCUUCUAUUAUAAAUACUCCGCCUAAUGCUAAGAUUGCCAAACUAAUGUAUGUUACAAAAAAUAAGGGUGAAACUUCUAAUAAGGAAAAUGCGGAUCUCAAAUCCAUAAGUGUUCACCCCAAUUUUCUCACUAUCCUUAAGGAACCUUUUGCUACAAAUGAUUUUCUUGAUUUCAUACCUAGGAGUUUGAUAAUUAAUAAAAACAAAGAAACUCCUAAAAGUUAUUGGUGUGUUAUUGAAGAAUCACCUUCCAAAGACGGCAAUACCUAGGUCUAUCUUCGCUUUUAUGCCUAGCUAGGGGCGUUAAACGAUAGCGCUUGUUGGGAGGCAACCCAGUUUUACUUUUAUUCCUUGAUGUUUGCUCCUAUUUAGUAAUAAAUAAUUUAUGUAGCCUAUGUUUUGGUUGUGUUUUUUGUGUUUAAUUUGUGUUUGUGCCAUGUAGAACCAUUGGGUAGACUUGGGGAAAGUCUUUUUGAUCUUGCUGUAAAAAACAGAAACGUUAGCGCUCACGAGAAUCGCUGACAUUUUUAUUUGGAAAGUGAUAUUUAGAUAAUUCUUUUUGCGGAUGAUUAAUAGAUAAAUUCCUCACGUCCAGCAAUUUAUUUUAUAAUUUUUGGGGUUACAGAAGUUCGCGUUAGGUACAGAUUACUACAGACUGUUCUGUUUUUGACAGAUUCUGUUUUUCGUGUAUUGUUUGCUUAUUUUGAUGAAUCUAUGGCUAGUCAAAGAGGUUAUAAACCGUAGAGAAGUUGGAAUACAGUAGGUUUAACACCAAUAUAAAUCAAGAUUGAGUUCAUAACAGUACCUUGAAGUGGUGUUUUGUUUUCUUUCGCUAACGGAGCUCACGAGAUUUUCUGUUUGAGUUUUUUGUUGUGAAGUUUUCAAGUUUUGGGUAAAGAUUUGAUGGAUUAUGGAACAAGGAGUGGCAAGAGCCUAAGCUUGGGGAUUCCCAUGGCACACCAAGGUAAAAUUAAAGGACACCAAAAAGCCUAAGCUUGGGGAUGCCCCGAAAGGCAUCCCCUCUUUCGUCUUCGUCUAUUGGUAACUUUACUUGGAGCUAUAUUUUUAUUCACCACAUGAUAUGUGUUUUGCUUGGAGCGUCUUGUAUGAUUUGAUUAUUUGAUUUUUAGUUUACCAAAAUCAUCCUUGCUGUACACACCUUUUGAGAGAGACUCACAUGAUUGGGAAUUUAUGAGAAUACUCUAUGUGCUUCACUUAUAUCUUUUGAGCUAUAUGGUUUUUGUUCUAGUUCUUCGCUUAUAUAUUUUAGAGAAUGGCGGUGGUUUUAUUUUAUAGAAAUAAUUGUUCUCUCAUGCUUCACUUAUAUUAUUUUGAUAGUCCUUUAGAACAACAUGGCAAUAAUAAAACUGUCAUACAAGUGCAUUGAAUACUAUGAGAAGUUUGAUACUUGAUAAUUGUUUUGAGAUAUGGAGAUGGUGAUAUUAGAGUCAUGCUAGUUGUGUAGUUGUGAAUUUGAGAAAUACUUGUGUUGAAGUUUGUGAUUCCCGUAGCAUGCACGUAUGGUGAACCGUUAUGUGACGAAGUCAGAUCAUGAUUUAUUUGUUGAUUGUCUUCCUUAUGAGUGGCGGUCGGGGAUGAGCAAUGGUCUUUUACUACCAAUCUAUCUCCCUAGGAGCAUGGGCAUAAUACUUUGCUUUGAUAACUUAUAGAUUUUUGCAAUAAGUAUGUGAGUUCUUUCUGAGCAAUGUUGAGUCCAUGGAUCAUACGCACUCUCACCCUUCCACCAUUGCUAGCCUCUCUAAUACCGUGCACUUCUCGCCGAUAUCAUACACCCACCAUAUACCAUCCUCAAAACAGCCACCAUACCUACCUAUUAUCACUAGUGCAGAACCGGGCAAUAGCACCGGUUCGUAAGGCCCUUUAGUGCCGGUUUAGGAACCGGCACUAUUAUUUCGGCACUAAACCCCCCCCCCUUUAGUACCGGUUCAGCACGAACCGGUGCUAAAGGGGUACCACGUGGCACGAGCCAGCUCCGGGGGCCGGGAGCCCUUUAGUACCGGUUGGUAAAACCAACCGGUACUAAAUGGUUGUGGGUUUUUGUUUUAUUUUGUAUUUUUCAAUUAAAUUUGUGUUAUCAAUUUAAAUUAGGAUUGUUUUACGUUAUAAUGAGUUGUAGUCGUCAUCAUCAUCAUCAUCAUCGCAUAUUAAUAAAUAAAUAAACUCUAGCUAGCUAAAAAUCAUCGUGGUCGUCUAAUUACCACUAUUUAAUCAUCAUAGUCAUUACCGCUAGCUAUGUAAUCAUCAUCAACGUUGGCUAGCUUAAAGAGGAAACAUUCACUUUGUAACAGAAGCAAAGAGAUAUCAUCAAGUUCAACAUAAUCAUCACCAACAUCGAAGUUCAGGACACGGAUCCAUGAGACGAGUACUAAUUAAGAGCAUGAAGUAGUAGCUACUGAUCCUGCUUCUCCCUCUCAGGUAGAAUAGCACAGAACAUGUAUAGCUCUCCUGAUUCAUCAUACUGAAGCAUGCAGAUGAAUCUGUCUCCUAAUCUUGGGUUGCGCUUCUCCUUACUGCCCCCUAGUACUUCUCUGCGAUCGUUAACAAUUUUGCUCCAAUCUUUCACUAUUAAGCAUUCUUCGCUUUUAGAAAUCCUGAAUGCACUCAUGUGCAAUGUAGGAAAUCUUGGUCGUAAGCUAACCAUUGACAUGCGACCUUUUGUCUCGAUCCACUAAGGCACAACUGUCAUCGGAAGUCCCUGUUGAACAACAUCGUAUAGUAAUUAAUAUACUAAGCAAUGAAAGUUUAGCUUUAAAAAUAAUGUACGCAAAAGAUGCACUAAUUAAGGACAAAUAUUUAAAAUCUUACCAUCUUUUGAUUAUAGAUGUGACCGUAGUUCAAGGCGAUCACCAUUGGUCGCACGUUUUGAGUACUAACAUUUCUAAGUUUAGAAAAAAAAUUGUCUUGACAGUAUUAAGAUCCUCAAGCCAUGAAACACAAUGACUUAUUUCCUCGCAGUUUAGUUGAGCCCCGAGGUAGUAGUAGGUCCUGUCUACCAAGCGCCGGACAUGUUUGCUUGAACCGAAAUAAGCUGACAAUACACAUCAGUUGUCAACUAUUUUUGAAUAAACUGUACGAAAGACAUAAACGUAUAUAUGCAUGCAUGGUUGAGAAAAACUCACCAAAUGGUAGAACUGGAGGCGUUUGCACAUCGACCCAGAUGUCUAUAUUACCUUCAAUAUCAUCUUCCGGACGAAUAUCAAAGGUGAUAACCAUAUCAGGCUCAAAUGCAUAAGCCUUGCAUAGUGCUUGCCAAGUUUUGCAUUCAAAAUGGGUGUAUGUGCCUCCAUUAUAUAAUUUGACGUUGAAAGUAUACCCAUGCUCCGUCUUCAAGUAAACUCUCUUUACCUCCAUAUCAUCUAUAGCACUAAAACCUAUCUUAUAUAAUACAAAAAUUCUUGUAUGGCAGGGGAUGCGCUAGUAGAAUAGUGAAAAUUUAAAAUUAUAAGUUGAAGCAAAUGAAGCAUAAGUUUUGCAUUCAAAUAAUAAUUGACAAAGUGGCUUACUGUAUCAACUUCAAAUGUCUCAUCCAGCUUGAUGUUGAAGCGCCUACCAUCAACAAGGAAAUUUUGGUCGCACAGGCCGCGCUGGUCUUCACAGUGUUCGCACAUAAUAAAAUCUUUUUAGUUGUCAGAUGACAUUUCCUAUGUUCAUAUAGGUGAAACAUUAAACACCUAUAUCUAGCCAAAUAUAUAUUCAUCUAACAUUUGACAUUAAUAUAUCUAACUAUAUAUUCAAUUGACAUUACUAUAUAUUUAACUUUUCUAUCUAAUUCAUCUAACAUUCGACAUUAAUCUAACAUUUAUAUAAACUCAAAAUAUAUAAAAAAUUAAAUAAACAGAAAAACUCAUUAACAAAUAAUAUUUUAAUUAGAUCAUCAAAUCUCAUAUACCUAAAUUUUCUUACUAAAAAUAAACUAGUUAUAUUAAUUAUUCAACUAGUUCUAAUCUNNNNNNNNNNNNNNNNNNNNNNNNNNNNNNNNNNNNNNNNNNNNNNNNNNNNNNNNNNNNNNNNNNNNNNNNNNNNNNNNNNNNNNNNNNNNNNNNNNNNNNNNNNNNNNNNNNNNNNNNNNNNNNNNNNNNNNNNNNNNNNNNNNNNNNNNNNNNNNNNNNNNNNNNNNNNNNNNNNNNNNNNNNNNNNNNNNNNNNNNNNNNNNNNNNNNNNNNNNNNNNNNNNNNNNNNNNNNNNNNNNNNNNNNNNNNNNNNNNNNNNNNNNNNNNNNNNNNNNNNNNNNNNNNNNNNNNNNNNNNNNNNNNNNNNNNNNNNNNNNNNNNNNNNNNNNNNNNNNNNNNNNNNNNNNNNNNNNNNNNNNNNNNNNNNNNNNNNNNNNNNNNNNNNNNNNNNNNNNNNNNNNNNNNNNNNNNNNNNNNNNNNNNNNNNNNNNNNNNNNNNNNNNNNNNNNNNNNNNNNNNNNNNNNNNNNNNNNNNNNNNNNNNNNNNNNNNNNNNNNNNNNNNNNNNNNNNNNNNNNNNNNNNNNNNNNNNNNNNNNNNNNNNNNNNNNNNNNNNNNNNNNNNNNNNNNNNNNNNNNNNNNNNNNNNNNNNNNNNNNNNNNNNNNNNNNNNNNNNNNNNNNNNNNNNNNNNNNNNNNNNNNNNNNNNNNNNNNNNNNNNNNNNNNNNNNNNNNNNNNNNNNNNNNNNNNNNNNNNNNNNNNNNNNNNNNNNNNNNNNNNNNNNNNNNNNNNNNNNNNNNNNNNNNNNNNNNNNNNNNNNNNNNNNNNNNNNNNNNNNNNNNNNNNNNNNNNNNNNNNNNNNNNNNNNNNNNNNNNNNNNNNNNNNNNNNNNNNNNNNNNNNNNNNNNNNNNNNNNNNNNNNNNNNNNNNNNNNNNNNNNNNNNNNNNNNNNNNNNNNNNNNNNNNNNNNNNNNNCGGCGGCGGGGACAGCGACGAUGACGACGGACGACGGUACGGGCGACGGGCGGCGACGACGGGAUCGAGCGGUCCGCGCGGCGGAGGUGGGAGACGAAGUGGGGAGUUGAAACUGAAAUUUUCGUAAGUGCUAUAUAUAUAUAUAUAUAUAUAUAUAUAUAUAUAUAUAUAUAUAUAUAUAUAUGAUUGGCCUUUAGUACCGAAUCGUGGCUCCAACCGGUACUAAAGGCCUAUUUUCGCCAGGCCAAGCGGCGGGAAACGAAGGCUUUUAGUACCGGUUGGAGCCACCAACCGGUACUAAAGGGGGGCCUUUAGUACCGGUUGGAGCCACCAACCGGUACUAAAGGCCUUGCGCUGCCACCCCAAAAUUUAGUCCCACCUCGCCCGGCGAAGGGCAGCCGCACUGGUUUAUAAACCUAGCCGCGGCUACCUCUUCGAACUCCUCUAUAUAGCAGCCUUCUGGGCCUAAUUAAUUAGGGCGCGCUGCCAUGUGAGUCUGCUGGCCCUUCUGGGCCUGCAUUUGCACACCCUAGGUCUGGUAGACCCACAGGGCAGUGCGCCAACAAAUUUUUUAUAUAGUUUUAUCUUUUCUGCAUUACUUAUUUUCUUUUAUUUAUUUUUGAGUAGUUUUUUAUAUAGUUUUUGUUUUCUGCAUUAUUUAUUUUCUUCUAUUUAUUUUUGAGUAAUUUUUUUGUAUAGUUUUUUUAUUUUCUGCAUUACUUAUUUUUGCAUAGUCCGAAACCCUGAUACUCGGAAAGAGUUUGUCCAGUUUGUACACGAAGUGCGUCCAGUUUUUGCCGUGACCCUCUCUACUCUUUCGCGCAUGCUAUGCGGGUGAUACGAUGAUACCAUGCCAAGUUUCAACAUUUUCAGGAUUCAUUUUGUAGUGAUUUUCAAUUUCACGGUCAUUUAGCUCUCUAAACAAUUAGGUAAAUGACUGAAAAACAACAAAUGAUGUCAGAACAUGUUGAAAAUUGAUGACGUCGCUUUAAAUGCUGCAUACUGAACACAAAAGAAGUCCGGAGUACAAAUAAGUUUAAAAAACAUUGAAGUGGCCAUGUAACAGAUGAGUUCUCGUCCGAAACCCUGAUACUCGGAAAGAGUAUGUCCAUUUUGUACACGAAGUGCGUCCAGUUUUUGCCGUGACCCUCUCUACUCUUUCGCGCAUGCUAUGCGGGUGAUAUGAUGAUACCAUGCCAAGUUUCAGCAUUUUCAGGAUUCAUUUUGUAGUGAUUUUCAAUUUCACGGUCAUUUAGCUCUCUAAACAAUUAGGUAAAUGACCGAAAAACAACAAAUGAUGUCAGAAUAGACUGCACUGCACAUAGCUCAGUGUAGACUACACUGCACAUAGCUCAGUGCAAUCUAUGUUAUUCCGCAAGGCUUGAAGCUAAUCAACAUGUAGAUGAGCAUUGCAAUUCUUCGUCAUUGUCUGUGCACUCACGGCUUAUAAACCGCUCAUACUGCCUCUCUCUUGGCGAGGUGGGACUAAAAACAACUUGCCAUAACCUCAUCAAUUUCCUCUUGAAGCUUGUCCUUGCCUUUUUGCUUGUAUUCUUGUGGUGGAAGAUCAUCUUGAGCUUGUGUCCCCUUGAAGGAAGUAGGAUACUUCUCUUGUUGAGGAACAAACUUUGUCUUGGGGUAUUGAUCUUCUUCCCACUCAACUCCAUUGGCAUUGAACUUUCGUUCAAAACCAACACCUUGAUUCUUCCAGUGCCUUCCUUGCUUGCGCACAAUUUCCUCGAAUUGCUUACUCCCGGCAAGGCUUUUGUACAUUCCUUUCUCUAUAAUUCCCUUCAAUAAGCUAUUUUCUUGCUCAAGUGUAACUUGGCUAAGAGAAUCAUUAGUGGAAUCAAGAGAACUACUAGAAGCAACAAUGUUAGAUCUUAUGUCACAAAAAAGAAGUCGUAUCAAACCUUUUAUGUCGGAUCUAGAACAAACCAAUCGGUAUCGCCAUCAUACAGCCCUACCGUGGCUUGUGAUGCAUAUAUAUAUGCAUAUCAAAUGCACGGUUGGGCGUAUGAUGGCGAAUCCGAAUGAUUUGUAUUCAGUCGAUGAACUGGUAGAUGUAUGCAGUCGAUGAACUGGUAGAUGUAUGUAGUCGAUGAACUGAAAGACUUAUGCAGGGAAGGCGAGAGAUGGGCUAUAUAUAGGGUCGUCUGGCUCACAAAGUGAUUGUGGUAGUUUCGAUCCAACGACUCACAUGAGCUAGGAAGAAGCACACCCUUGAUCCAACGACUCGCAAGAGCUAUAAAGAAACACACGAUCCAUGUGAUUCUUCCUGAUUGGUGGGAUGCACAUUAGUAUCGGUUUGUGCCAUGAACUGGUGCUAAAGAUUGGCAAUGAACCGGUACUAAUGGUAGCAGCCCGCCUAGCCGUUGGAAUCGGCACUAAUGGUCACAUUUGUGCCGGCUCAAAUUCAAACCGGCACUAUAAUGUGCUUCACAUUUGACUGUUUUUCUACUAGUCAAUAGAGUUUGCCAAACUUGAGUUUCCCAAGUCACUUACACAAAAAGCUAUGAUUCAUGGUUGUCAAAUCCAUAAUUUACAAACCACAACAACCUUGAGGCAUAACAAGCUUUAAAUGCUGCAUACUGAACACAAAAGAAGUCCAGAGUUUAAAUAAGUUAUUAAAAAUAAAAAAGAGGUGCAAUGCUGGUUAAUUUGCUUCAAGCUAUUCGGAAUAGUGUAGAUUGCACUAAGCCACUGCACAUAGCUCAGUGCAAUCUAUGCUAUUCCGCAAGGCUUGAAGCUAAUCAACAUGUAGGUGAGCAUUGCAACUCUUCGUCAUUGUCUGUGCACUCACGGCUUAUAAACCGCUCAUACUACCUCUCUCUUGGCGAGGUGGGACUAAAAACAUCUUGCCAUAACCUCAUUAGUACUGGUUCAUGGUACGAACCGGCACUAAAUGGUGAUGGUGGGGCCAUAGCCUGACCGCAGGCUGACACAGCCUCUUUAGUACCGGUUCGUGGCAUGAACCGGUACUAAAGGUUCGCCACGAACCGGUACUAUUGAUCGCCGCCACGAACCGGCACUAAUGUACACAUUAGUGCCGGCUCUAAUUCAAACCGGCACUAAUGUGCUUCACAUUUGACCCUUUUUCUACUAGUGUAUGGCAUUUCCAUAGCCAUUCCGAGAUAUAUUGCCAUGCAACUUUCCAUCGUUCCAUUAUUAUGACACACUUCAUCAUUGUCAUAUUUGCUUGCAUGAUCAUGUAGUUGGCAUCGUAUUUGUGCAAAGCCACCAUUCAUAAUUCUUCAUACAUGUCACUCUUGAUUCACUGCAUAUCCCGGUACACCGCCGGAGGCAUUCACAUAGAGUCAUAUUUUGUUCUAAGUAUCGAGUUGUAAUUCUUGAGUUGUAAGUAAAUAAAAGUGUGAUGAUCAUCAUUAUUAGAGAAUUGUCCCAAGUGAGGAAAGGAUGGAGACUAUGAUUCCACAACAAGUCGGCAUGAGACUCCGGACGAAAAUAAAAAAAGAGGGAAAAAAGAGAAAGGCCAUAAAAAAGAAGGCCCAAAAAAUGAGAGAAAAAGAGAGAAGGGGCAAUGUUACUAUCCUUUUUCCACACUUGUGCUUCAAAGUAGCACCAUCAUCUUCAUGAUAGAGAGUCUCCUAUGAUAUCACUUUCAUAUACUAGUGGGAAUUUUUCAUUAUAGAACUUGGCUUGUAUAUUCCAAUGAUGGGCUUCCUCAAAUUGCCCUAGGUCUUCGUGAGCAAGCAAGUUGGAUGCACACCCACUUAGUUUCUUUUGUUGAGCUUUCAUACACUUAUAGCUCUAGUGCAUCCGUUGCAUGGCAAUCCCUACUCAAUCACAUUGAUAUCUAUUAAUGGGCAUCUCCAUAGCCCGUUGAUACGCCUGUUCUGGAGCUCCGCCAGAGGGGGCAUCGAUCACGGAGGGCUUCUACAUCAACAGCAUAGCCUCUCCGAUGAAGUGUGAGUAGUUGACCUCAGACCUACGGGUCCAUAGUUAUUACCUAGAUGGCUUCUUCUCUCUUUUUGGAUCUCAAUACAAUGUUCUCCCCCUCUCUUGUGGAGAACUAUUCGAUGUAAUCUUCUUUUUGCGGUGUGUUUAUUGAGAUCGAUGAAUUGUGGGUUUAUGAUCAAGUCUAUCUAUGAAUAAUAUUUGAAUCUUCUCUGAAUUCUUUUAUGUAUGAUUGUUUAUCUUUGCAAGUCUCCUCGAAUUAUCAGUUUGGUUUGGCCUACUAGAUUGAUCUUUCUUACAAUGGGAGAAGUGCUUAGCUUUGGGUUCAAUCUUGCGGUGUCCUUUCCCAGUGACAGCAGGGGCAGCAAGGCAUGUAUUGUAUUGUUGCUAUCGAGGACAACAAGAUGAGGUUUUCAUCAUAUUGCAUGAGUCUAUCCCUCUACAUCAUGUCAUCUAGCUUAAGGCGUUACUCUGUUUUUAACUUAAUACUCUAGAUGCAUGCUGGAUAGCGGUCGAUGAGUGGAGUAAUAGUAGUAGAUGCAGGCAGGAGUCGGUCUACUUGUCUCGGACGUGAUGCCUAUAUACAUGAUCAUACCUAGAUAUUCUCAUAAAUAUGCUCAAUUAUGUCAAUUGCUCAACAGUAAUUUGUUCACCCACCAUAGAAUUAUUAUGCUCUCGAGAGAAUCUACUAGUGAAACCUAUGGCCCCCGGGUCUAUCUUUAUCAUAUUAAUCUCCUACUACUUAGUUAUUUCCUUUGCUUUUUCCUUUGCCUUUAUUUUACUUUUCAUCUUUAUCACAAAAAUACCAAACAUAUUAUCUUUAUCAUAUCUAUCAGAUCUCACUCUCAUAAGUGGCCGUGUAGGGAUUGACAACCCCUAUUCGCGUUGGUUGCGAGGAUUUAUUUGUUUUGUGCAAGUACGAGGGACUCGCGCGUAGCCUCCUACUGGAUUGAUACCCUUGGUUCUCAAACUGAGGGAAAUACUUACGCUACUUUGCUACAUCAUCCCUUCCUCUUCGGGGAAAACCAACGCAGUGCUCAAGAGGUAGCAAGAAGGAUUUCUGGUGCCAAUGCCGGGGAGGUCUACGCAAAAGUCAACAUACCAAGUACCCGUCACAUACCCUUAUCUCCCGCAUUACAUUAUUUGCCAUUUGCCUCUCGUUUUCACCUCCCCCACUUCACCCUUGCCAUUUUAUUCGCCCUCUCUCUCUCUCUAUCCUCCCUCUCUUUCUCUAUUUGCCUCUUUUUUCCCGCUUGCUUUCUGUUUGCUUGUGUGUUAGUUGCUUGCUUGUCACGAUGGCUCAAGAUAAUACUAAAUUAUGUGACUUCACCAAUACCAACAACAAUCAUUUUAUUAGCACUCCGAUUGCUCCUCUUACCGAUGCUGAAUCUUGUGAAAUUAAUACUGCUUUGCUGAAUCUUGUCAUGAAAGAUCUGUUUUCCGGCCUUCCUAGUGAACAUGCCGGUACCCACCUAAAUAGAUUCAUUGAUUUGUGUGACAUGCAAAAAAAAGAAAGGUGUGGAUAAUGAUAUUGUUAAAUUGAAGCUAUUUCCUUUUUUGCUUAGAGAUCGUGCUAAAGCUUGGUUUUCGUCUUUGCCUAAAAAUAGUAUUGAUUCAUGGAAUAAGUGCAAAGAUGCUAUUAUCUCUAAGUAUUUUCCUCCUACUAAGAUCAUCUCUCUUAGAAACAAUAUUAUGAAUUUUAAGCAACUUGAUCAUGAACAUGUUGCACAAGCUUGGGAGAGAAUGAAACUAAUGGUACGUAAUUGCCCUGCCCAUGAUUUAAAUUUGUGGAUGAUUAUACAAAAAUGUUAUGCCGGAUUGAAUUUUGCUUCUAGAAAUCUUUUAGAUUCGGCCGCGGGAGGCACUUUUAUGGAAAUCACUUUAGAAGAAUCUACUAAACUCCUAGAUAAUAUUAUGGUUAAUUAUGCUCAACGGCAUAGUAAAAUAUCUAAUAAUAAAAAGGUGCAUGCGAUACAAGAAAUUAAUGUUUUGAGUGGAAAGAUGGAUGAACUUCUGAAAUUAUUUGCUAAUAAGAGUGUUUCUUCUGAUCCUAAUGAUAUACCCUUGUCUACUUUGAUUGAGAAUAGUAAUGAAUCUAUGGAUGUGGAUUUUGUUGGUAGGAACAAUUUUGGUAACAACGCGUAUAGAGGAAAUUUCAACCCUAGGCCUUAUCCUAGUAAUCUCUCUAAUAAUUAUGGUAAUUCCUACAACAAUUCUUAUGGAAAUUAUAAUAAGAUGCCCUCUAAUUUUGAAUCUAAUAUUAAAGAAUUUAUUACUUUGCAAAAGAAUUUCAAUACCUUGAUUGAAGAAGAACCGCUAGGAUGCGUGCUAAGAAAGAUGCCUUUAUAAGAGCGUGUUCUUCUAGUUCCUAUGAAAAUAAUGAUGAAGAUCUAAAAGUUAUUGAUGUGUUCCCUAUUAAAUCUUUGUUUUUCAACAUGGAUCUUGAUAAUGAUGGGAUUGAAUAUGAUCCACCUUUACCUAUAAGGCGUUCCAAGAAUUCAGAAUUUGUUGAUCUUGAUGCUAAAAUUGAUAAAGGUGGGAUUGAAGAAAUUAAAACCCUAGAUGUUGCUAAACCCACUAUUAUGGAUUUCAAGGAAUUUAACUAUGAAAAUUGCUCUUUUAUUGAUUGUAUAUCCUUUUUACAAUCCGUGCUAAAUUCUCCUCAUGCUUAUAGUCAAAAUAAAGCGUUUACUAAACAUAUCGUUGAUGCCUUGAUGCAAUCUUAUGAAGAAAAACUUGAAUUGGAAGUUUCUAUCCCUAGAAAGCUUUAUGAUGAGUGGGAACCAACUAUUAAAAUUAAAAUUAAAUAUCAUUAAUGCUAUGCUUUAUGUGAUUUGGGUGCUAGUGUUUCCACGAUUUCAAAGACUUUGUGUGAUUUGUUAGGUUUCCGUGAUUUUGAUGAUUGCUCUUUAAACUUGCGCCUUGUGGAUUCCACUAUUAAGAAACCUAUGGGAAGAAUUAAUGAUGUUCUUAUUGAUGCAAAUAGGAAUUAUGUGCCUGUAGAUUUUAUUGUUCUUGACAUAGAUUGCAAUCUUUCAUGUCCUAUUAUUCUUGGUAGACCUUUCCUUAGAACGAUUGGUGCAAUUAUUGAUAUGAAGGAAGGAAAUAUUAGAUUCCAAUUUCCAUUAAGGAAAGUCAUGGAACACUUUACUAGAAAGUAAAUUAAAUUACCUUAUGAAUCUAUUAUGAUAGCCACUUAUGGAUUGCCUACCAAAGAUGGCAAUACCUAGAUCUAUCCUUGCUUGUUAUGCCUAGCUAGGGGCGUUAAACGAUAGCGCUUGUUGGGAGGCAACGCAAUUUUGUUUUUAUUCCUUGAUUUUUGCUCCUGUUUAGUAAUAAAUAAUUUAUCUAGCCUCUGUUUUGGUUGUGUCCUUUGUGUUUAAUUAGUGUUGGUGCCAAGUAGAACCGUUAGGAAGACUUGGGGAAAGUCUUGUUACACUUGCUGUAAAAAACAGAAACUUCAGCGCUCACGAGAACUACUGCCAUUUUUAUUUGGAAAGUUCUAUUUAGUUAAUUAUUUCUGCAGAUGAUUAAUAGAUAAAUUCCUCACGUCCAGAAAUUUAUUUUAGAAUUUUUGGGGUUCCAGCUCUUGAGCUAGGUACAGAUUACUACAGACUGUUCUGUUUUUGAAAGAUUUUGUUUUUCAUGUGUUGUUUGCUUAUUUUGAUGAACCUAUGGCUAGUAAAAUAGUUGAUAGACCAUAGAUAAGUUGGAAUACAGUAGGUAUAACACCAAUAUAAAUAAAUAAUGAGUUCAUUAUAGUACCUUGAAGUGGUCUUUUAUUUUCUUUCGCUAACGGAGCUCACGAGAUUUUCUACUUUAAGUUUUGUGUUGUGAAGUUUUCGAGUUUUGGGUAAAGAUUUGAUGGUUUAUGGAACAAGGAGUGACAAGAGCCUAAGCUUGGGGAUGCCCAUGGCACCCCCAAGAUAAUCUAAGUACACCUAAAAGCCAAAGCUUGGGGAUGCCCCGGAAGUCAUCCCCUCUUUCGUCUACUUCUAUCGGUAACUUUACUUGGAGCUAUAUUUUUAUUCGCCACAUGAUAUGUGUUUUGCUUGGAGCAUCUUGUAUUAUUUGACUCUUUAUUUGUUAGUUUACCACAAUCAUCCUUCCUGUACACACCUUUUUUAGAAUACUCUAUGUGCUUCGCUUAUAUCUUUUGAGUUAUAUAGUUUUGCUCUAGUACUUCACUUAUAUCUUUUAGAGCACGGUGGUGGAUUUGUUUUAUAAAAACUAUUGAUCUCUCAUGCUUCACUUAGAUUAUUUUGAGAUGCUUAAUAGCAUGGUAAUUUGCUUAAAAUCCUAAUAUGCUAGGUAUUCAAAGUUAGUAUAAUUUUCUUAAGAGUGUUUUGAAUACUAAGAGAAGUUUGAUGCUUGAUGAUUGUUUUGAGAUAUGGAGGUAAUAAUAUCAAAGUCGUGCUAGUUGAGUAGUUGUGAAAUUGAGAAAUACUUGUGUUGAAAUUUGCAUGUCCCGUAGCAUGCACAUAUGGUAAACGUUGUGUAACAAAUUUGAAACAUCAGGUGUUAUUUGAUUGUCUUCCUUAUGAGUGGCGGUCGGGGACGAGCGAUGGUCUUUUCCUACCAAUCUAUCCCCCUAGGAGCAUGCGCGUAGUACCGAGGUUUUUGAUCACUUGUAGAUUUUUGCAAUAAGUAUGUGAGUUCUUUAUGACUAAUGUUGAGUCCAUGAAUUAUACGCACUCUCACCCUUCCAUCCUUGCUAGCCUCUUCGGUACCGUGCAUUGCCCUUUCCCACAUUGAGUGUUGGAGCAAACUUCGCCGGUGCAUCCAAACCCCGUGAUAUGAUACGCUCUUUCACACAUAAACCUCCUUAUAUCUUCCUCAAAACAGCCACCAUACCUACCUAUUAUGGCAUUUCCAUAGCCAUUCCGACAUAUAUUGCCAUGCAACUUUCCACCAUUCCGUUCAUCAUGACACAUUCAUCAUUGUCAUAUUGCUUAGCAUAAUCAUGUUGUUGACAUAGUAUUUGUGGCAAGGCCACUGUUCAUAAUUCUUUCAUACAUGUCACUCUUGGUCCAUUGCAUAUCCCGGUACACCGCUGGAGGCAUUCAUAUAGAGUCAUACUUUGUUCUAGUAUCGAGUAGUAAUUAUUGAGUUGUAAAUAAAUAGAAGUGUGAUGAUCAUCAUUAAUAGAGCAUGGUCCCAAAGAGAGAAAAAAGGAAGGGCCAAAAAAGGCCAAAUAAAAAAUAUAAAAAAGGGGGGCAAUGCUACUAUCCUUUUUUCCACACUUGUGAUUCAAAGUAGCACUGUAAUCUUCAUGAUAGAGAGUAUCUUGAUUUGUCACUUUCAUAUACUAGUGGGAAUUUUUCAUUAUAGAACUUGGCUUGUAUAUUCCAACAAUGGGCCUCCUUAAGUGCCCUAGGUCUUCGUGAGCAAGCAAGUUGGAUGCACACCCACUUAGUUUCUUUUGUUGAGCUUUCAUACAUUUAUAGCUCUAGUGCAUCCGUUGCAUGGCAAUCCCUACUCCUUGCAUUAACAUCAAUCGAUGGGCAUCUCCAUAGCCCAUUGAUUAGCCUCGUUGAUGUGAGACUUUCUCCUUUUUGUCUUCUCCACAUAACUCCACUCAUUAUAUUCUAUUCCACCCAUAGUGUUAUGUCCAUGGCUUGCAAUCAUAUAUUGCGUGGAAGUUUAUAGGUUUGAGAUCACUAAAGUAUGAAACAAUUGCUUAGCUUGUCAUCGGGGUUGUGCAUGAUGAGAGCGUUGUUGUGUGACAAAAAUGAAGCAUGACUAAACUAUAUGAUUUUGUAGGGAUGAACUUUCUUUGGCCAUGUUAUUUUGAGAAGACAUAAUUGCUCAGUUAGUAUGCUUGAAGUAUUAUUAUUUUUAUGUCAAUAUGAACUUUUGUCUUGAAUCUUUCGGAUCUGAAUAUUCAUAUCACAAUUAAGAAGAAUUACAUUAAAAUCAUGCUAAGUAGCACUCUGCAUCAAAAAUUCUGUUUUUAUCAUUUACCUACUCGAGGACGAGCAGGAAUUAAGCUUGGGGAUGCUUGAUACGUCUCCAACGUAUCUAUAAUUUUUGAUUGCUCCAUGCUAUAUUAUCUACUGUUUUGGACAAUAUUGGGCUUUAUUAUCCACUUUUAUAUUAUUUUUGGGACUAACCUAUUAACCGGAGGCCCAGCCCAGGAUUGCUGUUUUUUGCCUAUUUUAGGGUUUCGAAGAAAAGGAAUAUCAAACGGAGUCCAAACGGAAUGAAACCUUCGGGAACGUGAUUUUCUCAACGAACAAGACCCAGGAGACUUGGACCCUCCGUCAAGACACAAAAGAGGAGGCCACGAGGUAGGGGGCGUGCCUACCCCCCGGGCGCGCCCUCCACCCUCGUGGGCCCCCUGUUGCUCCACCGACGUACUCCUUCCUCCUAUAUAUACCUACGUACCCCCAAAUGAUCAUAUACGGAGCCAAAACCCUAAUUACACCGCCGCAACAUUUUGUAUCCACGAGAUCCCAUCUUGGCGCCUGUUCCGGAGCUCCGCCGGAGGGGGCAUCGAUCAUGGAGGGCUUCUACAUCAACACCAUAGCCUCUCCGAUGAAGUGUGAGUAGUUGACCUCAGACCUACGGGUCCAUAGUUAUUACCUAGAUGGCUUCUUCUCUCUUUUUGGAUCUCAAUACAAUGUGCUCCCCCUCUCUUGUGGAGAACUAUUCGAUGUAAUCUUCUUUUUGUGGUGUGUUUGUUGAGACCGAUGAAUUUUGGGUUUAUGAUCAAGUCUAUCUAUGAAUAAUAUUUGAAUCUUCUCUGAAUUCUUUUAUGUAUGAUUGGUUAUCUUUGCAAGUCUCUUCGAAUUACCCGUUUGGUUUGGCCUACUAGAUUGAUCUUUCUUGCAAUGGGAGAAGUGCUUAGCUUUGGGUUCAAUCUUGCGGUGUCCUUUCCCAGUGACAGUAGGGGCAGCAAGGUACGUAUUGUAUUGUUGCCAUCGAGGACAACAAGAUGGGGUUUUCAUCAUAUUUUAUGAGUCUAUCCCUCUACAUCAUGUCAUCUUACUUAAGGCAUUAAUCUGUUUUUAACUUAAUACUCUAGAUGCAUGCUGGAUAGCGGUCGAUGAGUGGAGUAAUAGUAGUAGAUGCAGGCAGGAGUCGGUCUACUUGUCUCGGACGUGAUGCCUAUAUACAUGAUCAUACCUAGAUAAUCUCAUAACUAUGCUCAGUUCUGUCAAUUGCUCAAUAGUAAUUUGUUCACCCACCGUAGAAUACUUAUGCUCUUGAGAGAAGCCACUAGUGAAACCUAUGGCCCCCGGGUCUAUCUUUAUCAUAUUAAUCUCCUACUACUUAGUUAUUUCCUUUGCUUUUUUACUUUGCCUUUAUUUUACUUUGCAUCUUUAUCACAAAAAUAAAAAUAUCUUUAUCAUAUCUAUCAAAUCUCACUCUCGUAAGUGGCCGUGUAGGGAUUGACAACCCCUAUUCACGUUGGUUGCGAGGAUUUAUUUGUUUUGUGCAGGUACGAGGGACUGGCGCAUAGCCUCCUACUGGAUUGAUACCUUGGUUCUCAAAACCUAAGGGAAAUACUUACGCUACAUUGCUGCAUCAUCCCUCACUCUUCGGGGAAAACCAACGCAGUGCGCAAGAGGUAGCAAGGGUUCCUUUUUGUCGACGAUCUGAUGUUUCAACCUUGUUUUCCAGGCGGCCAACGCAUCGCUCAACUUGGUCAUGGCGUGUUUGUUUAUCUUCGUCAUUGCCAGGUCCUUAUCUGGAUCUUUAUUAUCCUUUUCAUUACGGUCCGGGAACAAGAAUAUCUGGUGCAGCUUCUUUAGGAGGGAGGGCCUCUGGUGCAGCUUCUAUAGUUUCCCAUCGUUGAUCAUGGCAGUUGUCCGUACAAUGCAACCUAUUUGAUUGCCGUAGCACGAUUGCGCUUCCUCGGGUGCUAUUGUCUCAAAAAUACCGUCGUCCAUCUCCGUGACCACCAGUCUAGUACUCAUGAGCUGGUUUAGGCGUCGUGGCCUCUUUGCUUUCGGUUCUAGACUAACUCCGCUAGUCUCGGCGCUGGUCUCAGUCUCAUCGCCGGUCUGCAUGUCGGUAUCAGUCCCUGAUGCGACAACACAGUCGCUGCAACAUGGGUAAGGGAGACCACAUCAGUGCUGGGGGGUCCGAAAAUCGGGACACACUUUCGCGCGUCGCGGGCCGCCUCUCAGACAGCUACUGGGGAGGCGGCGGAGUACCUGGGUGCGCCGCGAAUCCCCGGGAACUCGGUGACCAACUUCCUUCCCGUGUGGCGCAUGGAGACGACAGCGACCCCGGCGAAGAGUAGCUUAGCCGCGAGCUGCACAGCCUCGUCCACCUCCUAAGUUGGGACCUCCGCGCAAGCGUUGCGGGGCCGCCGCUCGGGUGGCUUCUGGAAGGCGGUUGUACAUGGGCACAGGGUGAAUCCCGACUAGAGCUGGCCAUUGGCGCGCGCAAGUAGACGACGACGUCCCCGACGAAGAGCUGCCCGGCCAGCUCGCCUCACUCUCCUUUGAUUAGAAAUGAAAGAUUGGGAAGAAGCAGACUUGAGCCUGCAGAGAAAGGAUAAGGUGACGAUGCAGUCUCCACUCGUUCGGGGCGACACGCGUACUGAAUGUAUGAGAAACGUGACGUGGCAGAGACCCCAAGAUACUCCCUCCAUUUAUUUUUAGUCUGCAUAUAAAGUUUGGUCAAAGUCAAGAUUUGUAAAUUUUAACUAACUUUAUAAUAAAAAAAUAUCAAUAUUCACAAUAUGAAAUCAAUAUUACCAGAUGCGUCAUGAAAUGUAUUUCCAUACUAUAAAGUUUUGGUAUUGUAGAGGCACUCUUCCAUAUAAUGAAGUUUAUAAUAUAUGUGCUUAUAUUGUACUACAAUUGUUUGAAUAGCUUAGCAUAUGUUCAGAUGUAUGAUAUCUGUAAUUUAAGCGCUUGAAUUUUACAUAUAAAUAUUUAUUAAUAAAUAUGUACCCCUAUAAUAGCUAGGCCGUGCAGUUGCACGGGUAGAUGACUAGUGAUUACAAUCUUGUUUGUGUGCAAGUCAAGCUUAUCUAGUUUACACGUAACAACUUGUAGAACAUUACAAAAUUUAUGCUUGCUAAUAACUUCUAGAACACUACAACACUUGACAUGUAAAAGGAAUUUGACGAGUCAUGGCCUACUAAAGCAAGUUACAUUACUAGUCUUAUCUAUCUUAACAGACCACACAAGAUUACAAACUAAGUACCGUGACAGCCAUACUUAUCUAGUUUAUGCGUAACAAUUUGCAGAAAAUUAGAAACUUAGUUUCAGAAAAAUACGCAAUCUAGAUUAGUGUUUGAGCUGUAAAGUGAAUAAGAUGAGUCAUGCAUGUUAUCACACCUUUUUGGUGGUGGAAUGAUAGUGCAACAACAAGGAACUUUAAUGACCAGUCCAAGAAUACACUUGUAAGUAGUGCCACCAAACAGAACAUUCCAAAUGAUGAUUUUUAGAAGCAUCCAAGCACUUUCCACACAAACAAAUGCCAAUUGUGAAAGAGAUCAUUCCAUGGCAGCUAUAAAUAGCCCCAUAGCAUGACGAUCAUCCUUCCUCAUCCAUCAUUCUCAUUAGUAGAGCGCAUCAUUUAAGCCAAGCAAGCUGUGGUCAAUACAAAUCCACCAUGAAGACCUUUCUCAUCCUUGCCCUCCUUGCUAUCGUGGCGACCACCGCCACAACUGCAGUUAGAGUUCCAGUGCCACAAUUGCAGCCACAAAAUCCAUCUCAGCAACAGCCACAAGAGCAAGUUCCAUUGGUACAACAACAACAAUUUCUAGGGCAGCAACAACCAUUUCCACCACAACAACCAUAUCCACAGCCGCAACCAUUUCCAUCACAACAACCAUAUCUGCAGCUGCAACCAUUUCCGCAGCCGCAACUACCAUAUUCGCAGCCACAACCAUUUCGACCACAACAACCAUAUCCACAACCGCAACCACAGUAUUCGCAACCACAAGAACCAAUUUCACAGCAGCAGCAACAACAACAACAACAACAACAAAUCCUUCAACAAAUUUUGCAACAACAACUGAUUCCAUGCAUGGAUGUUGUAUUGCAGCAACACAACAUAGCGCAUGGAAGAUCACAAGUUUUGCAACAAAGUACUUACCAGCUAUUGCAAGAAUUGUGUUGUCAGCACCUAUGGCAGAUCCCUGAGCAGUCGCAGUGCCAGGCCAUCCAAAAUGUUGUUCAUGCUAUUAUUCUGCAUCAACAACAAAAACAACAACAACAACCAUCGAGCCAGGUCUCCUUCCAACAGCCUCUGCAACAAUAUCCAUUAGGCCAGGGCUCCUUCCGGCCAUCUCAGCAAAACCCACAGGACCAGGGCUCUGUCCAGCCUCAACAACUGCCCCAGUUCGAGGAAAUAAGGAACCUAGCGCUACAGACGCUACCUGCAAUGUGCAAUGUCUACAUCCCUCCAUAUUGCACCAUCGCGCCAUUUGGCAUCUUCGGUACUAACUGAGAAGAAAAUAACUCUAGUACUAGAUAUAUGAAACACCGUUUUCUCAGUCCAUGGUUUGGUCAUUGUAGCGUUGAAAAAAUAAUGUGACAUGCACUAUCAUGUAAGAAUCCGAACUAUACUAGUUCAAACUUGGGAAUAAAAGACAAACACAGGUCUUGUCUACAUAUUUAUGUUGCAUCUAUUUAUAUAUUAAAAGUAAUAUAAGGUGAACCAGGAGCAAGGUAAAUAUGCUAGAAAAUUGCACGUUAAUUAGAAAUUACUAGCCCUCGAUCUGGUAAAUCUUAACAAAUAGAAUUAUCUUCACCGUUAGAUUUAUGUAACAUAUAUAAUGCUCUGGGCCUCCAACGACUGUACGUGACACAUCUGAAUGAACAUAUGUUAAAGAAAAUAUAUUUGGUAAAUGGUGGGCCUGUUUAAAAAGAGAACUCACGUACAUGCACCAACUAAGAAAAACACAUACAUGUAAACGGGAAAAGGAUGAGAUUUUCUCACGUACGUGCUCCCUGGCUCCACCCCGUUGAAAAAAUAUACAUCUGGAGGCCACUUUGUUUCCUCAUCAAAAAAAACUUACGUUAAAAAGAUUGCAUGCAUCCCAGGGAAAAUAGUCAAGAAGAAGUCGGACUUUUCCUUACAAAAACAAGGAACGUGUUAAGUUGACUUCAAAGAAAAAAGGAACAUGUUAAGUUAAAAAAAA